rnacentral:lncRNA from 1 species
CAGGGUUGUGACCAUAAUGUGGUGGCUUCUCUCCCUUAGGUGGUUUGCCAACUGGGGUUGGUGGCUUGUGUUCUGGGAGUGGCUUCUCCCCCUUGGGAGGUUUUUCCAAUGGGGUUGGUUUGUGUUCAGGAGGUGGCUUCUCCACUGGAGGCUUGUGUUCAGGAGGUGGCUUCUCCACCGGUGGCUUGUGUUCAGGAGGUGGCUUCUCCACCGGAGGCUUAUGCUCUGGUGGUGGCUUCUCCACCGGAGGCUUAUGCUCUGGUGGUGGCUUCUUGAAUGGGGGAUGCUGAGGGUAAUCAGCAAGUGAGGGGGCGGUGAGAACCACCAGGCCAAGCAACACCACUAGCAAAUAUGUAGGAGACAUCUUUGGGUUUGGGCUCAGAUGGUGCAAAACUAGGAGAAUUGGCUAGCCUUUUAUAGCGGAUCGUACUCAAUAAUGAAAUGACACGUGUCAUUAUGACCCAUGUGUAAUGGGGUCGAUUUGGGUCCUACAGUGUUGAAAACUUCGACAUCCAGUUUUGGCCUUUUGCUUUCUCUACAGCCGCCUUGCUUUUUCCCUCUUUCCUUUUGUUUUCCUCCUGCCCCAUUCUAUCAACUAAACACAAUUAUGUAGUUGUUUAAUUCUUAAAUGAGAUAUUAUCGGUCAAUCGUAUUAUAUUUUAUCAAGAGAGAACGGAGUGCAAUGCAGCUGUAAUUUUAUCGUUUACUUUUAUCUCUUGGACCACUGCAUUUUUGUUAAGAGGUGCAAUAAUACACGUCUUUAUCUGCCAUUCAAUGUUUACAGUAAAGAGAGGGCACAAAACUCUUCACUGCUCUGCAUGUGUCCCAAAAAUGCGAUUGGACAAAUUAUGAUUUGCAUGCUAAAAAGAGGCAAAUGAGGUUAAUUCGCACCAUAAUUAUUUGGUUUUCUGGACACCAUAAAAAGAUGUUAUACAGGCAGGGAAAAACCUUCAGAGUUAGCUACCAAAGAUAAUUAUCAAGCAGAUAUCACCAAGAGAAUUCCAUAGAGUCUGAAUCAAAGACAGAUUGCUCGCUCGUGGGGGUUCUUACUUUCUUUUGGGUAUAACUCACUGAGGUCACUGUCUUUUUUAUUUGCAUUUCACAGUUAGAGUUCUGCUCUGGAAGGUUUGUUCUGGAAACAUAUAAAAGGAGCAUCAUUUUGUUCUUGGGUAACCCAUAGUCGUGAGUGGGUCCAUUUGCAUGCUACUUAGUUGAAAAGUUGGACAAUUUGCUCCGACGCCUACCUCCUGGAUUCCAUGCUCGGUAAAACAAGAAUAAAAAAAAAUAUAUAAUUUACAAAUGGGGGAAAGAAAAAAUGUCGGAAAAAAUAGUAAAAUUCAUGUCACAUGCUAGUGAGAGAAGGGGUUGUUACACUCACUCGAAGUUCUUUUCAAAAUAUCGAAUGGUAUUUUACUUUAUGUGUCAGCGCAGUUGUGAAUGGAACGUGCAAAAGUCCAAAUUGGCGUUUUUAUUUUUCCCAUGUAGGAUGGUGACCUUUAAUAAAUAUUUAAAACAAAAGACGAAAAAAAAAAGGAGGGAAAAGGGAUCACAAAAGAUAAAAUAAUGUUUACAAAAGCUCAAUUAGUUUGCAAAUUACUGUUUGGAUUUUGAUAGUAUUUUAUUUGUCGUUCUAUAUUUGAUGUAAAAGAGAAUUUAAGAUAUUUCCGAAGCAAAAGCAUUAGUUUGCUCUGUGAUGUCCCACAUCGAAUAGGGGAGAAAGUUUCUGGCGCUAUAUAUGUAGAGGCUCCUCUUAACCAAGUAGAUGCGUUUUAAAACCAUGAGGGCCCCCUUAGGUCCAAAGCGGACAAUAUCUACAUGAUUGGGUGUAAGUCAUUACAAAUGGUAUCAGAGCCGAUCCCCGACCCCGGUGUGGGGGUUUGUUUGGCCCUGUAAGGGGUGUUUGUCUGUUUGACCCCACAAUCCCAUGGGACACAACGAGGACGUUGUGUCUGCAUGGGGGGGCGUUUGUGAUGUCCCACAUCGGAUAGGGGAGAAAGUUCCUAGUGCUAUAUAUGUAGAUGUUUCUCUUAACCAAGUAGAUGCAUUUUAAAAUUGUGAGGGCCUCUUUGGGCCCAAAGCGGACAAUAUCUACAUGGUUGAGUGUAAGUCAUUACAUGCUCCAUGUCAAUUUCAGCAUUUCUCAUAUGUUUCACACAUACACAGAAGAGCAUCGUUUUUUAAAGCAUGCAUUUAUGUUGGAUUAAUUUGGAUUUUGUGGGAACUGGGGCAAGGAUCACAUGGAAGAGAGGUUGACUUUUUUCAGUACUUCAAUGGUUGAAAUAUGUGAAGGCUUGAUUGAUACUAAAGCUUGAAAUUGCGACUCUGUCAUUUGUAAAAAAAUAUGACAGCUUCCAUGCUCUCGUUUGGUUGCAUUGUCCGGUCGAGAGGUGCAAAAAGCAUUCUCUCUCUUCUAAUAGUCUUUUCGUUUAAAUCAAGGGAUUUGCCUUCCCGGUCGAGGUCCAAUAGAGGGUAACGGUCACCUACUAAACAUUAAAUGCUCCAACAACUAGUGAACUGAUCGACCCCAGCUCGACUAGUUGAGGUUACUUUUUGGUUUUCUUGUCUCCCGAGGUUAGAAACCUAUAAAUAGAGAGCUUCACUUCAUUUAUGAGUAAGAGAACACCUAAAUUUAUUUGUUUACCUACUUGUUUUUGCCAUAAAAGCUCUCAUUUCUUUUCUUGGUGUAUUAAAUCUCCAUUUGCAUAUCCUUUAGUGCACCUUUGUGAUUCAUUCUAGCCUUGAGUUGUAUUUAAGCCUUUGUUGAGCUAGGUUGAGAGUUUCAUACUUGUUUAUUGAGUGUUAAAGCCUUCAAGUGAGUUAAAACUUGAAGAGAUUGUGUAAGAGCCCAUUGGAGUCGGAAUCCAAGUGUAAAGGUGAUUAAAAGCUUGGUUGAAGCUUCAAGUUAGUGGAACUCUCACUCGGUUAUGAGCUUGAGAAGAGUGGACAUAGACAAGGCAGUGUCGAACCACUAUAAAAUCUGAGUUUGAUUUCUCUAACCUUAUCUCUUUAUAUUUGCUUCUCUUGUGCUUAAAUUUUUUGUGUUUAAAAAGAAUUUUUAAAAACUCAAUUCACCCCCUUCUUGGGAGUUUUUCUCUUUUAAGAUCAGCUUUUAUUUUCUCAAUUGGUAUCAGAACUAUGCCUCUUGUUUAAGACUUAAUCGUCUAAGAGGAAAUGGCUAAUCCAUCAAGUUCAUCUCACAUUGAAAGUUUUGCAACCAAUAGACUUCUUUUUUUUUUUUUGCGGGAACUGAUUAUCCCUAUUGGAAAACUAAAAUGACUUGGUUUUUACAAUCAAUUGAUUUAGAUGUAUGAGAUGCCAUUGAAGAUGACCUAACUUUUCCUUCAAAACUAGUUGAUGGAGUCAUGGUUCCAAAACCUAAGCAAGAAUGGGAUGAGCGUGAUUGAAGAAAUUUUCAAUUAAAUGCUAAAGUCGUUUAUACUUUGCAAUGCUCUAUGGACAGAAAUGAAUAUAAUAGAAUAUGUCAAUGCAAAUCGGUUAAAGAAAUUUGGAGAUUGCUUGAAAUAACUCAUAAAGGAACAAAUCAAGUUAAAGAGUCAAAAAUCAAUUUACUUGUUCAUAGAUAUGAAUUGUUUUUUAUGAAAGAUAAUGAAACUAUUGUUAAGAUGAUCACUAGGUUCACCAACAUUGUUAAUGGUCUUAAAGCCUUGGGAAAGACCUACAAGGAAUCCGAAAACGUGAUGAAGAUCUUGAGGUCACUUCCAUCAAAGUGGCAUACCAAGGUCACCGCAAUUUAAGAAGCAAAAGACUUGAUCAAGCUACCUUUGGAGGAGUUCAUAGGGUCAUUGAUGACAUAUGAAAUCAAUUUGGCAAAGAAGUAACAAAAAGGUGAAGACAAAAAGAAGAAGAACAUAACUCUCAAAGCUACAACUAAGGAAGAAGAAGUUGAAGAAGAAAAACAAAUUGAAGAAGAUGAAGAUUUAGCCCUCAUCACAAGAAAGUUCAACAAAUUCAUGAGGGGUGAAAGGUUUAGAAGAAGAAGGUUCACUUCUAGAAGAGACUUUUCUAAAAAGGAAUCUUCAUCUAAUGGUGACAAAAAGAGAUGGGAAGAGAAAAGAGACUUGGUGUGUUUCAAGUGCAAGAAACCGGGACACAUUAAAUAUGAUUGUCCUCUCUACAAAAGUGAAGUCAAGAGGAAAAAGAAUAAGGCAAUGAUGGCCACUUAGAGUGAAAGUGAAGAUGAAUCAUCCGAAGAAGAAAAUGAGAAAGAAGUGGCAAACAUGUGUUUCAUGGCAAUAGAUGAACUUGAUGAGGUAAAAUCUAACCUUAGUGAUUAAGAUAUACAUGAUGCAUUUGAAGAAUUGUAUGAGGAUUUUUAAAAACUUAGUUUGAAAAAUAUUUCUCUUAAAAAGAAAGUUCAACAACUUGACAAAGAACUUAGAGAAGUAAAAGAAAAAUUUUCAAAUGUUAAAGUUUCUAAAACUCAUCUUGAAAAAGAAAAUGAGAUUCUAAGAAAGAAAAAUGAAUAGUUGAACUCCUCUCUUUCAAUCUUUUCUUCUAGACAAAAAUCUUUUGAAAUGAUUCUAACUAGCUAAAAAUGUGUUUUUGACAAACAAGGGUUAAGAUUUAAAUCUUCAAAAAAUCAAAAGUAUUUUAAAAACUAUUUUGUAAAGGAAUCCACAAGUGCAAGUCCUUCCACUACUUGCAACUUUUGUGGAAGAGAAUGGCACAUUAGUAGUACGCCCUUUAAGAAAUGGUUCUCAAAAGAAUUUAAAUGCAAAAACUAAAAAAGAUUUGGAUUGAGAAAUCCAAGGUCACUAACCCUCAAGGACCCAAAAAGAUAUAGGUACCUAAAUCAACUUGAGUUUUAUGUUGUAAGGUUCAAAGAAUGAUAAGUGGUUCUUAGAUAAUGGUUGCUCAAGACACAUGACCGGAGAUGAAUCCAAGUUUGCUUUUCUUAAAAAGAAAAAUGGAGGAUAUGUUACCUUUGGAGACAAUGCAAAAGAAAGGAUGAUUGGUCAAGGCAACAUUGGUAAUGGCACAUCCUCUCUCAUUGAAAGUGUUUUAUUAGUAGAUGGUUUCAAACAUAACCUUUUAAGCAUUAGUCAAUUUUGCGACAAAGGUUUUUAAGUGAUUUUUUAAGCAUCUCAUUGCAUCAUCAAGGAUAUUCAAAAUGAUAAAACCAUUUUCAUGGGCCAUAGAUGUGAUAAUGUUUAUGCUAUAAAUAUUUCAAAAUAUGAUGGCCAUGAUAGAUGUUUUUCAAGCAUGCAUGAUCAAAGUUGGUUGUGCCAUAGGAGAUUGAGACAUGCUAACAUAGACCUCAUUUCCCAACUCAACAAAGAUGAACUUGUUAGAGGCCUUCCCAAAAUAAUUUUUUAAAAAGAUAAAGUUUGUGAAGCUUGUCAAGUGGGAAAGUAAAUCAAAAACUCUUUUAAAAACAAAAACUUCAUUUCCACAUCUAGGCCACUUGAGUUGUUGCAUAUGGAUUUAUUUGGUCCCUCUAGGACACCAAGUCUUAGAGGAAAUUCUUAUGCAUAUGCUAUUGUGGACGACUUCUCUAGAUACACAUGAGUCUUGUUUUUUAGUCAAAAGAAUAAAGUUUUUUAUGAGUUUUCAAAGUUUUGCAAUAAGAUUCAAAAUGAAAAAGGUUUUUCAAUUACUUAUAUAAGAAGUGAUCAUGGGAGAGAAUUCGAAAAUAUUGAUUUUGAAGAGUAUUGCAAUGAGCAUGGAAUUGACCACAAUUUUUUGGCUCUUAGAACUCCUCAACAAAAUGGGGUAGUUGAAAGGAAAAAUAGAACUCUUCAAAAAAUGACAAGAACCAUACUAAAUGAAAACAACUUACCAAAAUAUUUUUAGGCCAAAACGGUUAACACUUCUUGUUAUGUUUUAAAUAGAGUAUUAUUGAGGCUCAUACUUAAGAAAACUCCCUAUGAGCUUUGGAAAAACAAAAAACCCAACAUUAGUUAUUCCAAAGUCUUUGGAUGCAAUAUUUUAUAAUAAACACCAAAGACAAUCUUGGAAAAUUUGAUGCAAAAUUGGAUGUUGGAAUUUUCCUUGGUUACUCAACUUCAAGUAAAGCUUUUCGAGUUUUAACAAAAGAACCAUGGUUGUAGAGGAGUCCAUCCAUGUUAUUUUUUAUGAAUCUCCAAGAAAGAGAGAGGAUUGAUGAUGAUUUAGGUUUGAAGACCUCUAUAGGAAGAUUGCAAAUCGAAGAUAGAAGACAACAAGAAGAAAAUGGAGAGAAUCCAAAGAAAGAAGGAUCACCAUUGGCACUACCCCCUCAUCAACAAGCGCAAGGUGAAUCAAGUCAAGAGCUUCCUAAAGAAUGGAAGUUUGUCAUCAAUCACCCACAAGAUCAAAUUAUAGGCAAUCCAUCUAGUGGGGUAAGAACUAGAUCCUCUCUUAGAAAUAUUUGCAAUAAUCUAGCUUUUAUCUCUCAAAUUGAGCCUAAAAAUAUAAAUGAUGUUUUAGAUGAUGAAAAUUGGAUAAUUGCAAUGCAAGAAGAGUUAAAUCCAUUUGAAAGAAGUGGAGUAUGGGAAUUAGUACCAAGACCUUCAAAUCAAAGUGUUAUUGGAACUAGAUGGAUCUUUAGAAAUAAAAUGGAUGAAAAUAGCAUAAUUGUUAGAAAUAAAGCAAGAUUGGUAGCCCAAGGUUUUAAUCAAGAAGAAAUGAUAGAUUAUGAAGAAACCUUUGCCCCCGUAGCUAGGUUGGAAGCCAUUAGGAUGCUACUUGCCUUUGCAUGUUUUAAAGACUUUGUUUUAUAUCAAAUGGAUGUGAAAAGUGCUUUUUUAAAUGGUUUUAUAAAUGAAGAAGUAUAUGUUGAACAACCACCCGGUUUUCAAAGUUUCAACUUUCCUAACCAUGUUUUUAAACUUAAAAAGACACUUUAUGGUUUGAAACAAGCACCUAGAUCAUGGUAUGAAAAAUUGAGUAAAUUUCUUUUGAAAAAAAUGUUUUAAAAUGGGAAAAAUUGACACAACUCUUUUUAUAAAAACCAAAGAAAAUGAUAUGCUCUUAGUUCAAAUAUAUAUUGAUGAUAUCAUUUUUGGUGCUACUAAUGUCUCUCUUUAUGAAGAAUUUUCUAAGUGCAUGCAUAGUGAGUUUGAAAUGAGCAUGAUAGGAGAACUCAACUUCUUCCUUGGACUUCAAAUCAAGCAACUAAAGGAAUGAACCUUCAUCAAUCAAGCAAAGUAUAUAAGAGAUCUUCUCAAAAGGUUCAACAUGGAAGAAGCCAAAACAAUGAAGACUCUAAUGAGCUCAUCCAUUAAGCUUGAUAAGGAUGAGAAAGGUAAAUCCAUUGACUCUAUUAUGUAUAGAGGCAUGAUAGGUUCUUUGCUCUAUUUGACCACUAGUAGACCUUACAUUAUGUAUAGUGUGUGUUUGUGUACUAGAUUUCAAUCUUGUCUUAAAAAAUCUCACUUAAGUGUCGUGAAAAGAAUCCUCAAAUAUUUGAAAGGGACAAUGGACAUAGGCUUAUGGUAUCCUAAGAGUGAUAACUUUGAAUUAAUUGGUUUUUUGGAUGCUGAUUUUGUCAGUUGUAGGGUUGAAAAAUAAAACACUAGUGGCACUUUUCAUUUCUUAAGACACUUACUUGUCUCAUGGCAUAAUAAGAAGCAAAAUUUGGUAGCUUUGUCAACAGCAGAAGCUAAAUACAUAGCAACUGGUUUAUGUUGUGCACAAAUCCUUUGGAUGAAAUAAACACUUAGUGAUUUUGAUUUAUCUUUUGAGCAUAUUCCUAUUAAAUGUGAUAAUAGUAGUGCCAUAAGUAUAUCAAAAAAUCUCGUGCAACACUCUAGGACUAAGCAUAUAGAGAUUAGACAUAAUUUUCUUAGAUAUCAUACACAAAAGGAUGAUAUAACACUUGAAUUUGUAAGCAUAAAAGACCAACUUGCCGAUAUCUUUACAAAACCUCUAAGAACAUUUUGUUGAUAUUAGAGGACAAUUAGGAGUGAUUUCUUUAUGAUCUAAUGUGAUGAAUUCUUGAUGAAUAUACUUUUUGAUUGCAUGAAUUUCAUGUCAUAUAUGCAUCAUAUAGAAAUAUACUUAGAUAAUGGUCAAAUUUCGACCAAAAAUCAAAAUUCCCAUGGCAUUAGGCAUAAAAAUUUUGGAAUUUCAACUGAAAAUGGUAGGAGGAGGAUCACAAAAUGAGAAAGUAUGCAAAAAUUGAAAAAUCAAAACGUUGACCAAGCGGUCAAUCGGACUAGACCGAUCGACUAGUUUGUCGAGAUUUAGGAUUUUUAAGAGACUCCAACGCUUCAAUUUUUGCACCGUUCUCCUCUAUUUCUUCACGGUUUCUCUGAUUUUGUCUUUUAGAGACUAAUUUGAGUGCGUUUUGGAUCAAUUGAAGCAUUUUGGAUUGGAUUUUAGGAAGAUUGAAAGUUAAGGUUUCGGAUUUGGGUCGCCUUCUCUUCCUCUCGCGUGUCACAAUCAGCUUUAGCAUUGUUCUCUUUCCAUUUUCACACACCUAGGGUUUCAGUUGUGAGCAUCUCUCUCUCUUUACCAACCACUACUCCCUUGCUUCUUCCAUAUGGCUCCUAGGCGAGAGUCCGCUACUUCUAGGGCACAAGGCAAGCACCCAACUGAGUCGUCUCAGUCAAAGGCACGUCGAAAAGUGAGAUUUGACAUUGCCUUGUUCAGUUCCAUGGAGGACUACCAACUAUACAAGCAACACUUUGCUUAGAGACGAGUAGUUCCCAAGAGAAAUAUUAAUUUUCCUCAACUUCAGCAUUUCGAAUUUAAGGGUCUAUUUACUAGGAUGGUUGGUUGUCUAUUGUCACAAUUUCGGAGCCGGUUUUCCUGACCUUAGUGCGAGUUUUUUACUCGAGGGCGACUUAUGGCAUGGGUGGCAUGAUCAUUUCUACUGUUGGAGGAGUUGAGAUCUGUCUGGACCCAGAGAGCAUCUGCCAUAUUUUCGAUAUUGCUCUGGUUGGACUCAAAGUAUACAAGUCCAAAAUGUGGCCCAUUGUGCCAGGAUUUGAGCUUAGAGAGGUCAUUCAGAGGAUUUGUGAACUUCCAGACGCCCAGGAGAUGGGCAAACCAUUGCCACACAGUUUGACGGUCAUCAACAGGGUGCUACACCAUAUAUUGUGCUCUAUCUUUCUACCACGAAGUGGACAUUGAGAUGAGGUCUCUUAUUAUGAGGCAUUCCUUAUUGACUCCAUUCUAACGGAGAGACGAAUUCAUCUACUAUGUCAUCAUUCACUAAGCCUCCUCACAGUGACAUACCACCUCAUCAGGCACCUCUUGCUCCUGACCAUGCUCCAUUGAUGGAUUUAUUUACUCAUAUUAGCUCUCUAGGCACUCGCAUGAAGGAGUUUGUUGUAGUUAGUGAUACAUGGUUCUACUCCAUAGAGGAUCGCAUGGAUCAGUAUCAGACUGGCUUCACGUCACAGUUUGAGUAUCUCCAAUAGAGGAUUGAGCAUAUUGAGGAUCACUUGAGCAUGAGAAGAUGAUGGCUUUUCUAUGCUCUGUGUUUCCACCUCCACCUCGUCAACCUUGAUUUCUUAGAGACCCAUUGUUUUCAUUUUGUAAUGUUGCCAAAAGGGGGAGAUAUUUAGGAUCUAGGACUCUAUAGGAGACUUACAUGCAUAUCAUUUUCAUAUCAUUGUUUGGAUCGUACAUAUUGGAUAGUGAUACUUUUUACUUAUAUAUGAUAUGCCUAUAUGUUUCAUGUCUUACAUUGUUUCUUAUUGCAAAUUAUCUCUAACAUGUCUUGAUUAUCUUUUUUUUAACUUCAUAAAUUUUGAUUGUUAACCCAUGAUUGGUUUGAGGGGAAGAUUCUUCUUCUCCUAGAUAACCAAGGUUUGUCAUCAUAAAAAAAUUGGAGAUUGUUAGCCCAAGGGUUCUCCUAAUCAUGUUUUGAUGAUAACAAACCAUGCUUAAGUUACUAAUUGGUUUGAAUUAUAAAGAAUUUCAAGUGUUAAUUUGAAAAUUCAUCAAAGAACCUAAUGGAUGCAAGAUCAAGAUUUUUGGAAGACCUUUAAUCAUAAGAAACAUAUGUAAGAUGAAUGCAUGGGUGCACUUAAGAUUUGCAUAUCAUUUCAUGCAUAUUUGGAAAACACGGUUUAUGCUUUAAAGUUACAUUUCCAUCAAAAUUUGAGAUCCAUCAAAUGAACCUUAGGAAAAAUGUUUUAAAAUUGGCAUAUAAUUUUACCUAAAGACCUUGCCUAAGUGUUAGAAGCAAAAGGACAAAAAAAAUAUAGGUUUUCUGGUCAAAAAUGGUGAACCAGUCAAGGCAUUGUCUAAAUCAGCUCAAUCGGCCAAGGUACCGGUCGAUCGGUUUCCCUUUCCCUGUCGAGAUCUAGUCAAGAGGUACAAAAAUCACAAUCUCUGUCUCUUUCUCUCUUUGUCUAUCUUCCAGUAGUCUUUCCUUCCCGGUCGAGGGAUUUGCCUUCCCGAUUGAGGUCCGAUUGAGAGUAAUAGUCACUUGCCAAAUAUUAAAUGCUCCAACAGUUAGUGAACUGGUCGACCCCCACCUUGCCCAGUUGAGGUUACUUUUUGGUUUUCUUGGCUCCCGAUGUUAGAAACCUAUAAAUAGAGAGUUCCACUUCAUUUAUGAGCAAGAGAACACUUGCAUUUAUUUGUUUACCUACUUGUUCUUGCCUUAAAAGCUCUCAUUUCUUUUCUUGGUGCAUUAAAUCUCCAUUUUGAUAUCCUUUAGUGCACCUUUGUGAUUCAUCUUAGCCUUGAGUUGUAUUUGAGCCCUUUUUUUAGCUAGGUUGAGAGUUUCAUACUUGUUAAUUGAGUGUUAAAGCCUUCAAGUGAGUUGAAACUUGUAGAGAUUAUGUGAGAGUCGAUUGGAGCCGAAAUCCAAGUGUAAAGGUGAUUAGAAGCUUGGUUGAAGCUUCAAGUUAGUGGAAUCCUCACUCAAUUAGGAGCUUGAGGAGAGUGGACGUAGCCAAGGAAGUGUCGAACCACUAUAAAAUUUGAGUUUGAUUUCUCUAACAUUGUCUCUUUAUAUUUGUUUAUCUUGUGCUUAAAUUUAUUGUGUUUAAAAAGAAUUUUUAAAUACCCAAUUCACCCCCCUCUUGGGUGUUUUUCUCUUUUAAAAUUAGCCUUUAUUUUCUCACAAACUAUUGUAGUAUAGUGGUUUUUAGGUGUCAUCCAUUAGGAUGAAUUGUUCUCGGUAAUUAAGGCGUGAAUGAGAGGAGAAUUAAUGAUUGUGAUUAAGUAAAAUUGAUUUGAAAAUUCAUGGUGAAAAAUCAAUUUAACAAUGGUUUCUAAUUGAGAAAAACAAUGAAAUGUGAAAUAAAAUAAAAUUAAUAGGAAAUGAAAUUCUCGAAGUUAGAAUUUUCUAAAAAACAAAUUCCAUGGUGAAUGGAUGUUGAGAUCUAAUUUUCAUCAAGUUAGAUUGAAAACCGAAAUUUUCAUAUAAACUGAUUUUUUAUUUAGUUUUAGGUCUAGAUUUAAUUUCCCUUAAAAUUAGGUUAUUUAAUCCAAGAAAUCAAUUCAAAUCAUAUAUUCAAUUCAUCUUAAAUUAUCUUCCAAUUAUUCACACAAUGCAACUAUUCAAUCUCAUCAAAUCUAGCUUUUAAGAAUUUAAUGAAUCUACCUAGUUUGCAUUGUAAUAGUCAUCCAUGACAAUUUGAAGAGAAAAAUAAUUCAAUUAAUCAAUCACUUGGAUCAAAUUACCUUUGCAAUUAAAGUUCAUUUCUCUAAUUCACCACAGAUUUUGUCUCUAGAUCCUCCUUUCUCAAAGAAAAAUGAGAUUUAGCCACACAUGAUUGGAGAUUUGGUCUCAUAAGGCAUGUUUAGCUAGUGAUAAAAUGAGAGAAAAUAAAGAAAAAUAGAGAAUUCGAUUAAGAAAGAAAAUCUAAAAAAUUCUACAAUUAGAAAUGUCCAAAAAGCUUUUUCAUGAGAAAAUCAAGUUUCUAUUUAUAGGCCAAGGUCAAGUGGACACUUGACAUCAUCUAAGAGGUCUUCCGGAAGCUUCUUCAUCAAGAAAUCUGGAGUUUAAUAAUAAAAUGGUCAUUUCACAAGAGCUCAAACAAUUUCGCAUGAUUAUGUGAAAUAAAAAAUGCAACAACAGCAAUUUACAUCUUCUUGGAGCAUUUCGCAUGACUGUGUGAAAUUUUCACAUGAUCAUGUGGAAUCGACUUGACAACUCUCAUUUAGCCUACAACAUAAUUCCACCUUUUGGUCCAUUUUUCAUAGUCAUGCGAAAUGGAAAUAUUUGAUUUUUAAGUUUUCUUUUGUCAUUUCUUUCAUUUCCUUCUCUUGAUUCCACUUCAACUACCUCCGAAUCCUGGUCCAAACCAAUUGCAUUACUUCUUUCAUUAUGCAUUUGGAUCAUCAUCAACAUUAUUUGUUCUCUUCAAUUUGAUUCAUCUCUUUUGUCACCAAUUUAUCAAAAUCAUACCUUGAAAUGACUCCAAAACUUCAUAAAACUUGUUAGUAACUCUUGCAAGGGCAACAACAUAUUAAUUAAGUGUUUUAGGCAUAGUUACUACUCAAAAGAUGCGAAACUCAUGAUAAUUAUUAUAUAAAAUAUGCUCUUUUUGAGUAGUAAUCAACUUUCUUGCAUAAGCAGACCUUUUAGGGUGGAGUACUAAAGACCAAUAUGCUUGUCCUUGUUGUAAUAAAGAAACUUGCUCUUAUUGAUUGCACCAUGGGAGAAAAUUUUGCUACAUGAGUUAUCAUCAAUUUCUUCCCACCAAUCAUAGAUUUAGACGUGACAAGAGGCCUCUUAAUGGCAAGGAGGAACUGACACUCACACUUAUACAAUUAUCGGGCAUUGAUGUGUUGCAACAAUUAGAAUAACUUACACCAAUUAUGUUGGGGAAGUCACAAAAGGCAAACAUGAAAACUAAAAGGAAAAAAGAAAAAUGUUACAUAUCACCACAACUGGAAAGAAAAAAGUAUUUACUUUCAUUUGCCAUAUUGGAAAGCACUUAUUUUACAUCAUAAUAAUUUAGACAUAAUGCAUAUUGAGAAAAAUGUGUGACAAUAUAAUUGAGACAUUGUUCAGUAUUGACGAAGAAACAAGGACAACCUAAAUAGUCAUCUCGAUUUACAAGCUCUAACUAUUAGAAAUGAGAUUCACCCAAUAGAAAGCAGGACCAAAUUUAUUUUGCUUGCAACAUGCUACUCACUCACCCCAAAUGAGAUUAAGGAAUUUUGCAAGUUUUUGAAAUCAAUAAAGGUCCCCAAUGGCUAUUCUUUCAAUAUCUCUCGUUAUGUGCAACUCAAUGAAAGGAAGAUAUAUGAGCUCAAAUUGUAUGAUUGUCAUGUCCUAAUGCAACAACUUCUCUCACUUGUAGUUCGUGGAGUUCUACAUAAGAAUGUUUGUGGAGUUAUCAUAGAAUUGCGUAAUUUUUUCAAGCAAUUGUGCUCAAAGGUGUUAGAAACAAAUCACUUACACCAACUUGAGAACAAUAUUAUUGUCAUACUAUGUAAAAUGGAGCAAAUAUUUCUUCCAUCAUUCUUUGAUAUUAUGGUGCAUUUACUUGUGCAUCUAGUAAGGCAAAGGUUGCAAGACUUGUGCAAUAUUGUUGGAUGUACCUAAUUGAACGAUAUUGUUAUAAUUUCAUAUGAAUCAUUUAAUUUUAUUUUAUAUUAUGUUCAGUUCAUUAACAUGUACAUUGGUCUACAUAUGGAUGAUGAUAGGUACCUAAGCACUUUAAAGUCAUAUGUGCGUAAUAGAACUUUUCUAGAAGGUUCUAUUGUAGAAAGGUACCUUGCAAAAGAAUGUACAACAUUUUAUUCUAGGUACUUGAAUGAUGUGGAAAUAAAGUAUAAUCACAAUGAUAGAAACUUUGUUGGUUUCAACACUAGAGGAGAUGAAAGGGGUUAUCUUUAAACAUAUUGGACAUGCAUUGGGAAAGCCCAUAUUUCAUUAACUUAGUUCAAAAGAGUGGUCACAAGCACAUUUAUAUGUGUUGACAAAUUGCGAAGAUGUCAUACCAUUCAUUGAGUAAAAAAUUUAUUUGAAUUUUAAUUAAAGCUCUAGUUUAUAUCCUUAAUCAAUGUUUUUUAAAUUCACAAGGAGCACAAGCAAACCAUCAAGGCUAGACCACAUAUACGUGUUUGAGACGUAGAUUUAAUUCAUAACAAGGAAUUUAUCAAGUGGUUUGAAAGACAUGUAAGUAUAUUCCUUAUUAUAAGGGAUUUAUUUCACAUUAUGUUUAUAUUGAAUCCAAACCUAUUAUUGAAUUGUAGGUUGAACAAUUACAUAAUGAAGGUCAUAUAUCUGAACACCUUCUCACAUUAUCAUGUGUUCCAAAUUCAUUAGUUACAUGCUUCAAAUGAUAUAUUGUCAAUGGAUUUAGAUCCCACAUUAAAGAACGUGAUAAAAAAGUUUUUAAAAAAAGACUCAGAAUAAUGGAAUUGUUGUAGUUGCAAAAACGUCAAGCUUUACAAGUGCAUGUGAUAUGAGUCCAAUUAUUAGUGAUGCUCUCUACUAUGGUGUUCUAACUAAAGUUGUUGAGUUACAUUAUCUUGGUGAAAAUAAGGUUGUUUUAUUCGAGUUUGAUUGGUGGGAUGUUACAAAUAUUGGAAAAUUGAUAAAAGAUGAUGAGUACAAUUACACAUUUGUUAACUUUGCAUGAAUUCUAACCACGAACGAACGAUUUGUACUUGCAUCUCCAGCAAAGUAAGUGUUCUAUGUGAAGAAUGCGAAUGAAUCAGAUUGGCAUACUAUCAUGGAGAUGCAACCUCAAGACCUCUAUAAGAUGAACGGGAUAGGAUCCAAUGGUGAUUUUGAACCAUUUCAACAAAGUGAACUACAUGAUCACUAAUAUAUCUCAGAUUUAGUUGAUGAAGAUAUAAUCAAGUGGAACAAAAGUGAUGUUUUAGGACUAAUCAUCCUAAAAAAUAUUGUAGUUUCUUAAAAAAAAAAUGAAAAUGAAGAAGAUAAUUGAACCUUUGUCAUACUUUAAAAAGCAACUAUGCAUUGUUCAUUUUGUAUGUUUUGGUUUUCUUCAUUUAAUUUCCUGAUUUUUGUGAUUCAAUGUCAUAUUAUUGAUCUUGAAAUAUUUUUCUAAUUUUUCAUUCUACGAUGGUUUCAACAAGGAUGACAUCAAGUCAAAAAAGGAAAUGUGGUCCCACACACAAUAUUGCAUUACAGGGAUUAAGGUCAGGGAAGAAGGUAAAAGUUGCAUUUAAUGAGUACAAUCAAUUGGUUAAACAGAAAAAUGGAAAACACUUAUCGAGCUACAUAGGGACACUUGUAUCUAACCAACACAAUGUACCUCUCCAAGCUAGUGAUUGGAAAAAUGUUCCAAAUGAUGCAAAAGAGAAAGUAUGGCCUUUGUUUUGGUAUGUUGUAUUUCUCACUAUAUGAUGUCAUUUCACUGUUAUUCUAUUUUGUGACUAACGUUUGAAUCAUAUGUAAGAAAAAUUUGAAGUAGAUAAAGACUGAAAAGAUUACAUGUUGGGUAUAGCCUCAAAUAAAUAUAGAAGCUAUAAAAAUAUGAUGAAUGCAAAAUACUAUGACCCUUGGCAUAAGGAUGCAUGAGGAGAGGUUAAUACAUAAAUCACCAUUUGUCUCUGAUGUUGAUUGGAAGUGGCUUGUCUCUGAUGCAUAAACCAAAUCCCCCACUGAAUGUUUGAUAUUUGAUAGCAGGAAAAACACACCCGCAGCUAUACACCUCCAUCAUUCAGAUAAUUAUAGUGGGGGAGAUGAUUCAUGGUUGCCCUUAUACCCUUUAUUUGCACCAUCUAUUGAGAUUCUUUAUCAUGGCCAGGUUUUACUGCAGCAAUAAGAUAUGGUGGCAACAAUUUUAUCUAUAGGUGCGGUUCCAGACCGCCUCCAUAGGUGCGGUUCCUGACUGCCUCCAUAGGUGCCUCUUCUUGUAAUGUUUGUUCUGGGAAUUACACUUGAAAGCCUUAUCGUGAUAAGGGAUUACAAACACUAGUUCAGAGGACAGCCAUGUUAAACUUCCACUAUGUUUGUGUCACAUUAUCAGCAGCCUAGUGUUUAUUGGUCAUGCUAUCUGCAACUAAUAUAACCCGGUGAACUUCAAUCUAAAUUCUGAAAGUACUCAUGUGACAGAUGGUGCCUUUCAGCAGAUAUCAUCAAUUUAAAAGUAGUGUGUGUGCCUAUAGGUGGGAAGGCCUUGGCAAAUGUUCAGUAUUCCGGUAAUUCAAGAAGGAUAUAUCUAAAAUAGAUUUUCUUCUUGCCCAUUUCAAUAGUUAAAAUUUGAGAAGAUUGUGUCCACAUCACACAAAUAUUAUUGGUCCUUCUGUUGCAAUUUACCUCUGAACAUGUCUUCCAAUUCCCACGGUCCUGUUACUCCAGGAAAACUAUUUCGGUCAUAUUGAAAAAAAAAAUAUUAAAGAAGGUACACAUGCUUUUAAGUGGACUGGGGCAUUCAUAUCAGGUGGUCUGUAUCCACAUAUGCCACUUCGUGAAAGGUGGAACAGCCUAAUCACUAGGCUAUUUAGUGUGGCCCAGCCACGUUAAUCAAGCACAAGUCUUCAUACUUAAAGUCAAAUGGUGUCUUUAGUCUCAUUACACAUCGCUAUUUGAAGAUUAACUCAUCACUAGUGUAAUGCGAUUAAGACAGUCCUAACUCAAUAUUUGUUCUAGUUUUGGAUGCAAAUGCUUGCUGGUUUCAUCAUUGGAUGGGAUAAAGGUGCAAUCAGGACUAUGAAUACGUGCAGUAAUACUUCAUUCUCUUUUUUCUCAAUGAGACUUCUUGGCACAAUUUUGCUGCUCAGCAACCUACCUUUCCAUGGAAAAUCAGUUGUGACUGAUAGUAAUGGAUAUAUUCUAGAAAGCUAAACAUAGAUAGCAUUCAAUAUUAUCGAUAUAACAUUAACAGCGUAUGUCUCAAUGCUCAUCAGCUACAAGCAAUGGACAAACACUUUGAGUAACUCACAGCAGUCAAAAUUCCUAAACAGGACAGACGUGACAGAUCUAUAUAUAGAACACUGCAUAUGAGUCACAGGAAAAGAUAAUACGGGUACAUAGAAGCUCUUAUUUUACAUAUUACUCAUACUGAUCAAAGUCGCUCAGUUGGGAUGGAUGGGAGAAGGAGGUUUGAGGGGUGGCUUGUGCGGGGAAGUUGGCAGCUUCUUUCCGGGAGCUGGUUGCUUCUUUGCUGGAGUUGAAGGAGGCUUAAUCUUCCGAGGUGGCUUGUAUGAGUCUUCAGCAUUCUCAGCAGGAGGGUGACCAGGGUUGUGACCAUAAUGUGGUGGCUUCUCUCCCUUAGGUGGUUUGCCAACUGGGGUUGGUGGCUUGUUUUCUGGGAGUGGCUUCUCUCCCUUGGGUGGUUUGCCAACUGGGGUUGGUGGCUUGUGUUCUGGGAGUGGCUUCUCCCCCUUGGGAGGUUUUUCGAAUGGGGUGGGUUUGUGUCCUGGUGGUGGCUUCUCUCCCUUGGGAGGUUUACCAAUUGGGGUCGGUGGCUUGUGUUCUGGGAGGGGCUUCUCUCCCUGGGGAGGUUUAGUGGGUGGCUUGUGUUCUGGAGGUGGCUUCUCCACCGGAGGCUUAUGCUCUGGUGGUGGCUUCUCGAAGGGGGGAUGCUCAGGGUAAUCACCAAGUGAGGGGGUGGUGAGAACCACCAUGCCAAGCAACAACACUAGCAAGUAUGUAGUAGACAUCUUUGGGUUUGGACUCAGACAGUGCAAAACUACGAGAAAUCGCUAGCCCUUUAUAGCGGCUCGGACCUAAUACUGACAUAAUAUAAAAUAAAUAUUAUAUUUUAUCAAGAGAGAACAGAGUGUAAUUUUAUCAUUAAUACCGAUCGAGGCCAAAGAAAGAAGACCCAUAAUCCAUUUCCCACAAGCAUACACAAUGCAGCUGUAAUUUUAUCAUUUACUUUUAUCCCUUGGACCACUGCAUUUUUGUUGAGAGACACAAUAACACAUUUUUAUCUGUCAUUCAACAUUUACAGUAAAGAGAGGGCACAAAACGCAAUUAGAUAAAUUAUGUUUUGCCUGCUAAAAAGAGGCAAAUAACUUUAUUUGCAACAUAAUUAUUUUGGUUUCUAGUGACCCCGGGGCCUUUCGGUUGGUUUGGGAUCGGAAAAUGAACAUCAUAGGGGGGGUUGUGCCCUUAUGGGCAUAUAUAUCUGAUAGCUUCAACUGGCCUUGUUCCUAGAAAGAAAUUGCCAAAGAUAUAAACUUAUUCCAGGCUGAAAGUAGAUGAGAGUCAUAAUGAACAUCAACCUUUGUUCAGUUUGAUUCAAUGCCCCCAUAGUGUUCAUUUCACAGAUCUGAAUGAUUAUAUCCGUUGAAUACAUAAAUUAAUGAAGACAAAUAUGAAACCCAAGAUACAUCUCUGCAUAACAACCCCAACCCUGGUUGCUAUGUUUCCCUUCUUCUAUUCACAUGAGGAUACUGGUUAUAAUUGUCAAACUUGCAACAAGCCCUUUGACACCUAACGUCAAUGGACGAAUUAAAAGUCUCCUUCAAACGUCUAUUUCACAGCAUGAAGCUUAUAAAGGAUGCUGACAACCUUCAGAGUUAGCGACAAAAGAUAAUUAUCAAGGAGAGAUAGUUCCAUGAGAAUUCCAAGGAGUCUGAAUCAAAGACAAAUUGCUCACUCAAGGGUUCUUAUUUUCUUUUAGGUACAAAUCUCUUGAGUGUUGUUAAAGAAACACGUCACUGUCAUUUUGAUUUGCAUUUAACAUUUCACUUUUGUUCUGGAAGGUUUGUUCCGGAAACAUAUCAAAUGAGCAUCAUUUUCUUCUUCGGUGACACAUGGUCGCGAGUACGUGGGUCCAUUUUCAUGCCACUUAGUUGAAAAGUUGGAAAGAAAAAACAUGCCAACAAGAAGAUAGUGAGAGAAGGGGCACUUCAAGCCUUUAACAUGAACAAACAGUAAAUAAAAGAUGUUUCUCCACUCAUAAAAGUGUGUUAGAUAGCAAUAUAACGAAUCACAUCCAAAAUCUUUACUAGGCUCAAACAUAAAGAAGACUCAUUUUUAAGAAAAGAUAAAAAUGGCAUUGUCUGAUAGUAUCCAAUACACGAGAUGGCACUUAAUUUGUACAAGAUCUGUCAAUGCUGACGCACAUUUUCUGAUUAAAAAAAAACUGAUCAGUCAAAAGCAAUGAAGAGAAGUGAUGACAAUGAAUGAUGCUUCCAAUAUUUUCACCCCUUAUAGUGUUCUUCAUGAUUCAGAUAUAUAAUUGGAAAUAGAACAACCCUAUGCCAUACAUUCGUCUAAGUAUGGUGUCUAAUUUUUUGUGUCAGCGGUUGCGAAUGGAGCGUGCAAAAGUCCAAAUUGGCGUCUCUCCAUUUCCACAUAGGAAGGUGACCUUUAUUGACAAAUACCCAAUAUUUGUAGACAUUCCUUAAAUAUCAUAACUUCUUGUUGAUUUGAAAAUCAUUUUUCAACUACCAUGUUUUAAUAAAUAUUUUUUAAAAUGUAUUUUUAUCAAAGUCCACCAUGAUGGAUAAUAUUCACCAUGCAAUAAUUAAUAAAGUACAAACUAAGCGAAAUGAAAAGCAUUUUCUUUGCUUUGAGUUGAUUUUGGUUGCAUUGAGUUGAUUUUGGUUUCAUGGUUUUUUCAACUCUUAUUUUGAUUGGAAGAUGUCAAGAAAAGAAAACAUAAAGAAAAAUUAAAAGGGAAAAAAGAAGAAAAAUAAAAAAAAAUAGAUUUAAAAGUUAAUAAAUUAUUUUUUAUAUUUAUUUUAAUUCAUUUCACUUAUUUUUCUUUUACUAUAUAAAAUUUAAAUAAUUUAAAUUUUAUAAUUAAUUUAAUUACAUUUCAUUUUCUUCUAUAUUUAAAUAUUGGAAAAAUAUUUUACUUAAUAUUUUUUUCUUUAAUUUCUUUGGCAUUUUGGGAACCAAACUUAGCCUUUAAAAUAAAAAACAAAAAAAAAAUGAAAAUAAGGAGGGAAAAGUGAGAAAAGAUAAAAACAAUAUGUAAAGGAUUUGAAAAGUAUUAGUUUGUAAUUACUAUUUGGAUUUCAAUAGUAUUUUAUUUGUCUUUCUAUAUUUCAUGUAAGAGAGAAUUUAAGAUAUUCCCCAAGGCAAAGCAUUAGUUACCUGCAAUCAGUGGUGAUAAGGCUCCAAGCCAAUUUUGGGCCCCAUAUCUUAAGACAGUACAAUUUCCAUUUCAACAUUUCUGAUUUCUCAGAUGUUUCACAUACCACAGAAGAACAUUGUUUGUGAAAAUAUGCAUUUAUGUUGGAUUUUGUAUGCUGUGGGGACUGGGGCAAGGAUCAUAUGGAAGAGUGGUUGACUUUUUCUGUACUUUAACGGUUGAAAUAGGAUAAGCACGGGCAUUUGUGAGGCUUAAUUGAUUUUGAAGCCUGAAAUUGCGUUUCUGUCAUUUUGUCAAAAAAAUGGCAGAUUCCAUACUCAUAUGUUUGGCCUGUGGCCAUGUACAGAUGCCAUUUAGUGACCAGUUUGUAACUGUCAAUCGUUGCGUUUUGACUCUGCCUCAACAACAUCUGCCAUUGACGGGUUUUCAUACUUGCAAAUCAAAUAGUCUUUCGUCCCAUCAGGAAUUUCGGUUUAAAUAUUAUUAAGCAUACGUUUGGCUGACAAUCAUUAUCCAGUUCAUGAUUUGGUUUCUUACCCUUAAUCAAUGGUUUCUAAGUGAAUAUAUGUAGAAGGAAAUCCGAAGUGUAGACAGUAGUAUCGAUAACUCUCAAUAUUCUCUAUAUAAUAGAAUAAACAGCGUCAUAGUGAUCGUCGCCUACAAGCAAGGUACAAAUACCAAAACGAGUGACUCACAUAGACAUCUCCCAACAAGAUGUAGUAGUGACUGACACAUGGACACAAUUAACUCGUAGAAAAGGAUAAGACCAUUGCACAGCAGCUCUUAUUUUACAUACUACUUAUGCUAACCAAAGUCAAUUAGUUGGGAUGGGUGGGAGAUGGAGGUUUGUGCGGUGGCUUGUGGGGCGGAGUUGAUGGCUUCUUUCCAGGAGCUUCUGGCUUUUUCAUCGGAGCUGAAGGAGGCUCAAUCUUAUGAGGCGGCUUGUAUGAGUCUUCUUUACUCUCGACAGGAGGGUGGCCAGGGUUGUGAUCAUAAUGUGGUGGCUUCUCUCCCUUAGGUGGCUUGCCAACUGGGGUUGGUGGCUUGUGUUCAGGAAGUGGUUUCUCUCCCAUGGGAGGUUUAGCAAUUGGGGUUGGUGGCUUGUGUUCUGGGAGUGGCUUCUCUCCCUUGGGAGGUUUAGUAGGUGACUUGUGUUCUGGAGGUGGCUUCUCCACCGGAGGCUUGUGCUCCGGUGGUGGCUUCUUGGUUGGAGGGGGCUUGGGGUAAUCAGCAAGAGAUGGGGUGGUGAGAACCACCAGUCCAAGGAACAACACUAGCAAGUAUGUGGGAGACAUUUUUGAGUUUGGGCUGAUCAGAUGAUGCAAAACUAAAGCAUUACGUGACCUUUUAUAGCAUGUAGCUCCCAAUACCCACUAAGUAUUGUGGGGUCCAUUUGUGCCCUACGGGGUUGAAAACUUAGACAAUUGGGCAAGGACCCACCUGACUAUGGAGGACUAGUGAGGUGUGAUCAUAGCUUUAGGAUUUUUCUUCCUCUGCAGCCGUCGUGCCGUUGGCAUGAUUUUCUUAAUCUUAAAUAAAGGCAUAGUUAUAGAGUUGUUUAAUCUCUAAAUGGGAUUUUAUAUAUAUCUUCAGAUAGCCAUUAAUAUAUUUGAUGAAGAAAGAAAGACAAGUGCAUACAACAUGUAUACGACUAGCUUUCAUGGAGUUCAUUUAUGAUCAGUUUUCCUGUACAUGUAAACCAGGAUCAUAUAUAUGUUUCUGUUCCACAACUAUUUUGGAAUCUUGUUUAUCAGUUUUUAUCAUUAUAAUGUCACAUAGGCUGCCAACUUGGGCGCUAAAAGAACCAGUUGGGCUAGUUCGUUUCAGAAUUUCAAUGUGGAUUCAGGAAUUGUUUUGUAAGAUAUGCGAAAUAGUAGAGGGAUGAAUAGUGUUUCAUUAAUAAAAGUGUCCUGUAAAUUAGAAGGUGUCAUAGAAACUAUAAUCAAUAAAUAACUUUUUUUCCCCACGGGUGGUGUUUCUUGUGGGGAUCAGUGACUGGUUUAGGUUCACCCAAAAUGAGUUCAGACUAAAAUUGGUUUGAGUCAAUGCCGUGUCUCUUUUUUCCAGAAAUCAACUAUUUUAUGCAUUGAAUAAAUCAUACAAAGAAAAUAUGAACGCCCGCAAAACCUAAACCCUGGUUGCUAACUUUCUAUGUUUCAGUUCUAUUCACGCAAGAAUAUUAGUUUAAGUUUGGGAAAAAUGGCAACUUACCUAGUGAUUACUUGGUUUUGGUUUGCGACUAUUUACGCAACCAACCAUGAGUUUGACUUUAACGUCAUGGGUUGAAGCCUCCUACAGGAAGGGAGAAAGCUCCACAGCUAGCUCCAAAAGAGAAUUAUCACAUUGAUAGCUCCAGAGAUUCCCAAGGGGACUGAAUCAAAGACAAGUUCCUCACUUUUUCUUCUUUUGAGGCCAAAUAUGAACCAAGGAUCACACAACCUCAUUCAACUUCAUAAGUUUGAUUUCAUGCAGUUGAACACUGGGUGAAGGCCAUGACAAGAAUUGAUUCAAAAAUUCUAUCACUCUUUUAAGUAAUGGAAGAUUAUUAUCUCUGAUUGGCAUCACAACAGCACAUGCUCCUAGAUCUUUCUAGACACUCCAUGCAAUGAAAGCACAAUGGAUCUUGUAACGAUAGAAACUAAGCCAUGCUACAGUACUAGAUGAUGAGGUAAAACUAGUAGACACGGGUGGCAGCCUAUAUGGGAGGGACACAAGUCUAAUUGAUUUGCAUUUCAGCAUUAUAGAUAGGUAUGUUUUGGAAGAUUUGUUCUGGAAAUACCGCACCAAGUAGGAUUCUUUUUCUCUUUAGUGGGUCCACUUGCAUGCCAAUUAACGAGUUGAAAAGUAUGAGCACCUACCUCGUGCUCGUGGAACCGAAGGUCAGUGAAGUGGGGCUCCUUUUGGCCUCGUGUAAACUUGAUUCAGAAGUGAAGUUAAUAGUCUUCCAUUCAGAUGGAUACAUGGGAAUUUUUCUCUUUUAUUUAUUUAUUUAUUUUUUUUUUGUGUGUGUAUGUCAAAGGAUAAUGAAUGAAGCGCGUUAGCUUGUUUUCUGACUGGAACCGCAGAUGUCCAAAUUGGAGUUCCUUCAUUUCUUACUUAGGAUUGUUACAUGUAUAAACAAGGUAUAAGAAAUAUGCCAACGUGUCUUGAGGAGUUAUUGAUUAGAAAUAACAAGUCACCCGACUGUAGAGUUCCAAGAUUUGAAUCUUCAGACCCUAUAGCAGCCUCUGGGGUACGUGGCAUCCUAUAGCAUAUUAAUGAAGGCUUUUUCGAUUUAGACUUCACAAUACCAAUUAAUAUGUAUGCACAAAAUGGAGAUGACCCCAAAAAAAACAGAAUCGCCAUAGUUUAUGAGGUUAAGGUGAUUCUCCACUUAAUAUCUACAUUAGCUAAUUAUGUAAAUCAAAUGAACUUCUAUUUUUCCUUUUUUUUUUUGGUUUAUGUCAAAUAGUAGCCCAUAAUUAACCCAACCAUUAGCCUGUUUGAAUUGAUUUCACAUGCACAAUGUUGUAGUAGUUCAUAUUUUGAAUUUUAUUUUUACAAAGGUAGUUAAGGAAAAUGAAGUAUAAUAAUUAUAAAAGCAGACUAUAUACACUACAAUAAUUGUUAGAAUGGUAUCUCAAAUUCUAAUUUAAAAUAUUAUUUUUUGUAAAAGAAAUAUUAUAUAGAAUAUUUCCUAAUUUUAUAAAUGAUUAUAAUUAGAUCUUUAUAAAAUAAGGAAAGUUGGUAAGAAUAUCUUUAUAAAUAUUUUAGGUCAUGAGAGAAAGAAAUGGGAUAAAAAUGUGAUGAAGAGGUGAAAUAAGAGAGUUGAUUAGGAUAUAGAUGUGAAGAAGAAAGGGAUUCAAUAUAUAUAUAUCUUUCAAUUACCACAUUAAAACCCUGUGAACCUUUUAUAUGGUUUACUUUAUUUUUAUAUUCCUCCUUUAAUAUAUUUACAUUAAUGCUUCCAUUGGCACAACAAUAACGAAUUACAAAUACAAGCAACAAGUCCCAUGUUUUAUUACCAAAAGCAGGUAAAAUCCACCUAAUAUAUUACAAUAUAUUCAUCCAAUAUUUUAGACCAAUUCUUCACCAUAAAUAUCAUAAUGUGGCUUUUGUUCUUUCUUAAAUUUAAAUUGAAUUGUCUUAUAUCAAUUUGUUUGUGAUUUUUUCAUUAACUUCACUUUCAUUUGGUUAUCUUUGGUUUUUGAAAAGUAUUAAGGAAUUAAUUAACAAAAUAAUGUUAAGAAAAAUAAUUUUCUCUCUUUUGAUUUUGAUUUUGUAGUAGAAAAAUAUAAUUAAAAUUAUUUAAAAAGUAUGUAAUUUUAAAUUAUUUAAUAUUUAGAUAAAAAAAAUAAGUCUAAUGAGUUUAAAAUAACAUAUAAAAAUAAUUUAUUUAUUUUAAAUUUAUUUUUUAUUUUCCAUUAUGUUCUCUUUCUCUUUUACUUUUUCAUAUUUUUUCUUACGAAGAAUCAAACACAACCUCAUAUUAUAUGUCAAGUGUUUGUCUAUAUUUGAGCAAUGUUAGAUACGGCCAUGGAUUCAUCAAACUAAACUGAUUUUAAUAGAUACUUCACAAAUUGAUUUAUACACUAAAUCAUUGGAUAGCAAUGAUGCAUUGGAAUUAAACGUAGGAUGAAGCUCGAAGAACACUGUUUGUGUAACAACAUAUUUAUGAAAUUAUGCAAAGGAUGAGCUUCGGGGUAGUAGUACAAGGUCAUUAAUGGAGAGCCGUGUUAAACCUUGAUUGUGAUUGGAUUCCGUUAUCAGCAACAGCAACCUUGUUUGUAACCUUGAAAGUCAUUCUGUCCACAUCGAAACUCCAAUUUGACGUUUGUAAUUACCAUUCCUGGAGUGUUCCUUGAUUGAAAUUUAAAUAAUAAUUGCGGCCCACAAGGAAUAUUUUCGAUUCUGUGGGAAUUUGACAAGGUUUGUUAGAGAAGACUGGUGACAUGUUGACUUCAAUGGUUCAAAUAGGAGACGUAUGUGGAUUUGGGGGGUUUAAUUGAAACUGAGUCCCUAUGGCUUUUUAAUAUUUGCAUUGAGCAGUCUCCAUGUGACUUCCUAAUUCCCACCAACCCUCCUGUCCAUGCUGUGAAACUAAAUUGUAAUUUAUCAGCCUUUGUCAAUGGUUUCUAAAUUAAAGAUAUAGACCAUGCAUGUACUUUAAUAAAAGCAAAUCUAAAGUGUAGAUAGCAGCAAUGGUGACACCCAAUAUUCUCCAUAAAAUAGAAUUAGAAUAAGCAGUGUUACAUUGUUCAUGAUCACCUACAAGCAUACAAGAACUUCCAUGAAUAACUCAUAGCAAUUGCCAACAGGGCGUCGUAGAGACUCAUACAUAGAACACUAUCCACCCAGAGGAAAGGACAAGACCAGUGCGCUGCAGCUCUUAUUUUUCACAUGUAUACCACCACUCGUAAUAACCAAAUUCACUCAGUUGGGAUAGGUGGGAGAUGGUGGUUUGUGGGGUGGCUUGUGGGGAGGAGUUGGAGGAGGCUUUAUUUUCUGAGGCGGCUUGUAUGAGUGUGCAGGAGGAUGCCCGGGAGUGUGACCAUAAUGUGGUGGCUUCUCUCCCGUAGGUGGUUUGCCAAAUGGGCUUGGUGGCUUCUCUCCCUUAGGAGGUUUACCAAUUGGGGUUGGUGGCUUGUGUUCUGGGAGUGGUUUCUCUCCCUUGGUAGGUUUGCCAAUUGGGGUUGGCGGCUUAUGUUCUGGGAGUGGCUUCUCUCCCUUGGGAGGUUUGCUAAUUGGGGUUGGCGGCUUAUGUUCUGGGGGCGGCUUCUCUCCCUUGGGAGGUUUGCCAAUUGGAGUUGGCGGCUUAUGUUCUGGGAGUGGCUUUUCUCCCUUGGGAGGCUUGCCAAUUGGGGUUGGCGGCUUAUGUUCUGGGGGUGGCUUCUCUCCUUUAGGAGGUUUGCCAAUUGGAGUCGGCGGCUUAUGUUCUGGAAGUGGCUUUUUUCCCUUGGGAGGUUUGCCAAUUGGGGUUGGCGGCUUAUGUUCUGGGGGUGGCUUCUCUCCCUUGGGAGGUUUGCCAAUUGGAGUCGGCGGCUUAUGUUCUGGGAGUGGCUUCUCUCCCUUGGGAGGUUUUGUUGGUGGCUUGUGUUCUGGAGAUGGCUUCUCCCCUGGAGGCUUGUGCUCCGGAGGUGGCUUCUGAAAUGGCGGGGGCUUGGGGUAAUGAGCAAGAGAUGGAGUACUGGUGAGAACCACCAUUCCAAGCAACAAUACUAGCAAGCAUGUGGGAGACAUCUUUGAGUAGUUGUAGCUAAGAUGGCGCAACACUGUAGGCAUUGGGUGGCCUUUUAUAAAGGGCUGGACCCAACAGCCAUAUGACACGUGUCAUGAUGACAAAUGAAGUUGAGGGGAUCCAGAUGGGUCCUACUGAGUCGAAAACUUGCACUAAUUGAUCUGGUGAGAUGACUAUUUCUGUCCUUUUGCCCUUCUCGGCCACCCUGUGCUGUUUUCCUUUUGCACGAUUUUCGUUGCCAAACAAGCAAAUAAUAUUUCGCCAAGAAAGAGGAGAGUGAAUGUGGAAUGCAUCAAGUCCCAUCAAGGAUGGCAGAGAAGAAAUAGAAGAUUGCCCAACUGUGAUAAACAUAGCAUACACGUAGCACCAGGAACUUCAUUUACUUCCAUCUAAUGGAACAUAACAAUCUUCUAAAGUUUUUGCAUGAUUUUGUUAUAUGUCUCUUAGCCUAAAGUUGGAAAUGCGCAACAAAUUUUGUCACUUCUCUAUUUCCCACUGAUGAUGUUAAUUAGCCUUCAUAGAUAUCAUCCUUUCUACAAAGUGCUUCAUUUGUGUGUUAUUGUAAAGUGUAAGAAAAGUAAUUGAACAUGUUCUUUUUCCUUUCAUAGAUGACUUUUGAUGUGCAUUUUAAAAGCAGCGCUGUGAGUCGGUGACCUUGAUUCACACGGAAACUAAGGCUCCUAUAGGACCCACUUUUAGCUGGUUAGGGGUGAAGAAAAUAUCAACUUUUCAGAGUGAUUUAAGUCAAGGCCAAGCCUCACUGUGUCAUUACUCGUGUGAAUUUUAUAUGCACAUACAUACAUAAAUAAAGUAUGAGACCCAAAUAACACCUUCCCUUUACAAACUUAACCCCAGCCGCUCUCUUUCAAUUCUUUUCACACAAGGGUAUUGACUCUAUAAAGGUCAAGAAAAUCAUAAUUUCCUAGGGUUUACAAGGUAAUUGGCUUAAUGCUAAUGUGAAAACAUAAAAGAUAAUAGUAUAUUGUAAGCUAACGAAUAUUCUAUAGUUAUAAUUAUUUGUGAUGUGCAUAAAUAAAUCUUCAUAUAUAUAAUGGAACAAUGAAUAAAGAACCAAUGAAAAAAUACUAUAUAUCAUUGCUUGGCAUUUAAACCGUAUAUGCUGCUCUUUCUAGCUACUCCAUCCACUGAAAGACAACAAGGUAAUCCAUGUUAUAAUGAUAGAAGAUACUGUCUCUAGGCUUUUUGUGAUGAAAAAUAUAAGAUAUGGGUAGGGUUGACCCUUGUAUGUUUGUCCUAUAAACACUUCAAAGUAACAUAUUUUUCUUCUUUAGCAACUCAUAAUGAUGGGGUUCAUUUGCAUGUCACUGAGUUGAAAAGUUGGACAAUUGCCCAUGUCGCCUUCCUCCUAGAUUCCGUAGUUCACGGGAAGGUAACUCAAGUUUGACAUAUUUUGAAUUCUUUUCACUCGGACGUCUUCAUAACCUGACAAAACAAAAAUGAAAAACAGAGGAUUGGUAUAUUAUUCAUGGUAAGCCUCAAAUUAUAGUAGUAUGAGAAAGGAGAAAAAGAUUUUGGGAACUCCAAUCUGGAUAAUUCUCGUUUCUUCUCUUGAAUAAAAAUUUCACUUACCUAACUUCGUUUGGAGAAAUGGCAUAUUUUAAUUUUGUACGUCAUUGCUAAUAAAUGGAGCAAUUUAGCAUGUUUUGUGACUGAAACUGCAAAUGUCCAAUUGGCAUUUCUUCAUUUCCCACUUAGGAUCUGAUCUUGUAGACCAUAUAACGAUAUGUAUCUGUGCAAGCAUUGAAAACUAAUGUGAACUAUGAGGAGUUACAAGCCACUGGACUGUAGAGCGAGUGCCAAGAUUUAAAUCUUCAGGCUCUAUCUGGGUAAGGGGAGGAUAGCGACCUAACCUUUUACCAAAGGCUUAGAAUUUAGACUUUUGGAAAAAAAUUUCUCAUGUUUUGGCUGGAUUUCUUGUGCUUGGCGCAAAAAGGAGAUGGCCUCAAGAAAUAGCAGACUCACUUUUGUUUUCAGCCCUUAAUAAUUCUCCACUGCUUUCCAUAACUACAUGGGUUAUACAUGCAGUCUGCUGCAAUAUUCCAGUUAUAUUUAUUAUUUCAAAGAGGGUGAAUGACUUCACAUGCAAUAUGUUGCAGUAACAACCCAAAUUUUGGCACACCAUCUUAAGAAUAGAAAAGUAUAAUAAAAGAAAUCAAUCAGAGAAUCACUUUGCAUGCAGUUCAUAGAGUUCGCCCAAAAUGGAGCCACAUGUACGGACAACCCCACAAUAGACAAUCUUCUCUAUACAGUAAUAAAAUACAGAAAUGGUUAAUGAAGCUCUGUAUUUCCUUAUCAUAUAUGACCGGUUGAAAACUCAGCAAGUCUUCCUCAAUCACAGACAGUUGGAGUUGCUUCAUCAAAAUCAUGCCUUCAUUACUGGCUUCAUUUUGGUUUCAAUGUCUGUUCUACCCUUAAAUUGGGUCUCUGCUUACUACCGGGAUAUCCUUUAGCGUCCUGCAAUUCUACUAGAUUAAAGAGAAUGACUUAAUUCUGCAUUCUGCCGUCCCUAGUCCAAGUGGUACUAGAAUUGAUGUUUCCUUUAGUGUCCUUUCUUCAUACUUUCAGGUUCUUCCCUUGUUUCAAUAAUGCUGUUUUCCUUCAUGUUUAACCUCUGUUGAACCACUUAAAACAACACAAUUUGCACACCAAUGUUUCUUUACAGAAAAGACUGUUUGCAAAAAUGCACAUGUUAUAAGGUUAAUGGAAGAAUUAAUUUGGGGAUAAGGGACUAGGAUUGGGCCAAUGAAGUUUGGUGUUAAAUUUUGAUUAUGAUUGCUUUUCAUUAUCAGGUACCUUAUAUUUGCUGAUGCUAUCUGGAACUAAAUUCAAAUCAGACAUUAUCCGAUUACUAACAGGACAUAUCAUGUCCCUCUGCAGAGUUUCUAAACUAACAUGUAUCGAAAUGUGGCCCCAAAAGGAAGGCUAGGAAGAUGGAGGAUUUUGUAGGAAUCGACCAGAAUCAGAUGGAAGAGAGAUAGUCCUGUUGACUUUAAUGGUUGUGAUAGGAACAUGCAUCAUUAUAUGAGAAGUUGCAUGAAUUUAUGUAUCCUGUUAUCGUUCCUUGACGAUUUCCCAAUGCAAUUUCACUGUCCACAAGACUAACCUCUCCAUGCAGUCAAAUGAAUUGUAAUUUCUCUAUUGGUACCAGUAGUACAUUUCAUACCAAACAUAUAGUAAAUAUAAAAUAUAAAUAGAUCAAGGAAAUCUGAAUUGUAGAUAGCACUGCAAGUAACACUCAAUAUUCUCUAUAUAUAAUAAAAUAAACAGUGUCACAAUACUCAUCACCCAGUGGCAAGGGAGAAAAACCUACAAUGAGUACUCAAAUCACCAUUCUCAAACAGAAACAUAGCAGUGACUGAUACAUAGAACCUAUAUGCUCACAGGGAAAGAAUAAGAUGACCAGUGCACAGCGGGCAGCAGCUCUUAUUUUACGUACAACUCAAAUCCCAAACUAACCAAAGUCGCUCAGUUGGGAUGGGUGGGAGAUGGUGGUUUGUGGGAUGGCUUCUGGGUAGGAGCUGGUGGCUUCUGUCCCUUUGGUGGUUUGCCUAAUGAGCUUGGUGGCUUGUGCUCCGGGAGUUGUUUCUCUCCCUCGAGUAGGUUUCGAGUCUUGUCAGAUGGCUUGUGUUCUGGUGGUGGCUUCUCUCCCUGGGGUGGUUUGCCGAAUGGGCUUGGUGGCUUGUGUUCGGGGAGUGGCUUCUCUCCCUGGAGAAGGUUACGAGUUUUGUCAUAUGGCUUUUGUUCUGGUGGUGGCUUCUCUCCCUGGGGUGGUUUGCCGAAUGGGCUUGGUGGCUUGUGUUCGGGGAGUGGCUUCUCUCCCUGGAGAAGGUUACGAGUUUUGUCAGAUGGCUUGUGUUCUGGUGGUGGCUUCUCUCCCUGGGGUGGUUUGCCGAAUGGGCUUGGUGGCUUGUGUUCGGGGAGUGGCUUCUCUCCCUGGAGAAGGUUACGAGUUUUGUCAGAUGGCUUUUGUUCUGGUGGCGGCUUCUCUCCCUGGGGUGGUUUGCCAAAUGGGCUUGGUGGCUUGUGUUCGGGAACUGGCUUCUCUCCCUUGGGAGGUUCAGUUGGUGGCUGCUGUUCCGUAGGUGGUUUCUUCACCGGCGGCUUGUGCUCCGGAAGCGGCUUCUCUACCUGGAGAAGCUUACGAGUUUUGUCCGAUGGCUUGUGUUGUGGUGGUGGCUUCUCUCCCUGGGGUGGUUUGCCAAAUGGAGUUGGUGGCUUGUGUUCGGGGAGUGGCUUCUCUCCAUUGGGAGGUUUAGUUGGUGAUUGGUGUUCCGUAGGUGGUUUCUGAAGUGGGGGAUGCUUGGGGUAGUCAGCAAGAGACGAGGUAGUGAGAACCACCAGUCCCAGCAGCAACACUAGCAAGCAUGUGGAAGACAUCUUUGAGUUCAGGCUGAGAUCUGUGCAAGGAUAACAGAAUUAGGUGGCCUUUUAUAGAGGCCUGGACCCAACACCCAUAUGACACGUGUCAUGCACUCAUGGUGACACAUAAUUCUAUGGGACCAUUUGGGUCCUACAGAAGUUGCAAAGUUGGACUACUGAGGUGUGAUCACAACUUUUGUCCUUAUUGCUUUCUCUGCGGCCAUUGCACGAUUUCCUUUAGCAUCAUUUUCUUGGCUAAAUAAGCGUAUUAUAUUUGUGGCAGACCGUCCACGUGUCAUAAACAGAUAUAUUAUAAUAAUGUAGUAUGCUUUUCUCCAAUGGAACAUGACACUCUUCUAAGUCUUGUUUUAAAUAUUGUGCAGGAUUACUUUAUACGUUGCAGUUCCAAGUCAAAAUUGGUGGGCAAACGUUGGCCUUUUUUCAUUUCACCUAAGAUUAAUGCUCACCUGGGAUAGGCACUACAUGACUUAUCUGCUCUUUUACUGUAAAGUUGCUUUGUGUAUGAGAUACACCUCCCCUGCACACCCUCAACAUUCGUUGCUCUGUUUUCCUUGUGUCCAGACGAGGAUAUUAAUUGGAGGCUGACAAAACGACUGCUAGCCCAGGAUUUACAAGGUCCUGGUUUGAGGCUUCGGUGAAAGUAUUUUUGAAAAGACACACAUAGAGAUAGUGCGUUUGGUGCAAUGCAGCACUGUGAGCCAUUCUGACGCGUUCUUAAUUUCAAAACUAAUGAAUGCUUCAAAAUUUUAAGAAGUGACAUUUCCAAAUAUUUGAGUUCGUUUAAUUGAACAUUGGAUAACUAGUGAUCAUAGAUUAUUAUCUGUGCUUGGCACUAUAAGAGGGUAUAUGCUUCUUUUUCUGGCCCCUCCUUCAAGGGAGGAGGGACAAUGUGAUCUGUAACGUUAGAAGCUAUUCCAUGUCAUCUUUGGGCUCAGUUCAAAACUAAAAGAUAAUGGGGGGGGGGGGGGGGGGCAUAUCAUUUUAUAUUUCUUCUAGAAGGUUUGUUCUGGAAAUAUUUCACAGGAGCAUAUCUUUUUCUUCUAUUACGUCAUCCGCAGCCUCCAAUAGGUCGGUUAACAAGCCACCGAGUUGAAAAGUUGGAAAAAUGGGAACACAGCCCGCCUCUUGUAUUCAGUAGUUAAAUAAAAGGUCACUAGAAGUGAGAUCCCUUUUGGCGUCUUGAUUUUCAAUCCAGCACCUCUGUGACCUGACAAACCAAAAAAACUAAAAAAUAAAAAACAGUACGUGGGUUGGUGUUAAGCAUCAAGACAUGUUAAUGAAAGAAGGUAGAGAAUAGGAUAUUGAAAUCCCAAUCCUGAUAACAUGAUUUUCUUUGCUAACAACCAUAUUAUAUUUUAUCAAGAAAGAGUAAUGCAUGUGGCGUCCAUCAAGACCCAUUAGAGUUCCGCUAAAGCUAUAGUUCUGUCAACGUUAUCAUUUACGUUUCCUCUAGAUAAUGGCAUUUUCCUCUAAAGCUCUUGCACCAUUAGGCUUCAAGUCAAAAUUUCACAUGUGAACUUUGGAAAUUUUCUCCAUUUGCCCCUAAGGAUACAGUUAGAAUUGACUUAAAAUCCUGAUUGAUAUGUACUAUUAACCAAAGAAUAUUGUAUAUAAUAAUUGAAAUAUUGUUGAUUCAUCGUGGAAAUACAUUUUGUAAGGAAAGUUGUUGAGAAUUUAGUAUGCUAUAUGGAGAAAAAAGUCAUGACUUAAGGUUGUGUAUGUAUAUUCUAUAUCAAAUAUUAGGUAGGAAUGUGGGAAAGAGCAGAGUGUAAUGAUAAGAAACAAAGAAAUAUAAGAUAUUCUUGAAAGUGGAAAAUAUAAAAUGGCUAACGAGUCAAAUUUAUGAUGCGUAAGGGGGAUCAUGUCACAUAAGAAAACCAUGGCAUACUAAAGACGUACGUGUGGUAUGGAGUAAUAAUUUUGUUAAAAUAAGUUUCUUGUUGGAGUACAUUAGGUGACUAUUCAUAACGUAUCAAAUUAAAGAGUCAAGUGCAUCAAUGAAGGCAUAUGUAGAAAAUUUGUUUGUGACAUGUACCAUAAAGAUAAGAUUGACUUGAUAGAAUUUAGUCUAAGUAGGAGUUGUUAAAGGUGUCUUAAAUUUCUAAUUGAUGUAUAUUUUUUUCUAAAAAAAUAUUAUAUAGAUAUUUUAAUAAAUGAUUAAUUCUUUGUAAAAAUACUUACAUAAUAAAAAACAUCAUUAAAAAUAUCUUUAUAAAUAUUUUAAGUUACAAGAAGGAAAAAAACCACUGUGAGAUAAUGAUGAACAUGCAACACUGUACCAAGUAAAUAAAAAUGUGAUAAAAAAAAAAGAGAAACACUCGAUAAAGGAAGGCUCGUAUAUAAAGAGUAAUAUUUUUAAUCAUAUGAUAGAAUGAUUUUCUCUCAUUCAUGAAUAUAGGCAAGAUUGGGGAACCAUUAUAAAAUUUUGUACACCUCGUGUAAAUUGAUGUUUGUCUUCAUAUUUUACACCAACAAAUGACAUUGAAGUUGUCAUUGAUAAAAGGGAAAAGGCAUGCCUCCACACCAUGUGCUUGAUUCGAAUGGUUCAAGUUUGAAGAAUUUUCUCCGGAAGAUCUAAAACAUUUUCGCCUUUAAAUUUCAUUUGAUUAUUAAUAUCCGAAAAAAUAGUUAAAUACUCUUUCUAUUUUUGAGUUGUUGAAUUUUUUGAAAGUUUUUAUAUUUGUUAUCAAGAAUUUCUAUUUUAUUAAGGGUGAAUAUUUAUAAAUAAGAUAUUAUAUAAUAUUUGGAUAAGAGAGAAUGGUGGAAUAUAAUAAAGUUUUAAUCCUUCCCAAUUUUGAACCUUUUUUUUUUUUUUUGAUAUAAUCGCCUUUCUCUUGCAAUCCUAUUAUCAGGUACCUUAUAUUUGCUGAUGCUAUCUGGAACUAAAUUCCAAUCAGGCAUUGUCCAAUUACUAAUAGGACAGAUCAUAUCUCUCUGUUUCUAAACUAACAUGUAUCGUAAUGUGACCUCAUAAGGAAGGCUAGGAAGAUGGAGGAUUUUGUGGGAAGCGACCAGAAUCAGAUGGAAGAGAGAUAGCCCUGUUGACCUAAUGGCUGUAAUAGGAGAAGCGUGUGGUUUUAUGGGACUUAACUGAUACUAAACCUGUAUGAUGCUUGGAGUGGUGUUUCUUUCAUUUUGUUAAGAAAAUAUGGCAGCAUACAUGCUUUCAACUGAGUGCAUCAGAGCAUCCAUAACAGAUGGUCUGCAACCCUAGGUGCAUGCCACUUUCUGACUGAUAAUGAAAUUGUCAGGUACCUGGCCUUGACUAAGCUCAACAGCAUCACAUAAAGAGAAGCUUUCAUACUUAGAUUACUGUUUAAAGUUUUUGCUUAUUUGAUUUCUUAAUGCCAUUAUGACAUUAUUGAUUCAAUUCUGCUUCCGAUUUUCGAAGUUCUGGGCAUCUACUGAUUGCAUCAUUAUAUGAGAAGUUGCAUGAGUUUAUGUAUCCUGUUAUUGUUCCUUUGCGAUUUCACUGCUCACGGGACUAACCUCUCCAUUCAGUCGAAAUGAAUUGUAAUUUCUUUACUGGUAGCAGUAGUACUUUUCAUAGCAAAGAUAAUAGAAAAUAUGAAAUAUAAAUAGAAGGAAAUCUGGAUUGUAGAUAGCACCAUAAGUAACACUCAAUAUUCACUACAUAAUAAAUAGACAGUGUUACAUAGGUAGAGAAACCUACAAUGAGUACUCAUCACCAUUCUCAAACAGAAACAUAGCAGCGACUUAUACAUAGAACCUAUAGGCUCGCAGGGAAAGAGUAACAUGAUAAGUUCACAGCGGGUAGCAGCUCUUAUUUUACGUAUUACUCAAAAUCUCAAACUAACCAAAGUCACUCAGUUGGGAUGGGUAGGAGAUGGUGGUUUGUGGGGUGGCUUCUGGGUAGGAGCUGGUGGCUUCUUUGUUGGAGUUGAAGGAGGCAUAUUCUUCUGAGGUGGCUUGUAUGACUCUUCGGCACUCUCUGCAGGAGGGUGCCCAGGGUUGUGACCAGAAGGAGGUGGCUUCUGUCCCUUUGGUGGUUUGCCUAAUGGGCUUGGUGGCUUGUGCUCCGGGAGUUGUUUCUCUCCCUCGAGUAGGUUUCGAGUUUUGUCAGAUGGCUUGUGUUCUGGUGGUGGCUUCUCUCCCUGGGGUGGUUUGCCGAAUGGGCUUGGUGGCUUGUGUUCGGGGAGUGGCUUCUCUCCCUGGAGAAGGUUACGAGUUUUGUCAGAUGGCUUUUGUUCUGGUGGCGGCUUCUCUCCCUGGGGUGGUUUGCCAAAUGGGCUUGGUGGCUUGUGUUCGGGAACUGGCUUCUCUCCCUUGGGAGGUUCAUUUGGUGGCUGGUGUUCCGUAGGUGGUUCCUUCACCGGCGGCUUGUGCUCCGGAAGCGGCUUCUCUACCUGGAGAAGCUUACGAGUUUUGUCAGAUGGCUUGUGUUGUGGUGGUGGCUUCUCUCCCGGGGGUGGUUUGCCAAAUGGACUUGGUGGCUUGUGUUCGGGGAGUGGCUUCUCUCCAUGGGGAGGUUUAGUUGGUGGUUGGUGUUGCGUAGGUGGUUUCUGAAGUGGGGGAUGCUUGGGGUAGUCAGCAAUAGACGAGGUAGUGAGAACCACCAGUCCCAACAGCAACACUAGCAAGGAUGUUGAAGACAUCUUUGAGUUCAGGCUGAGAUCUGUGCAAGGAUAAAAGAUUUAGGUGGCCUUUUAUAGAGGGCUGGACCCAACACCCAUAUGACACGUGUCAUGCACUCAUGGUGACACAUAAUUCUAUGGGACCAUUUGGGUCCUACAGAAGUUGCAAAGUUGGACUAUUGAGGUGUGAUCACAACUUUUGUCCUACUUGCUUUCUCUGCGGCCAUUGCACGAUUUCCUUUAGCAUCAUUUUCUUGUCUAAAUAAGCGUAUUAUAUUUGUGGCAGACCGUCCACGUGUCAUAAACAGAUAUAUUAUAAUAAUGUAGUAUGCUUUUCUUCAACGGAACUUGACACUCUUCUAAGUCUUGUUUUAAAUACUGUGCAGGAUUACGUCAUAAGUUGCUUGUUCCAAGUCAAAAUUGGUGGGCAAACGUUGGCCUUUUUUCAUUUUCCCUAAUAUUAAUGCUCACCUGGGAUAGGCACUACAUGAUUUAUCUGCUCUUUUACUGUGAAGUUGCUUUGUGCAUGAGUUACACCUCCCCUGCACACCCUCAACAUUUGUUGCUCUGUUUUUCUUGUGUCCAGACGAGGAUAUUAAUUGGAGGCUGACAAAACGACUGCUAGCCAAGGAUUUACAAGGUCCUGGUUUGAGGCUUUCACGAAAGUAUUUUUGAAAAGAUACACAUAGAGAUUGCGCGUUCGGUGCAAUGCAACAAUGUGAGCCAUUCUGAAGUCUUAAAUUUCAGAUUAAUGAAUGCUACAAAAUUCUAAGAAGGGCCGUUUCCAAAUAUUUGAGUUCAUUCAUCCGAACAUCGGGUAUAUGCUUCUUUCUCUAGCCCCUCCUUGAAGGGAGGAGGGACAAUGUGAUCUGUAUCGUUAGAAGCUAUUCCAUGUCGUCAUCUUUGGGCUCAGUUCAAUACUAAAAGAUAUGGGCGGGGCCCUUAUCAUUUUAUAUUUCUUCUAGAAGGUUUAUUCUGGAAAUCUUUCACAGAAACAUAUCUUUUUCUUCUCUACGUGAUCCGUGGUUUGAAAGUUGGAAAAAUGGGUCCGUUAACAAGCCACCGAGUUGAAAAGUUGGAAAAAUGGCAACACCGCCAACCUCUUGUAUUCGAUAGUUAAAUAAAAGGUCACUGGAAGUGAGAUCCCUUUUGGCCUCUUGAUUUUCAUUCCAGCAUCUCUAUGGCCUGAUAAAUUAAAAAACUAAAAAAAAAGACAGUACGUGGGUUGGUGUUAAGCAUCAAGAGUCAAGACAUGAUAAUGGAGAGAAAGGAUAUUCAAAUUCCAGUUCUGACAACAUGAUUUUCUUUGCUGAACUACCAUAUUAUAUUUGAUCAAGAAAGAGUAGUGCAUGUGGCCAGGAUCAAGACAUACAUUAAUUUCCACAUGAUGAAGACAGUUUCUGAGAGUUUCUUCUAAAGCUCUUGCGCGAGUAGGCUUCAAGUCAAAAUCUCCCAUGUAAACACUGGUUUUUCUUUCAUUGCCACUAAGGAUGCAGUUAAUAUUGACUUAAGAUCCUACGUGAUAUAUUUUUUUAAAAGAGCUAUAUUGUAGAUAAUAUUUGAAAUAAUGUUGAUUCGUUGUGGAAAUAUAUUUGUAAGGAAAGUUGUUGACAAUUUAAUAUAGUAUAAGAAGAAAAAAGUUAUCAACUAGCUAGAGAUGAGUAUGUAAAGUGAGGCUCACGAUUCAACGCGUAAAUAUAAGAUAUUUUAAGGCUCAAUAGUUAUGAUAUCUAUUUUAUUUUUUGUAUCUCAUAUAUUCAAAGAUAUAGUAAAAUGAUUUUACAUAUAUAUAUAUAUAUAUAUAUGAACAUAACUAUUUGUGCCAAUUGAUUUUUAUCUUUAUUUUGUAUAUUAGUAAUUAUAUUAAAGUUUUUACUAAUAUAAUAACUAAUAUAAAAGCUUUUUCUAAAAGAGUCAACAGAGCAAAACACUUAUUAUAAAAAAUAAUUUUGAUUGAAGGUGGAGUCAAUUAUUCUUUAUUUAACAUGUAAUGCAUACGGCGUGUACUUCAUAACUAAAGUAUAUAAGUGUAACAUCUCUUAUAUAUUCUCAUUCAAUCUCGAAAGUGGAAAUUUUAAAAAGAUUAAACGGUUCAAAUUUGUCGUGCAUAAAGGGGAUCAUGUCACAUAAGCAAACCAUGGCAUACCAAAGACAUAGGUAUGGACUAAGAAUUUUUUUCAAAUAAGUUUCUUAUUAGGGUACAUUAAUAGGUGACUUUUUAUGACAUAUCAAAGGAGUCAAGUGCACCAAUAAAAACAUAUAUAGAAAAUUCAUGCAUGACAUGUAUCACUAAGAGAAGAUUGACUUGAUAGAGUUUAAUCCAAAUAGGAGAUUGUUAAAAGGUGUCUCAAAUUCUUGAUUGAUAUAUAUUUUUUUUAUUAAAAAGGUUAUUAUAUAGAUAUUUCAAUAGACUAUUAAUUCUUUGUAAAAAUAGUUAUAUAAUGAGGAUGGUGAUUAAAAAUAUCUCUAUCAAUAUUUUGGAUUAUAAAAAGAAAAAAAAUGAGAUAAUGAUAAACAUAUAAAACUUGUACAAGUAGAUAAAGAUGUGAUGAAAGACACUUGAUGAAUGAAGGCUUUGUAUUUCAAGAUAUAAAUAUAUGGAGCAAAACUCUUAAUUAUAUGAUCAAAUGAUUCUCUCAUAUUCAUGAAUAUAAGCAGGAUUGGGGAACCAUGAUAGAAUCUUAUAUGCCUCUCCAUGUAGAGUGAUCGAUGUUUAUCUUCAUAUUUUACACCAGUGAAUGACAUUGAAACUCUUAUUGAUAAAAGGGAAAAGGCAUGGCCUCCACCCCAAGAAAAACAAGUAACCUCGGUUUAAAUCACUAGUCUACACCCCGAAGAGAGAACUAGCCAAACCUACUAAAAGAGAAACUUAACAAUUUAGAAAGAAACCGUCCAUGAUAAAGGGCCCCUAAAGGUCCAAUUCAGUGAGGUCGUGAACAAAAACACUUUCAUGUCAAAACAGAGAUAGGUACCACCAAAAUGUAAAGGGAAAGAUGUAAACCACGUCGAACUUUGGUAAUCAAUGGUAAAGAUAGCAUGAUAGCUAAAAGCACUAAAGCUGUGCUUGGUAUGCAAAAAUGAAAAGUGGAAAUCAGCGUCUUAUUCUUUUUCACCUUUAUUCACAUAUUAGGAUAACUAAUAUCUAAUGUUUUUUAUGUCUCAAAUUCUAUUCCAUGUUAUGGUAAACUUUCAUCUUGUUUAGAUCACUUUUGUCUGGUUUGGGCUCAAGACGAUAAGCCUAUAGAGACUUCAUAUUGGGUUGAAUCGAUGCCCUUGAUCUGAUCUGUUCGUUAGAAAAAUCUGAAUUAUUAUAAGCAUUUAGAUAAAAAAUAAAUAAAUGUGAAACACAAACUACUCCCUGCACAACCUUGACCCUAGUUACUCAGUUUCACUGCUCACAGGACUAACCUCUCCAUUCAGUCGAAAUGAAUUGUAACAAGAAGAUUUUUGACAGGAGGACGGUAGUUUAAAAUAAUAAUUUCUAAAGUACUUUUGUGAAAAAAAAUAAUUCCAAACGUGGAUUUUAUCAAGUAAAAAGAAAAAAAAAAGUUAUUUUCUUUUAAAAUCUGUUCUUCUAAAGAUGAUAUAUAUACCAAAAAAAAAAAUUGUUUUCUGAAGGUAAAAUUUUUAAAAUUCAUUUUUAAAAAAAUUUACACACUAAAAUUAUCUUUUCAAGAGAAGAUUUUUUUAAUUUUAAAUAAUUAUUAAUUUAUAAUUAAUUUGUUAUUAAUUAUUUAUUAAUUUUUUUAUUUGAAAAAUGCAUUUAUAAAAAACAAAUUUGUUAUUAAUUUAUUAAAUAAUUUUUACAAAAUAAAUAAUUUUUUUUUAUUUUAAUUUUAAAAUUAAUUUUAUUAUAUAAAUUUUAAAAUUAAAAAUAUUAAUAUUUAAUUUAAAAUUUAACUAUAAAAGGAAUAAAAUAUAGAAAAAUAAAUUAAUUUAUUAUUCAAUAAAUUAAUUUUCAAUAAAAUUUUCAGCAUUAAGAGAUAAAUUUUUAAGUAUUAAUCAAUUUAAAAAGAAAUAAUGAUCAUUUGUAUAUUAAGAUAUUUUAUUUAGUAAUUAUGAAUGAUAAACAACUAAAGUAAUUUGAAAAAAUAAUAAAAUAUUUAAAAAAUAAUAAUUUAAUACACGUAAAAUUAGAAAUGAUUAACUAUUUUUUAUUAAGAAAAAAUUGAGGAAAUAUUUUGUUAUUUAAAAUUUUUUAUUUGUUUUCAAUUUUUAAUGUUAUAGGUUUCAAGAAAAUUGAUCAAAUAAAAAUUAAGAAGUCAUUUUUUCAAAAACUAUAUAUCUAAAUAAAAGCCUUGAAAUUCAAAUACACAAUAUCAUAAAUAUAAACACCAAGUCAAUCCUUAAUUAUCAAAUGUUUUUAAUAUUAAAGAAUCAAAAUCACCUACUAUCAUGAUAAUAAGAAAACCAAUAAUAUUGUUCAUAUAAAUACUAAAAAGCUAACAAAUAUCCCAAACAAUUAAUAAAGUAUCAAACAUGAUAAAAAGUCAAUUAUUAUCAUGAAUGCAAAAAAUCAAUAAUUUUGUUUAUAUGAACCAUCAACAAAGAAAAAAAAAAUCAAUAUCUAAAUAUUAAACAUAAUUUAUAUUUUUAUAAAUAUUAUUGUUGAUAAAUAUCUUAACAAUUAUAAUUUUAGUAAAUAAAAUUAAUUAAUUUUAGUUUAAGAAUUAUUUUUUUAUACUUUCGUAUUCUUAUCAAAAAUCCCCAUUUUGCAUGUCUCCUUUGGCAUGACUUUCUUACCUAAACAAGCAUAUAUAUAUAUAUAUAUAUAUAAAAUAUUUGGUUAAGAAAGAGUACUAAAGUUUAUAUGGCACACAUCAAGAUAGAAACAGAAGUGGAAGAUAAUCCAAAUGUAUGAACAGAUAUAUUAUAUCCAUGUAGUGGUAGUGACUUCAUUAUUUACUUUUAUCUAAUGGAGCAUGACACACUUCUUCUGAAUAUUUUGCACGAUUAUGUUAUGUGUCAGCUUGUUCUAAGUCAAAACUAGUGAUAAAAAUCGGUUUUUUUUGCAUUUCCUUCAUGAAGAUGGCACCUGGAUGGGGCACUACAUGAGUGGCAUAGCACGAAGUGAUUUAUCUGCUCCCUUUACUAUAAAGUGCUUUGUGUAUAAGUUACACCUCCCCUGCACUGCCUCAACAUUUGUUGUUCUGUCUUCCGUCUGUCCAAACGAGGACAAACGUAUGUUGUAGGUUGACAAAACCACAGCUAGCCUAGGAUUUGCAAGGAUCUAGUUUGAUUCGUAUGCAAAAGGAUUGGUGAAAAGAUUCACAAAGAUAAUGCUUUUUGCAAUGCAAUCUUGUUCUAAUUCAACAGUGUGGACCAUUUUCAUGUAAUGCUUCAACUAGAUGUCAGUUUCAUGAAUUUUUGUUCAUCUAAUUGAUCACUGGAUAGGCCAUAACCCGAAGAAAUUCAAAAUUCCCUUCAGUACUGUAGCUAAGGAAAGAUCCCUAUCUACCACUGGGAUUUUAAGAGGGUAAAAAUGUAGGUGGGUGCCUAUAUCAUUUGCACUUCACUAUAGGCCUCUUUGGGAAGAUUUCUUCUGAAGACAUUUCAAAGAAACAUAUUUUUCUCUUCUCUCCGUAAACGGCAGCUGCAAGUCAGUCCAUUCACAGGCCACCGAGUUGAAAAGGCUGGAAAAUUGGCCAAAGCACCCGCCUCCUGGAUUCCAUGGGUAAGGAAAAGGUCACUGGAGGUGUGAUCCCUGUUGGCCUCUUGAUUUCCAUUCCGCCAUCUAUAUGACCUGAUAACCCAAAAACACAGAAGGAAAACGUCACCUGGGUUCAUAGUAAGCAUCAAGUCAUGAUAGAGACCAGACAACAUGACCAACAAAGAGUAGCGAAUGGGGCCAACAUCAAGCCCCAUUACGGUUAGAAGAUGGAAGAAGUAGAAGACAAUCCAAUUCUGAUAGAUUCGGGCAAAUGUAGUGCUGUUCAAACUUAAUCAUUUACUAUUUCUUCAUGAAUCACGGCAUUUUUCUUCUGAAAAUUUUCCAAGAUUAGGCCUCUGAAGAAAAAUUUCAUAUGUAAAUUGGUAUAUUAAGGAAAAGGCGUUACAAAGGUGAAAAAAAACCAAUCAAAUCUUAUAUAUGACAUCUCAAAAAUAUGAACUUGCUAUAAAUAUUUAAAAUCAAAAUCUUGCACAUCACCUCGUAGUACGAACUUGCUAUAAAACUUGAAAAUCAAGAAGAAAGGGGCAGUAUUGGACGAGACUACUUAGCACAUAUUAUUAUGAUGUUUUUUCAUUUUCUUAAUGUUGUUUUUAUGUCUUAAAUUCUAUUAUUCUAUGUUACGGUAAACAUUCAUCUUGUUUGUGUGGAAUAGGAUCACUUUUCUCUGGGUUGAGUCGAUGCCCUUAGUUAAUUUGUUCAUUUGAAUAAACUAAAUUAUUAUAAGUAUUUAGAUAAGAAAAACGUGAUACAUAAAUUACGCCUCUCGGCACAACUUCAACACUGGUUACUCUGUUUCAGUUUCCUCACACAAGAUUAUUGGUUCUAGGGUUUAUUUGGUUUUGGUUUGAUUCUAAUUGCUAAACUUUCUCAAGGAAGAUGUUAUAUAGGGAGUGAGAAACCUUCACUCUUGGCUACCUCCAAGAGAAGAGCAAGUGGUCUGAAUCAAAGAUAUACUGCUCACUUUUUCUUCUUCUAAGGACAGCUAUGACCUUGCUUUAAGGUUCGAAUAGCCUAAUGCAACCUCCCAUUUCUCAAGUCAGCUGAUGAUGUAAGUCACCUUGGCUUUCCACAUUCAUACGGUGAGGACGUUUGUGGGUGUAAUUCUCUUAACAGUUUUCAUUUUAUAUGGAAAAAUUCAUAAUUAAGGGUAAUUACUGAUUCCAUUUGACAGUGACCAAGUUUAAAAUAUUAAUUCAUAUAUUAAAUGCACAUUAAAAAAUCAUGGAAUAAAUAUAUUUACUAAUAUAUAGUUCUUUUGCCAUGUUCUGUCACAGAAGCAUCGAACUUUCCCUAGAAAUUUUUGCAUGGUAUUCUACUUAUGAUUUUGAAAACUCUAGGCACCUGAGGCCACUAAUUGCAUGGUUGGAUGAGGAGCUGCAUGAGAUUAUGUAUCGUGUUGUUCCUUAACUACAAAUAUCAGUUUUAAGUAGCAUCUCCAUGUGACAUUUUCCUGAUGCAAUUUCGCUGUCCACCAACAAAUUUCACCAUGCAGCAAGAUGAAUUGUAAUUUCUUUAUUGUUAUCAACAGCUUUAAUUAAUCUUGAUAUAUAUAUAUAACUUAGUAGAAGUAUAUUAAUCUAGAUUGUAGUUGCACUAAGAUAAUAGGCAAUAUUAUAACAGUGCCACAAUGCUCAUCGCCAAAUAGAAAGGUAGAAAAACUACAAUGAGUAACUCACAACAUUCUCAAACAGGACAUAGCGGCGACUGAUACAUAGAACACUAUUGGCACUCAGGAAAUGAUAAGAUCAGUGCCCAGCAGGCAGCACGUCUUAUUUUACAUACUACUUAAAACUAACCAAAGUCAUUCAGUUGGGAUGGGUGGGAGAUGGUGGUUUGUGCGGUGGCUUUUGGGUAGUUGGUGGCUUCUUUCCUGGAACUGAUGGUUUUUUUGUUGGAGUUGAAGGAGGCUUAAUCGUCUGAGGUGGCUUGUAUGAGUCUUCAGCACUCUCUGCGGGAGGGUGCCCAGGGUUGUGACCAUAAUGGGGUGGCUUCUCUCCCUUAGUUGGUUUGCCAAGUGGGCUGGCUGGCUUGUGCUCCGGGAGCGGCUUCUCUCCCUUAGGUGGUUUGCCAAAUGGGCUUGCUGGCUUGUGCUCUGGGAGCGGCUUCUCUCCCUCAAGAAGUUUACGGGUUUUGUCAGAUGGCUUGUGUUCUGGUGGUGGCUUCUCUCCUUGGGGUGGUUUGCCAAAUGGACUUGGUGGCUUGUGUUCGGGGAGUGGCUCCUCUCCCUUGGGAGGUUUAGUUGGUGGCUGGUGUUCCAUAGGUGGUUUCUCAACCGGGGGCUUGUUCUCCGUUGGUGGUUUAUGAACUGGGGGAUGCUUGGGGUAGUCAGCAAGAGACGGGGUGGUGAGAACCACCAGUCCCAGCAGCAACACUAGCAAGUAUGUGGAAGAGUACAUCUUUGAGUUCAGGCUGAGAUUUGUGCGAGACUUGAAGAAUUAGGUGGCCUUUUAUAGCUGGCUGCACCCAACACUCACAUGACACGUAUCAUGGUGACACAUGUGCUAUGGGUCCAUUUGGGUCCUACAGAAGCUGAAAACUUUUGACUAUUGAGGUGUGGUCACAACUUUUGUCCCUAUUGCUUUCUCCGCAACCGUUUUACAUGUUUCCUUUGGCAUAAUUUUCUAAGCUAAACAAGCAUAUAUCAUAUUUGGUUAAGAAAGAGUAAAGUGUAUAUGGCACACAUCAAGGAAGAGAAACAGAAAAAGUGGGAGACAAUCAAUUGUGAUAAACAGAUAUAUUAUAUUCAUGUAGUACUAGUGACUUUAUCAUUUACUUUUAUCCAAUAGAUCAUCACUCUUUCUUCUAAAUAUUUUGGAGGAUAAUGGUACAUGUUGCUUGUUUCCAAGUCAAAAUUGGUGGCAAAAAUCGGCAUGAUACGAAAGGAUUGGUGAAAAGAUUCACAUAGAUGGUGCUUUGUGCAAUGCAGUCUUGCUCUAAUUCAACAGAGUGGACCAUGGUGAUGUAUUUUAAAUUUUAAAUUUUAAAUUAAUGCAUGCUUCAAAGUUUUAACUAGAUGUCACUUCCAUGGAUUUUUGUUCAUUUAAUUGAGCACAGGAUAGGCUAUCAAACUUGAAGUAAUAUAAAAAUCCCUUCAUUACUGUAACUAAUGAAAGAUCAUUAUCUGCGCUUGGUAUUUUGCCAAGGUAUUUGCUGCUCUUUCUAGCCCUGUCUUACAGUUAAGGACAAUGUGAUCUAGUUAACCUUAGAAGCUAUUCCAUGUCAGAUACAAGAGAUCAAGCACAUUAUCUUUGGGCUCAGUUCAAAACUAUAAUAUAUGGGUGGGGUGGAGGCCCAUAUCAUUUGCAUAUCACCACUAUUGGUUUAGUUUGGAAGGUUUCUUCUGGAAGAUUGCUGCUUUCUGGAAUCAUUUCAAAGAAAUAUAUCUUUUUGUUCUCUUGGUGACGAGCAGCGGCAAUCAAGUCUGUUGACAAACAACCGAGUUGAAAAGUUUGAAAAUUGGUCACAGCCCACGUCCAUGGUUAAGGAAAAGGUCACUGGAAGUGAUCCCUUCUGGGCCUCUUGAUUUCCAUUCUGACAUCUAUAUGACCUGAUAAAUAGAAAGAAAAAAAAACAGAAGAAAAGCGGCACCCGGGUUCAUAGUAAGCAUCAAGACAGGAUACUGAAAGAAGGGAGAAAGGAGAUUGCAAGUCCAAUCCUGAUAAAAUGAUCAACAAAGAGUAUCAAAAUGGGGCCAACAUAAAGACCCAUUGAGGUUAGCAGAUGGCAUGGCAUUUUUCUCCUUAAGUUUUCCAUGAUUAGACUUGAAGUCAAAAUUUCACAUGUAAAUUUGUAUUUCUACAUUUCCCACUGACGACACCCAACUUCAACUUGAGUUAGAAUAACAUUGUGUGAACUUAUCUGGCCCUCAAAAUUUACUGUGAAGUGCUUUCUGCGUGUGAAGAUUCAGAAAAGCACCAAGGGAACAUGUAUGGUCUGCCUUUUUCUGAUGUUAUGUUUGUCUCUAAUUCUGUUCCAUGUCAUGGUAAAUGUUCACAUUGCUUGUAUGGAACACACCAGGAUCACUUUUUCGGGUUUAUUUUGAGGCUUCAUAUUGGGUUCAUAUUGGGUUCAAUGCUUUUAAUGUGUUCAUUAGACAAAUCUGAAUUAUCAUAUGCAUUUAGAUAAGAACAAUAAUGUGAAACCCUAGUUACACCUCCCCUGCAUAACCCCAACCCUGCUUACUCUAUUUCAGUUUACUCACACAAGUUUUACCGGUUCUUAUAAGUCAAGAAAAGGCAACUGAUGUUGGAUUGACUCUCUUCCAUGUAUAAAAAGCAACUUUUAUAUAUACAUAAAAUAACUUCUUCCCCUCACCAAUGUGGGAUAUCAUGGAUUUAUUCUGGAAACACAUCAAAGGAACAUCUUUUCUCUUGGGUGACCCUAAGUGGUGAGUCAGACCAUUUGCAUGCCAUUGAGUUGCACAGUUGGAUAAAUGCACCUACCUCCUGGGCUCCAGAGUUAAAAGGGUGGAUCCCUGGAUCGCAACCCUCUUGGCAUCUUGGUUUCCAUUCCAACAUCCACAUGACUUGACAAAACAAAAAACAGAAUAAAAUCAUCACUAUUUUCAUGCUAAGCACCAAUACAUGAUGGAAAUCAUUGCUUAAAGAUUUGGGGUCAUUUAGGUUUUGACUGCCUCCUAACACCUCACCUAAUCACAAGUUUUUAUGCUUACAAAUCAAAUAUCGUUCUUCAUUAUAUUAAAAUCAUUUUAAGAUUUCAGAUCCAUCUGCUAAUUAUGAUUAUGAUAACAUUAAUUCACCUGUGCUUCUCAUUUUCGACACACAAGGCAUCUAGGUUUGCAGGAUUUCCUUAUUAGAUGAGAUAAAUGAGUACGCAUGGUUAUGUAUGCAGCAUUCAUUAACCAUGGUAUGUGACAUUUAGAAUUAAGAUAGCAAGCAAACUUUCCCUGCAGCUUGAGUAAAUUGUGAUUUCUUAGCCUCUAUGAGUGGUUCCCAAAUCAAAUUAACAUAGUGAAAUAUACGUAGUCCAGUGAAAGGAAAUGUAAAUUAUAAACUAACAGCACUACACUACUGGUAACACUCGAUACUCUCUAUAUAAUGCAAUGAAAUAUACGUUAUACGUUGCUUGUUCCAAGUCAAAAUUUGUGGCCAAACGUUGGCCUUUUUUCAUUUUCCCUAAGAUUAAUGCUCACCUGGGAUAGGCACUACAUGAUUUAUCUGCUCUUUUACUGUAAAGUUGCUUUGUGUAUGAGUUACACCUCCCCUGCACACCCUCAACAUUUGUUGCUCUGUUUUCCUUGUGUCCAGACGAGGAUAUUAAGUGGGGGCUGACAAAACGACUGCUAGCCAAGGAUUUACAAGGUCCUGGUUUGACGCUUCCGCGAAAGUAUUUUUGAAAAUAUACACAUAGAGAUUGCGCGUUCGGUGCAAUGCAACAAUGUGAGCCAUUCUGAAGUUUUUAAUUUCAGAUUAAUGAAUGCUACAAAAUUCUAAGAAGGGCCGUUUCCAAAUAUUUGAGUUCAUUUAUCCGAACAUCGGAUAAGUAAUGAUCAUAGAUUAUUAUUAUUAUCUGACGUUCUUAUAAUGGUUGGCAUUAUAAGAGGGUAUAUGCUUCUUUCUCUAGCCCCUCCUUCAAGGGAGGGACAAUGUGAUCUGUAUCGUUAGAAGCUAUUCCAUGUCGUCAUCUUUUGGCUUAAGUCAAUACUAAAAUAUAUGGGCGGGGCCCCUGUCAUUUUAUAUUUCUUCUAGAAGGUUUGUUCUGGAAAUCUUUCACCGAAACAUAUCUUUUUCUUCUCUACGUGAUCCGUGGUUGGAAAGUUAGAAAAAUGGGUCCGUUCACAAGCCACCGAGUUGAAAAGUUGGAAAAAUGGCAACACCGCCAACCUCUUGUAUUCGAUAGUUAAAUAAAAGGUCACUGGAAGUGAGAUCCCUUUUGGCCUCUUGAUUUUCAUCCCAGCAUCUCUAUGUCCUGAUAAACUAAAAAACUAAAAAAAAAACAGUACGUGGGUUGGUGUUAAGCAUCAAGAGUCAAGACAUGAUAAUGGAGAGAAAGGAUAUUCAAAUUCCAGUUCUGACAACAUGAUUUUCUUUCCUGAACAACCAUGUUAUAUUUGAUCAAGAAAGAGUAGUGCAUGUGGCCAGGAUCAAGACAUACAUUAAUUUCCACAUGAUGAAGACAGUUUCUGAGAGUUUCUUCUAAAGCUCUUGCGCUAGUAGGCUUCAAGUCAAAAUUUCCCAUGUAAACACUGGAUUUUCUUUAAUUGCCACUAAGGAUACAGUUAAAAUUGACUUAAAAUCCUACGUGAUAUAUAUCUUUAACAAAAGUAUAUUGUAUAUAAUAUUUGAAAUAAUGUUGAUUCGUUGUGGAAAUAUGUUUGUAAGGAAAGUUGUUGACAAUUUAAUAUAGUAUAAGAAGAAAAAAGUUAUCAACUAGAGAUGAGUAUGUAAAGUGAGGCUCACGAUUCAACGCGUAAAUAUAAGAUAUUUUAAGGCUCAAUAGUUAUGAUAUCUAUUUUAUUUUUUGUAUCCCAUAUAUUCAAAGAUACAGUAAAAUGAUUUUAUAUAUAUGAACAUAGCCGAUAGUAUCAUGUUAAAACCUUAUAUGACUCUUUGUGCCAAUUGAUUUUUAUCUUUAUUUUGUGUAUUAGUAAUUAGUAUUAAAGUUUUUACUAACAUAAUAAUUGAUAUAAAAGCUUUUUCCAAAAGAGUCAAACAGAGCAAAACACUUAUUAUAAAAAGAAUUUUGAUUGAAGGUGGAGUCAAUUAUUCUUUAUUCAACAUGUGAUGCAUACAGCGGGUACUUCAUAACUAAAGUAUAUAAGUGCAACAUCUCUUAUACAUUCUCAUUCAAUCUCGAAAGUGGAAAAUUUUAAAAGAUUAAAUGGUUCAAAUUUUCCGUGCAUAAAGGGGAUCAUGUCACAUAACCAAACCAUGGCAUACCAAAGCCAUGAUAUGGACUAAGAAUUUUGUUAAAAUAAGUUUCUUAUUAGGGCACAUUAUGUGACUAUUUAUGACAUAUCAAAGGAGUCAAGUGCAUCAAUAAAGACAUAGAAAAUUCAUGCAUCACAUGUACCACUAAGAGAAAAUUGACUUGAUAGAGUUUAGUCCAAAUAGGAGAUUGUUAAAAGGUGCAUCAAAUUCUUGAUUGAUAUAUAUUUUUUUUAUUAGAAAGGUUAUUAUAUAGAUAUUUCAAUAGACUAUUAAUCCUUUGUAAAAAUAGUUAUAUAAUGAGGAUGGUGAUUAAAAAUAUCUCUAUCAAUAUUUUGGAUUAUAAAAAGAAAAAAAAUAUGAGAAAAUGAUAAACAUAUAAAACUUGUACAAGUAGAUAGAGAUGUGAUGAAAGACACUUGAUGAAUGGAGGCCUUGUAUUUCAAGAUGUAAAUAUAUGGAGCAAAACUCUUAAUUAUAUGAUCAAAUGAUUCUCUCAUAUUCAUGAACAUAAGCAGGAUUGGGGAACCAUGAUAGAAUCUUAUAUGCCUCUCCAUGUAGAUUGAUCGAUGUUUAUCUUCAUAUUUUACACCAAUGAAUGACAUUGAAACUCUGAUUGAUAAAAGGGAAAAAGCAUGGCCUCCACCACAAGAAAAACAAGUAACCUCGGUCUAAAUCACUAGUCUACACCCCGAAGAGAGAACUAGCCAAACCUACUAAAAGAGAAACUUACCAAUUUAGAAAGAAAUCUUCCAUGAUAAAGGGCCCCUAAAAGUCCAAUUCAGUCAGGUUGUGAACAAAAACACCUUCAUGUCAAAACAGGAAUAGGUACCACCAAAAUGUAAAGGGAAAGAUGUAAACCAAGUCGAACUUUGGUAAACAAUGGUAAAGAUAGCAUGAUAGCUAAAAGCACUAAAGCUGUGCUUGGUAUGCAAAAAUGAAAAGUGGAAAUCAGCGUCUUAUUCUUUUUCUCCUUUAUUCACAUAUUAGGAUAACUAAUAUCUAAUGUUUUUUUUAUGUCUCAAAUUCUAUUCCAUGUUAUGGUAAACUUUCAUCUUGUUUAAGUGGAAGAGUAGGAUCACUUUUGUCUGGUUUGGGCUCAAGACGAUAAGCCUAUAGAGACUUCAUAUUGGGUUGAAUUGAUGCCCUUGAUCCGAUCAGUUCGUUAGAAAAAUCUGAAUUAUUAUAAGCAUUUAGAUAAAAUAAAUAAAUAAAUGUGAAACAGAGACUAUUCUCUGCACAACCUUGACCCUAGUUACUCAGUUUCACUGCUCACGGGACUAACCUCUCCAUUCAGUCGAAAUGAAUUGUAAUUUCUUUACUGGUAGCAGUAGUACUUUUCAUAGCAAAGAUAAUAGUAAAUAUGAAAUAUAAAUAUAUAGAAGGAAAUCUGGAUUGUAGAUAGCACCAUAAGUAACACUCAAUAUUUACUACAUAAUAAAAGAGAUAGUGUUACAAAGGUAGAGAAACCUACAAUGAGUACUCAUCACCAUUCUCAAACAGAAACAUAGCAGUGACUUAUACAUAGAACCUAUAGGCUCGCAGGGAAAGAGUAACAUGAUAAGUGCACAGCGGGUAGCAGCUCUUAUUUUACGUAUUACUCAAAAUCUCAAACUAACCAAAGUCACUCAGUUGGGAUGGGUAGGAGAUGGUGGUUUGUGGGGUGGCUUCUGGGUAGGAGCUGGUGGCUUCUUUGUUGGAGUUGAAGGAGGCGUAAUCUUCUGAGGUGGCUUGUAUGAGUCUUUGGCACUCUCUGCAGGAGGGUGCCCAGGGUUGUGACCGGAAGGAGGUGGCUUCUGUCCCUUUGGUGGUUUGCCUAAUGGGCUUGGUGGCUUGUGCUCCGGGAGUUGUUUCUCUCCCUCGAGUAGGUUUCGAGUUUUGUCAGAUGGCUUGUGUUCUGGUGGUGGCUUCUCUCCCUGGGGUGGUUUGCCGAAUGGGCUUGGUGGCUUGUGUUCGGGGAGUGGCUUCUCUCCCUUGGCAGGUUCAGUUGGUGGCUGGUGCUCCGUAGGUGGUUUCUUCACCGCCGGCUUCUCUCCCUGGAGAAGGUUACGAGUUUUGUCAGAUGGCUUCUGUUCUGGUGGCGGCUUCUCUCCCUGGGGUGGUUUGCCAAAUGGGCUUGGUGGCUUGUGUUCGGGAACUGGCUUCUCUCCCUUGGCAGGUUCAGUUAGUGGCUGGUGUUCCGUAGGUGGUUUCUUCACCGGCGGCUUGUGCUCCGGAAGCGGCUUCUCUACCUGGAGAAGCUUACGAGUUUUGUCAGAUGGCUUGUGUUGUGGUGGUGGCUUCUCUCCCUGGGGUGGUUUGCCAAAUGGACUUGGUGGCUUGUGUUCGGGGAGUGGCUUCUCUCCAUUGGGAGGUUUAGUUGGUGGUUGGUGUUCCGUAGGUGGUUUCUGAAGUGGGGGAUGCUUGGGGUAGUCAGCAAGAGACGAGGUAGUGAGAACCACCAGUCCCAGCAGCAAUACUAGCAAGGAUGUGGAAGACAUCUUUGAGUUCAGGCUGAGAUUUGUGCAAGGCUAGAAGAAUUAGGUGGCCUUUUAUAGCGGGCUGGACCCAACAACCAAAUGACACGUAUCAUGAUACACAUAUGUGUUAUAAGAUCCUUGUGGGUCCUACAGAAGUUGAAAACUUUGACAAUUGAGGUGUGAUUACAACUUUUGUCCCUAUUGCUUUCUCGUCAGCCGUUUUGCAAGAUUUUUGACAGGAGGACGGUAGUUUAAAAUAAUAAUUUCUAAAGUACUUUUGUGAAAAAAAAUAAUUCCAAACGUGGAUUUUAUCAAGUAAAAAAAACAAAAAAAAGUUAUUUUCUUUUAAAAUCUUUUCUUCAUGAUUCAUAUACCAAAAAAAGAAUUGUUUUCUGUAGGUAAAAUUUUUAAAAUUCAUUUUUAAAAAAAAAAAAUUACACACUAAAAUUAUCUCUUCAAGAAAAUAUUUUUUAAAUUUUAAAUAAUUAUUAAUUUAUAAUUAAUUUUUUAUUAAUUAUUUAUUAAAUUUAUAUGUGAAAAAUGCAUUUAUAAAAAACAAAUUUUUUAUUAAUUUAUUAAAUAAUUAUUUACAAAAUAAAUAAUUUUGCUUUAUUUUAAUUUUAAAAUUAAUUUUAUUAUAUAAAUUUUAAAAUUAAAAAUAUUAAUAUUUAAUUUAAAAUUUAACUAUAAAAGGAAUAAAAUAUAGAAAAAUAAAUUAAUUUAUUAUUCAAUAAAUUAAUUUUCAAUAAAAUUUUCAGCAUUAAGAGAUAAAUUUUUAAGUAUUAAUCAAUUUAAAAAAUAAUAAUAAUCAUUUGUAUACUAAGAUAUUUUAUUUAGUAAUUAUGAAUGAUAAACAACUAAAGUAAUUUGAAAAAAUAAUAAAAUAUUUAAAAAUAAUAAUUUAAUACACUUAAAAUUAGAAAUGAUUAACUAUUUUUUAUUAAGAAAAAAUUGAAGAAAUAUUUUGUUAUUUAAAAUUUUUUAUUUGUUUUCAAUUUUAAAUGUUAUAGGUUUCAAGAAAAUUGAUCAAAUAAAAAUUAAGAAGUCAUUUUUUCAAAAACUAUAUAUCUAAAUAAAAGCCUUGAAAUUCAAAUACACAAUAUCAUAAAUAUAAACACCAAGUCAAUCCUUAAUUAUCAAAUGUUUUUAAUAUUAAAGAAUCAAAAUCACCUACUAUCAUGAUAAUAAGAAAACCAAUAAUAUUGUUCAUAUAAAUACUAAAAAGCUAACAAAUAUCCCAAACAAUUAAUAAAGUAUCAAACAUGAUAAAAAGUCAAUUAUUAUCAUGAAUGCAAAAAAUCAAUAAUUUUGUUUAUAUGAACCAUCAACAAAGAAAAAAAAAAUCAAUAUCUAAAUAUUAAACAUAAUUUAUAUUUUUAUAAAUAUUAUUGUUGAUAAAUAUCUUAAUAAUUAUAAUUUUUUAUAUAUUAAAUUUAGUAAAUAAAAUUAAUUAAUUUUAUAAUAUAAGAUAUAUAUAAUAAUUAAGAGACUAUUUGUCCCAAACAAUUUAUUUAUUUUUUUUUUAGGAAAUUGUCUCUUCAAGAGACGACUUCUCCCAACAUUUUUAAAAAAAAAAAAAAAAACAUCUAUUCAAAAGACGAUUUCUCCUCAUUUUUUAAAAAUGAAUUUUAGAAAUCAUAUUUUCAAAAAUGAAUUUUAGAAAUCAUAUUUUCAAAAGACGAUUUUUUUUUAUAUAAAUUAUUUUUUAAAAUGACGAUUUUAAAAGGAAAUAACGAUCUCUCUCCUACUUGGCAAAAACUAUGGUAAAUUUGGAAUUAUUUCUUCCACAACCAUAGUUUAAGAAUUAUUUUUUUAUACUUUCGUAGACUUAUCAAAAAUCCCUAUUUUGCAUGUCUCAUUUGGCAUGACUUUCUUACCUAAACAAGCAUAUAUAUAUAUAUAUAUAUAUAUAUCACUUUUGUCUGGGUUGAGUCAAUGCCCUUAACUAAUUUGUUCAUUUGAAUAGUCUAAAUUAUUAUAAGCUUUUAGUUAAGAAAAAUGUGAAACAUAAAUUACACCUCUCGGCACAACUUCGACACUGGUUACUCUGUUUCAGUUUAUUCACACAAGAUUAUUGGUUCUAGGGUUUAUUUGGUUUUGGUUUGAUUCUAAUUGCUAAACUUUCUCAAGGAAGAUGUUAUAUAGGGAGUGAGAAACCUUCACUCCUGGCUACCUCCAAGAGAAGAGCAAGUGGUCUGAAUCAAAGAUAUACUGCUCACUUUUUCUUCUUCUAAGGACAGCUAUGACCUUGCUUUAAAAUGUUCGAAUAGCCUAAUGCAACCUCCCAUUUCUCAAGUCAGCUGAUGAUGUAAGUCACCUUGGCUUUCCACAUUCAUACGGUGAGGACGUUUGUGGGUGUAAUUCUCUUAACAGUUUUCAUUUUAUAUGGAAAAAUUCAUAAUUAAGGGUAAUUACUGAUUCCAUUUGACAGUGACCAAGUUUAAAAUAUUAACUCAUGUAUUAAAUGCACAUUAAAAAAUCAUGGAAUAAAUAUAUUUACUAAUAUAUAGUUCUUUUGUCAUGUUCUGUCACAGAAGCAUCGAACUUUCCCUAGAAAUUUUUGCAUGGUAUUCUGCUUAUGAUUUUGAAAACUCUAGGCACCUAAGGCCACUGAUUGCAUGGUUGGAUGAGGAGCUGCAUGAGAUUAUGUAUCCUGUUGCUCCUUAACUACAAAUAUCAGUUUUAAGUAGCAUCUCCAUGUGACAUUUUCCUGAUGCAAUUUCGCUGUCCACCAACAAAUGUCUCCAUGCAGCUAGAUGAAUUGUAAUUUCUUUGUUGUUAUCAACAGCUUUAAUUAAUCUUGAUAUAUAUAUAACUUAGUAGAAGUAAUUAAUCUAGAUUGUAGUUGCACUAAGAUAAUAGGCAAUAUUAUAACAGUGCCACAAUGCUCAUCGCCAAAUAGAAAGGUAGAAAAACUACAAUGAGUAACUCACACAACAUUCUCAAACAGGACAUAGCGGCGACUGAUACAUAGAACACUAUUGGCACUCAGGAAAUGAUAAGAUCAGUGCCCAGCAGGCAGCACGUCUUAUUUUACAUACUACUUAAAACUAACCAAAGUCAUUCAGUUGGGAUGGGUGGGAGAUGGUGGUUUGUGCGGUGGCUUCUUUCCUGGAACUGGUGGUUUUUUUGUUGGAGUUGAAGGAGGCUUAAUCGUCUGAGGUGGCUUGUAUGAGUCUUCAGCACUCUCUGCAAGAGGGUGCCCAGGGUUGUGACCAUAAUGAGGUGGCUUCUCUCCCUUAGGUGGUUUGCCAAGUGGGCUGGCUGGCUUGUGCUCCGGGAGCGGCUUCUCUCCCUUAGGUGGUUUGCCAAAUGGGCUUGCUGGCUUGUGCUCUGGGAGCGGCUUCUCUCCCCCAAGAAGUUUGCGGGUUUUGUCAGAUGGCUUGUGUUCUGGUGGUGGCUUCUCUCCUUGGGGUGGUUUGCCAAAUGGACUUGGUGGCUUGUGUUCGGGGAGUGGCUCCUCUCCCUUGGGAGGUUUAGUUGGUGGCUGGUGUUCCGUAGGUGGUUUCUCAACCGGGGGCUGGUGCUCCGUAGGUGGUUUAUGAACUGGGGGAUGCUUGGGGUAGUCAGCAAGAGACGGGGUGGUGAGAACCACCAGUCCCAGCAGCAACACUAGCAAGUAUGUGGAUGACAUCUUUGAGUUCAGGCUGAGAUUUGUGCAAGACUAGAAGAAUUAGGUGGCCUUUUAUAGCUGGCUGCACCCAACACUCACAUGACACGUAUCACGGUGACACAUGUGCUAUGGGAUCCAUUUGGGUCCUACAGAAGUUGAAAACUUUUGACUAUUGAGGUGUGAUCACAACUUUUGUCCCUAUUGCUUUCUCCGCAACCGUUUUACAUGUUUCCUUUGUGGUGUUUAAUAGUGUUUUUUUCCUUAAUUCUAAAUAAACCUUAAUACUUAAUAAUGUUAAAUAUUAGGUUAUUUAUUUUUAUAAUAUUUUAUUUAUAUUAAGUAUUAAAAAGUAAAGAAAAAUCAAUAUAUUUAUUUUUCUAUUUAGAAAAAACUAUAUAUUUUUAAUUUUUUUAUUUAAUAAAAAAUUUAUAAUAAAUCAUGAAAAAAUAGAAAAACAAACAACCUAAAUUUUAAAAAUAAAUUGUUUUUAGUAAAAACCCAAAAAAACAAACACCACCUUAACUAAACAAAUAUAUAUUAUAUUUAGUUAAGAAAGAGUAAAGUGUAUAUGGCUCAAAUCAAGGAAGAGAAACAGAAUAAGUGGAAGACAAUCAAUUGUGAUAAACAGAUAUAUUACAUGCAUGUAGUACUAGUGACUUUAUCAUUUACUUUUAUACAAUAGAUCAUCACACUCUUUCUUCUAAAUAUUUUGGAGGAUAAUGGUACAUGUUGCUUGUUGCCAAGUCAAAAUUGGUGGCAAAAAUCGGCAUGAUACGAAAGGAUUGGUGAAAAGAUUCACAUAGAUGGUGCUUUGUGCAAUGCAGUCUUGCUCUAAUUCAACAGAGUGGACCAUGGUGAUGUAUUUUAAAUUUUAAAUUUUAAAUUAAUGCAUGCUUCAAAGUUUUAACUAGAUGUCACUUCCAUGGAUUUUUGUUCAUUUAAUUGAGAACAGGAUAGGCUAUCAAACUUGAAGUAAUAUAAAAAUCCCUUCAUUACUGUAACUAAUGAAAGAUCAUUAUCUGCGCUUGGUAUUUUGCCAAGGUAUUUGCUGCUCUUUCUAGCCCUAUCUUACAGUUAAGGACAAUGUGAUCUAGUUAACCUUAGAAGCUAUUCCAUGUCAUAUACAAGAGAUCAAGCACAUUAUCUUUGGGCUCAGUUCAAAACUAUAAUAUAUGGGUGGGGUGGGGGCCUAUACCAUUUGCAUAUCACCACUAUUGGUUUAGUUUGGAAGGUUUCUUCUGGAAGAUUGCUUUCUGGAAACAUUUCAAAGAAAUAUAUCUUUUUGUUCUCUUGGUGACGAGCAGCGGCAAUCAAGUCUGUUGACAAACAACCGAGUUGAAAAGUUUGAAAAUUGGUCACAGCCCACGUCCAUGGUUAAGGAAAAGGUCACUGGAAGUGAUCCCUUCUGGGCCUGUUGGAAGCAGGGGAGGUUAACACACCAAGCAACAAAGAACAGAGAUAUGCUGCUACUGAUCUAUAUUUUUUAUUUGAUCAUAAGGCUAAAUUUAUACAGAUUGUGUAACAGAUAUGACCUCAAAAAAAAGCAUCAAAUCAAGCUACUUGUUGAACAAACAACUACCUUCUACAAAAUAACAUCAAAAUUUAACUUAAAAGCAAAAACAUAAAAAUAGCAACAGCAAAAAUAGAAACAUAAAAAUAGCUUCAGCAUUCUAGUAAUCUCGUUGACUUCAAUUGCAUGUGGUUGACGAUUUCAGCCUUUUCCUCAGCAGCUACUAAGGCAUAACUCUCAACACUCCUCCUUGACUUAGGAGGUGCAAACUCCAAGUCUUUCUCAUAGAAACUCAAAUCUUAUUUUAGGAAGAGCUUUAGUCAGAAUAUCUACAUUUUGACUGUCUGUAUUGCAGUAGACUAGUUGUAUAUCUCCUUCUUUCUGUACUUCCCUCAAAAAUUACAAUUUAAUCUUGAAGUGCUUUGUUUUACCAUGAAAAACUGGAUCAUUUGCAAUAGAUAUAGUGGCCUGGUUGUCUACAAACACCUUUGUACUCACUUCUUGCUUCAUAUCCAAAUCUGUCAGCAACUUUCCAAGCCAUAAGGCUUGAUUUACAGCUGUAACAGCAGCAAUAUACUCUGCCUCAGCUGUGGAUUGAGCCACGACUUCUUGCUUCCUUGAACUCCAUGAAAAAACACCAGAACCAAAACUAAAACAAUAGCCUGAAGUACUUCUCAUAUCGUCAACACAACCAGCCCAAUCACUAUCAGAAAAUCCAUGAAAAUUGAAACUUUGAACUUGACUGAACUUAAUGCCAUAAUCCACAGUGCCUUUAACAUUUCUUAUCACACGCUUUGCUGCCUGGAAAUGAAUUUCACUAGCACAAUGCAUGUAUCUCGAAAGUAGACUUACAGCAUGCAUUAUAUCGAGUCUUGUUGCAGUCAAGUACAUUAAGCAUCCAAUCAUGCUUCGAUAAAGUCCUUCAUCUACCUUUUUAGCACCGUCCUCCUUACAGAACUUCUCUUUCUGGUUCAUAGGGGUAGAUGUAGGUUUGCAUUCCUCCAUUUUGAAUUUCUUCAUAAUUUCUUUGGCAUAUUUUUGUUGGCAGAUGAAAAUCUCAUUCUGCUUCUGGUGUACUUCCAUUCCCAAGAAGUAAGACAUCUCAUCUAGGUCUGUCAUCUCAAAAACCUGCUCCAUUUCAGCCUUGAAUUUGUUCACAAACCCUGCAUUACUUCCUGUUACAAGCAAAUCAUCAACAUAUAGAGAAACAAUUAAUAUAUCUUCUUCAAUCUUCUUAAUGUAGAGUGUAAAUUCACUCAAGCUCUUGUGAAAGCCUAAAGUUAGCAGGUGAGUGUCAAUCCUGCUGUACCAAGCUCUAGGGGCUUGUCUUAACCCAUACAAGGCCUUCUUAAGAAGGUAUACUUUUUCUUCUUUUCCUUUGAUAGCAAAACCUUCUGGUUGUUCGACAAAAAUCUCUUCCUCUAAGUAGCCAUUCAAAAAUGCUGACUUCACAUCUAGUUGAUAAAUCUUCCAUUUUCUUUGAGCUACAAGAGCCAACAACAUCCUGAUUGUAUCCAAACGAGCUACUGGUGCAAAGGUUUCCGAAAAGUCAACACCAAACAUUUGUGCAUACCCUUUGACAACCAGCCUUGCUUUAUGUUUGUUUAUAGAACCAUCAGAGUUGAGUUUGGUUCUGUAAACCCACUUAACCCCAAUAGGUUUUUUGUGUGAAGGUCUAUCUACUAGCUCCCAAGUGUUGUUCUUGUCAAUCAUAUCUAGCUCCUCCUGCAUUGCAACCCUCCAUCUUUUAUUUUCAGCAGCUUCAACAAACCCUGCAAGUUCAAGAACAGCUAUAUUACACCUUUGAUAAAUAUCAAAAAGUGUCAUGAAACCUCUAACUGGAAGUUCAUCAACAUCUUCAUCAAUAUAUUGCUGAUUCUGCUCAUCCCAACUCCAUUUCUCCGUUUCCAAAAACUUAACAUCUCUACUUACCACAAUUUUACUAUUUUGUGGCAAGUAGAUUCUGUAAGCUUUUGAGGUGCUGUUGUAUCCAAUGAAAAUUCCUGGUUCUGACUUUUUAUCUAGCUUGUCUCUUUUCACCUGAGGAACAUAAGAGAAACACAAGCAACCAAAGGUCUUUAAAUUCAUUAGCAUAGGCUUAUAAGCAAACCAGGCCUCAAAAGGUGUCUGUUUCUGCAAUGCUUUUGUUGGUAGUCUAUUUAGCAAAAAUACUACUGUAUUUGCAGCUUCAACCCAAAAACUUUUUGGCAGCUCUUUCUCAUGCAAAAGACAUCUUGUCAUUGAUUACUACUCAAAAAGUGCUAUUUGAUAGCCUUUAAUUAAUCCUUUUUAACACUUUUGAGUAGUAGUUUAGGCCUUUUAACUCAAUUGGCAUGUUAAGGAUCCUUUAAAGCAAUUUUGAUCACUUUGUGCAAGUUUUGGUGUUUUUGUUAGUAUUUCGAUCACCAAAGCAAGUCAAGAAUGAGGAGAGCUAUGAGGAAUCUUGGGCAAAGCUUAGAAUUCAAUUGCCAAGAGUGAAUCCGGAUUGCAAGGAGAAAAAGCAAAGAGGAUCAGUCAUGGAGCAUAUUCUUGAUGACAGUCGUAGCAGCCACUUUUGGAUCACUUUCUGAAGUCCAAAUGAUGCAAGCUAUAUACCAUUUCAAAGCUCAGGAAGUCAACAAUCCAAUGCUUCAAACGGUGUGCGAUUCGGAAUUGAAACGAAGAAGUUGCAGCCAUUACAAGCCAGACACUCUAAAGUGUUGCGGAAUCAGCCAUGUGUUGCGAGAAUUUCGCAGCACUUUUGUACAGUAAGGUGUUUCUCCUUCUAACGAUGCACGAACCAUGCCGCGAGAAGGGAGCUGGAAACUUCAAGAUGGAAGCCAACUUUGCAGCCUAGUGAAGAUAGCUCGGUCUUGCAAGAUAAUUUCGCAGCCCUCUUGGGUGUCUGCGAAAUUUCGCAGGCCUCAUUUUUCACCUGCGAAAUGGCUCUUGAAGCCUCCCGAAGCUUGCUACCGACAUUGGGAGAUAUUUUCCAUUAGAUUUUUGUUGUCUAAAUCCCAAAAUACUCCUUGUAAACCACCAAUUACAUGAUUCCUUAGUUUUUAAGUUAGUAAAAAGACCAAAUAUCUUUGUAACAAUUAGUUUUAUAUUUUGUUGUUAUAAAUACCUCUCGGGAGCCUGUUCUCAGGGAGGAGUUCCUUCUGUAAACGUUUGGUAAGCAAGUAAAGUCUAUUUUCUUUCUACUGCCUUACCUUCUCACUUUGUAUUUUCAUUUUAUUUCUAAGUUAUGAAUUCUCUGAGGAGUUUUCCCCAAAGAAUGAGUAACUAAACCUCCAAUUCCUUGGAGCUAAGGUUGCCGGGGAAGGUUCCAAGUGCAAGAAUGCAAAGCUCUGUGGUUUUAGCUAGUAAUGAAGAGGAAGUGAAAUCCUUUAGUGAUUUCAAUGUUUUUAGUUAACUUAAAACACUUUGGAGUCACCUGGGCCAACACUUGGUAAGGCAAGUGAUUUCCAACCAUGGAAAUGCACUAGUUUACCCCUUGCGAGCCUCUGGUAGGUGACUUCAAGGUAGGAUUUUCUGGAAUUACCAACACUUGGUAAGCUUUUGGACUCCUAGGAGACAUCCAUUAGUUAUCUCUUGCGAGUUUGUGAAGGGAAUCCAAGGUUAAAGAUCACCUUGAAUGGUAAGUGCUCGUGAGAGGCAUGAACCAUUGCAAGUUGUAUCAGUGAGAGAAUUAAAGUGAAAUCUAAUUGAAGGAGUCUUUGUACAUCACCGGUUAGAGAAUUGACUAUAAGUUGAAUCUCUAAUGCGAGGAAAUGAACCAACUGACCAGAGCCGUGUCUUUUGCAUGAGGAACCACCCCAGUGAACCUAAAUCUCCAAGGAAUGUUUUUUUCUUCCUAAAUUAUUCCAAACUUCUGUUAAGUUAGUUAGUUUAAAUCUCAACCUUUACAAAUCAAAGUUUGUGUUUUAUUCCUUAAGCUAACCGUGAAAUGAAACAAGACCAAUUCACUUGGAAUUGGUAUCAUUGAUUGCCUGCAAAUCAUUCCCAGUGAACGAUCCUAGAGCCACUAUACUAUAGUAGCUUUGUAUUUGCUACCCUAGUGUAUGGUGUUAUAGGUAUAAAUUUUGUUGAUCACUUCCUCAAUCAAGGAGCACCAGCUGAACACAAAUCAGCUGAGACACCAAUUAGGCAUGAGUCAAAUGGCGCCGUUGCCGGGGAAUGAAUGUCAAGUUCAUUGUGAUACCAUUGUUGAGCACUUGUGAUUUUCAUCACAAGUUGGUAAAGUUUCUUUCACUUUACUAAUUUUCAUUCUUUCUUUGUUUAUUUACAAUCUAAGUUUAUCUUUUUAAAUUUUAGUCUAGUUUAAUUUUGUUGUUGUAGCCCUGUUUUUCUUGUUGUCCUCUGUUUUCAUUUUUUUUUUCAGGUAGAUACUAGUUGUGUAUGCCCAAGUGGAUACGAGACAUAGGAGGUAGGCUUGUUAAGUGUGAUACACCUCAGAAAGGAGAAUUUGAAGUAAUCUUGAAUAUCAUGGAGGCUGCACCUGAAGAUCAGCAUAGUCACCAAGGUCGUCAAGACAAUCUCAAUGAAUUCAGAUCAAUGAGGGACCGUAUGCAUCCACCUCGUAUGAGUACACCAUCAUGUAUAGUGCCCCCUACAGAGCAGCUAGUGAUCAGACCAUAUCUUGUUCCACUUCUACCAACUUUCCAUGGGAUGGAAAGUGAGAAUCCGUAUGCACACAUCAAGGAAUUUGAAGAUGUUUGUAAUACAUUCCAAGAAGGAGGAGCUUCAAUUGACUUGAUGAGGCUUAAGUUAUUUCCUUUUACUUUAAAGGAUAAGGCCAAAAUUUGGCUUAAUUCUUUAAGGCCAAGGAGUAUCCGCUCUUGGACUGAUUUACAAGCUGAGUUCCUUAAGAAAUUUUUUCCUACUCAUAGAACAAAUGGCUUGAAAAGGCAAAUUUCAAACUUCUCAGCUAAAGAGAAUGAGAAAUUCUAUGAGUGUUGGGAAAGAUACAUGGAAGCUAUAAAUGCUUGUCCUCACCAUGGCUUUGAUACUUGGCUAUUGGUGAGCUAUUUUUAUGAUGGUAUGUCCUCCUCAAUGAAGCAACUCCUCGAGACAAUGUGUGGAGGAGAUUUCAUGAGCAAAAAUCCAGAGGAAGCUAUGGAUUUCUUGAGCUAUGUAGCUGAUGUUUCAAGGGGAUGGGAUGAACCAACUAAAGGAGAAGUGGGAAAGAUGAAGUCUCAGUUGAAUGCUUACAAUGCAAAGGCUGGGAUGUAUAAUUUGAAAGAAGAUGAUGACAUGAAAGCAAAGUUGGCAGCUAUGACAAGAAGAUUGGAGGAGCUGGAGCUGAAAAGAAUGCAUGAAGUGCAAGCUGUUGCUGAAGCACCAGUGCAAGUGAAGCUGUGUCCCAAUUGUCAAUCAUUUGAACAUUUGGUGGAGGAGUGCCCUGCAAUUUCAGUUGAAAGGGAAAUGUAUAGAGAUCAAGCAAAUGUUGUUGGACAAUUUAGGCCCAAUAACAAUGCUCCUUAUGGAAAUACCUACAAUUCAAGUUGGAGGAAUCAUCCAAAUUUCUCAUAGAAGGCCAGAGCAACUCAAUACCAACAGCCGGAUCCACCAUCUCAGCAAUCUUCAAGUAUUGAACAAAUAAUAGCCAAUCUCAGCAAGGUAGUGGGAGAUUUUGUGGGAAAGCAAGAAGCCACCAAUGCUCGAGUUGAUCAAAGAAUGGAUAGAAUGGAGAGUGUGUUGAACAAAAGAAUGGAUGGAAUGCAAAAUGAUAUGAACCAAAAGUUUGAUAACAUCCAAUAUUCAAUUUCAAGGCUUACAAAUUUGAAUACACUGCAAGAAAAAGGAAGAUUUCCUUCUCAACCUAACCAAAAUCCCAAAGGUGUCCAUGAAGUGGAAAGCCAUGAGGGAGAAUCAUCACAGGUGAAAGAUGUGAAAGCUUUGAUCACUCUAAGGAGUGGUAAGAAAAUUGAGCAGCCAACACCCAUGCCACAUGUUGAGAAAGAAGAAGGGAUAAAGAAAGGAAAGGAAAUAGAAGAUAAAGACAGUGAGAUCAGUGAAGAAAAGAAGGACUCUGAUUCAACAAUCAAAGCAAUUCCAGAGAAAGAGCUUCUGAAGGAAGAAAUGCUGAAGAAAUCAACUUUUCCACCUUUUCCUCAAGCAUUACAGGGGAAAAAGGGGGUUAGAAAUGCAGCUGAAAUCCUUGAAGUCUUAAGACAAGUAAAAGUUAAUAUUCCACUGCUGGAUAUGAUCAAACAAGUUCCAACGUAUGCAAAAUUCCUAAAGGACUUGUGUACUAUCAAAAGAGGGGUUGACUGUAAACAAGAAAGCCUUCUUGACUGAGCAAGUAAGUGCAAUCUUACAAUGCAAGUCUCCUUUGAAGUACAAAGACCCUGGAAGUCCUACCAUUUCAGUCAUGAUUGGAGGAAAGGUAGUGGAGAAAGCCUUGCUAGACUUGGGAGCAAGUGUGAAUUUGCUUCCAUACUCUGUCUACAAGCAACUGGGACUUGGAGAGUUGAAGCCAACAGCAAUCACUUUAUCUUUGGCAGAUAGAUCAGUGAAAAUUCCAAGAGGAGUAAUUGAGGAUGUAUUGGUUCAAGUGGAUAAUUUCUACUAUCCAGUAGAUUUUGUUGUUCUUGAUACUGAUCCAACUGUAAAGGAAGCUAAUUUAGUUCCUAUCAUCCUUGGAAGGCCAUUUCUUGCAACUUCAAAUGCAAUCAUCAACUGUAGAAAUGGGCUUAUGCAACUCACUUUUGGUAACAUGACACUGGAUCUCAAUAUUUUCUAUAUGUCUAAAAAGCAAAUCACUCCUGAGGAAGAAGAAGGUCCAGAAGAGCUAUGUAUUAUUGAUACUUUGGUGGAGGAGCACUGCAAUCAGCAUAUGCAAGAUAAGUUGAAUGAAAGUCUUGUGGAUAUUGAGGAAGGUUUUUCUGAAUCUCCUAUUGGGCUUGCUACUCUACAAAGUUGGAGAAAGAUAGAAGGAAUUCUACCUUUGUUCAAUGAAAAAGAGGAGGCAACUGUUGAAGAAGAAAUUCCAAAACUCAAUUUGAAGCCUUUACCUGUGGAGCUGAAAUAUACAUAUCUUGAAGCAAAUAAUCAAUGUCCUGUUGUGAUAUCCUCAUCUCUGACCAGUCAUCAAGAGAAUUGUUUAAUGGAAGUUCUCAUGAGGUGUAAGAAGGCAAUAGGAUGGCAAAUAUCUGACUUGAAAGGCAUUAGUCCUUUAGUUUGUACUCAUCAUAUAUAUAUGGAGGAGGAAGCAAAGCCAAUUCGUCAAUUUCAAAGAAGGUUGAAUCCUCAUCUACAAGAGGUGGUGCGAGCUGAGGUGCUGAAGCUACUUCAAGCAGGAAUCAUUUACCCUAUUUCUGAUAGCCCUUGGGUGAGUCCUACUCAAGUGGUACCAAAGAAGUCAGGGAUCACAGUGAUUCAAAAUGAAAAAGGGGAAGAAAUUACUACACGCCUCACUUCAGGUUGGAGGGUGUGUAUUGAUUAUAGAAAGCUGAAUGCUGUCACCAGGAAGGAUCAUUUUCCAUUGCCAUUUAUUGAUCAAGUGCUGGAGAGAGUCUCUGGACAUCCAUUUUAUUGUUUCUUGGAUGGGUAUUCAGGCUAUUUUCAAAUUGAAAUUGAUUUGGCAGAUCAGGAAAAGACCACUUUUACAUGUCCAUUUGGAACAUUUGCUUAUAGAAGAAUGCCUUUUGGUUUAUGCAAUGCACCUGCUACAUUUCAAAGAUGUAUGUUGAGUAUUUUCAGUGAUAUGGUGGAGAGAAUUAUGGAGGUUUUCAUGGAUGACAUCACCGUAUAUGGAGGUACAUUUGAGGAGUGCUUGGUUAAUUUGGAAGCAGUUCUUCAUAGAUGCAUUGAAAAAGAUUUGGUGCUGAACUGGGAGAAAUGCCAUUUUAUGGUACGUCAAGGAAUUGUCCUUGGCCAUAUCAUCUCUGAAAGAGGCAUUGAAGUUGAUAAAGCAAAGGUGGAGCUUAUUGCCAAAUUACCAUCUCCAACAACUGUGAAAGGAGUAAGACAGUUCCUUGGCCAUGCAGGGUUCUAUAGGAGGUUUAUAAAAGGUUUUUCAAGUCUUUCAAAACCUCUUUGUGAGCUGUUAGCUAAGGAUGCUAAGUUUAUAUGGGAUGAAAGGUGUCAGCAUAGCUUUGAUCAACUGAAGAAGUUUUUAACAACAACUCCAAUAGUGAGAGCCCCUAACUGGCAAUUACCUUUUGAACUGAUGUGUGAUGCCAGUGACUUUGCUAUAGGAGCUGUGCUUGGCCAAAGAGAAGAUGGGAAGCCCUAUGUGAUUUACUAUGCAAGUAAAACACUAAAUGAAGCUCAGAGGAACUACACAACUACAGAGAAAGAAUUGUUAGCUGUGGUAUUUGCUUUGGACAAAUUUCGAGCUUAUUUAGUGGGGUCUUUCAUCAUUGUCUUCACUGACCAUUCAGCCUUGAAGUAUUUAUUGACAAAGCAAGAUGCAAAAGCAAGGUUGAUUAGAUGGAUUCUAUUGUUACAAGAGUUCGAUCUUCAAAUCAAAGAUAAGAAAGGAGUGGAGAAUGUAGUAGCUGACCACUUGUCAAGGUUAGUUAUAGCACAUAAUUCCCAUCCCUUGCCUAUCAAUGAUGAUUUUCCUGAAGAAUCACUCAUGUUCCUAGUGAAAACUCCUUGGUAUGCUCAUAUUGCUAAUUAUUUAGUAACUGGGGAAAUUCCAAGUGAGUGGAAUGCACAGGACAGGAAGCACUUCUUUGCCAAAAUUCAUGCUUAUUAUUGGGAAGAGCCCUUUCUCUUUAAGUAUUGUGCAGAUCAGAUUAUUAGGAAGUGUGUCCCUGAAGAUGAGCAGCAAGGGAUUCUAUCUCAGUGUCAUGAGAAUGCAUGUGGAGGCCACUUUGCCUCUCAGAAAACAGCCAUGAAGGUAUUACAAUCAGGGUUUACUUGGCCAUCUCUUUUCAAAGAUGCCCACAUCAUGUGUAGAAAUUGUGAUAGAUGCCAAAGGCUUGGAAAGCUAACAAAAAGAAAUCAAAUGCCUAUGAACCCCAUUCUGAUAGUUGAGAUAUUUGAUGUUUAGGGCAUUGACUUCAUGGGACCUUUCCCAAUGUCUUUUGGUAAUUCUUACAUUUUGGUGGGGGUAAAUUAUGUUUCUAAAUGGGUUGAGGCAAUCCCCUGUAAGCAAAAUGAUCACAGGGUGGUUCUCAAGUUUCUUAAAGAGAACAUUUUCUCAAGAUUUGGGGUGCCCAAGGCCAUAAUCAGUGAUGGAGGAGCUCAUUUUUGCAACAAACCUUUUGAAGCUCUGUUAUCCAAGUAUGGAGUGAAGCAUAAGGUAGCCACACCUUAUCAUCCUCAGACAUCCGGGCAAGUUGAGCUAGCUAACAGGGAAAUAAAGAACAUUUUGAUGAAAGUGGUGAAUUCCAACAGAAAAGAUUGGUCUAUUAGGCUUCAUGAUUCAUUGUGGGCAUAUAGAACAGCUUAUAAAACUAUUCUUGGGAUGUCUCCCUAUCGUCUUGUCUAUGGCAAAGCAUGCCAUCUCCCUGUGGAAGUUGAAUACAAAGCUUGGUGGGCAAUAAAGAAGCUGAAUAUGGACUUGAUCAAGGCCGGAGAAAAGAGAUUUCUAGACCUUAAUGAGAUGGAGGAAUUAAGAAAUAAUGCUUAUAUCAAUUCCAAAGUUGCAAAACAGAGGAUGAAGAAGUGGCAUGAUCAACUCAUCUCCAACAAGGAAUUUCAGGAAGGGCAAAAAGUUUUGAUGUAUGACACAAGACUCCAUAUCUUUCCUGGGAAGCUCAAAUCAAGGUGGAUUGGUCCAUUUGUUAUUCACCGAGUAUAUUCCAAUGGAGUGGUGGACUUAUUGAAUUCCAAUGGCAAGGAUAGCUUUAAAGUCAAUGGAUAUCGUCUCAAGCCGUUCAUGGAGUCAUUCAAAUCAGAAAAGGAGGCAAUCAACCUCCUUGAACCUCAAAAAGCCUAAGUGAAAAGGGUUUGCUGGACGUGGCUUUACCACAGUCCAAAAUUUUUGUAAAUUUUGUAAAUUUUCAAGUUGUUUCUAUACUUUUGAUUUUAGUUUUUGAUCUUAAAUCAUGUUUUUAGGUGUGUUUUAAUCGUUUUAAAUGAUCCCAGGUGGAAGAAAUUUCAAGGGGAUUGAAAGAAAAAAAAUCGGGUCGAAAUUGGAGCCGAAACAGAGCAAAAACAGGGGAAAAACAGAGCUCUGCGAAAUUUCGCAGGGUGAAGGAAACCUCUGCGAAAUGAGCAUUUUGUUGCGAAACCAUUCCGCAGCACUGUAGAAGCCUCUGCGAGUGUAUUUCGCAGCUGCGAAAGUGAAUUUGGCACACGAGUGCCACUUCGCAGUACAGUAGCAUCCAUUUGGCAGCUGCGAAACUCAUUGCGAAAUGGAAAAGCGUGAUUUCGCACCAAAAGUCCCAUUCCGCAGGGUAUUUCGCAAUUGCGAAAGUGGUUUUGGCACACGAGUGCCACUCCGCAGCACAGUAACAUCAAUUUCGCAGCUGCGAAACUCACUGCGAAGUUGCUGCGAAAAUGGCAAGUUGCUGCGAAAUUGGCGUUUAGUUGCGAAACUUAAACUGACCCCUGAGCUUCCGUUUUUCCUAUUUAUACCGGUCAAAAGUGCUGCGAAAAGGGUUUCAAAAAUCAGAGCACCAUUCUCGCAGCCCCUUCAUCUUCUUCGCCAAGCCACGCCGUCCGAACCUCCGGUCGUCUUCUCCGUUUAGCAGCGCCGGCCAAAGAUCGAUAUUCCAAAAUGGCACGAACGCGAGGGGCAAAAUCUUCAUCCCCUUCGAAUCGCAAAAGGAGUCUGCGAAAGGAGCCAAGUCCAGGUUCUGCUCCAGAACCUGCUCCAAAGCCUUCGCCGUCGAGACCACAACCUUCUCCAGUGAAGCCGGCGCCACUAAAGCCGCCGGCAAGACGAUAUUUGACAAGGUCAGGCGGUUGGCCAUUGAAGAAGAAGCCCAGGGUUGAGAGCUCUGAACCAAUUGAUUUGACUGAGCAAUCCCCUGAGCAGUCCCCAAAUCCUUCACCAGUUCAAACUCCAGUGCCGUCACCGGUUCCCUCGCCAAUUCCCUCACCUGAAGCAACUCCAAUUCCAUCGUCGGUACCAUCUCCGGCACCCCAAGAAAAAGCUCAGGAGCCUCAAGCGCCAAUUCCAGAGCCCCAAAUUGCAGCUGAAGCACCUCUGGAAGAAGUGAUCCGAAGGCCAAUGCUGCCCCAGCCCCCAAUCGAAGGAAACUUGGAUUGUCGAACACGGGCAUUCCAUUCUGAGCUUUGCUUCGAUUUAACAGCAUUCAGAGUGAGGCCAGAGCUUGCCCAAUCCUUCCAGCUGCUGAGGAGAUAUCAUAUGGAGCAUCUGCUAGCUCCAAGGGAUUUUUUCUAUCCCCGGGUAGUCACGGACUUCUACCAGACCAUGACAACCAAAGAAGUAAGAAAUCCAACUCUGAUCCAUUUCAUAAUUGAUGGAAGGCAUGGUAUUUUGGGAGCAAGACACAUUGCUGAAGCUCUGCAAAUUCCUUUUGAGCCAACCCAAUUCGACAAUUUUAAAGCUUGGGUAAAUCCUACUGAGUUAGAGAUGGUUCGCACACUAACCAGAGGAGCUGCAAAUCGAUCACACCUGUUGAGGGGGGAGCUACCUCCAGUGAUGUUUUUGAUUGAUGCCUUUUUGAGGCAUAAUAUCUAUCCCCUGCAGCAUUGGACCCAAAGAAGGGGAAUUCUCCUGGAAGCUUUGUACAAGAUGUCAGAAGGAUUCUUCUUUGGGCCCCAUCAUCUUAUCAUGGCAGCCCUUCUAUACUUUGAGGAAAAGGUUCACAAGAAGAAACUUCAAAGAGCAGAUUGCAUUCCACUCCUCUUCCCAAGGCUGCUAUGCCAAGUUUUGGAGCAUCUCGGAUACCCCUCUGAGCCUCAGCAGGAAAGAAAGAGAAUAUGCCGUGAGCCAUUUACUCUUGAUAAAUGGAAUAAUAUGACGGCCUACAAAAUUGAUCAGCCUGGGCAGCCUCAGCCAGCAGCAAGGAGAGCCUCCCCAAGACAUGCACCUGAAGGUAUAACACUUGCUACUCCUGCCAUCCCUCGAGCUUCACCAGCUGCACCUGCUGCAUCACAGCCAUCCACAUCAGCUGAGCCGAGGAUGGCCAUCCCUAUAUCCGAAUAUCGAGAGCUGUGCCGAGCAUUGGAGACUCUUACAGCUUCCCAGAGCAAUCUUGCUCAAGAGUUGGCAGCCAUCAAAGCAUGCCAGGAGCAGAUGUUAGCCUCUCAGGCUCAACAAGCUGCCAUCCUAAGGCAGCUUCAAGUCCAUUUCGAUCUGCCACAAGCUGUAGAGCCCUCCACUGAGACUCCACCAGAGCCACACUCUCAGCCUUCAGAGUCUCUUCCUCCAGAGCCAGAAGCCCCAACUGAUCCACCUACAGAGGAGGCGGAUCCUUCUGCUUAGCACCAUCACCCCACUCAUCAGACAUUAUAUAUAUUUGCUGUUUAUGUUUUUAUGCAUGUUUGUUUUGUUUUAGUUGAAAUGAAAUCCCAGUAUUUUGGUACUAUAUAUGGGAUUCCUUGUGAUUACUUGUCCUUAGCAUUGUACUCGAAUGAAUUGAAAGUAAUACAAGUUGAAUUUUUCUUGUUAAAAGUUAGCAUUAAAAUUCUCCUUAUUUCCUUUUCUCACAUAUUCUAUUCUUUUUGAAACAUGUGGUUUUCCCCAAUCAAUAUUCGAAUUUGAUAUCAGCAUGGAGGUACCACUUCCUCCCUUUUAUUACAGUCACUCAAAUCACAUUGAGGACAAUGCUCAGUUCGGUUGGGGGGUAUGAGGAAGGAAGUAUUCUAAAUCUUUUUGGUAUUGCAAUUAUAUUGGUUAAUUAGUUGUAGAUUUUACGUUUUACUCUUGUUACUCUAUUCUCCAUGAAUUUUGAGGAAAAAUUUUCAAAUUAAACCAAGAGAAAUUGAACUGUUGUUUUUCACUUGACUUAGAGUAUGGAUUAUGCUUACUAAAGUGGUUCAAUUGUUGAAACUUCUACUGAAAUUGAAUUGAGUUCUUCCAUUUUAAGCUAUCCACACACUGUGCACAUUAGUUUCUGAUUAUAAGAUGAAAAGCUAUUUCCCUCUUGACUUAGGAUAAUUUUGGGACUUGGUAUAUUUGACCUCAUUUGAUAAAAAUUGAAACACCCUGCAAAAGGCCAAUGAGCCUUUGAAAUAAAGAAAGAUGUUUGCUUGCCUUGAAACCCGAGCAAGGUCUGAGGGGCAUAUGGUGAAAGCCUUUAAAGCCUGGUGCCCUAAGCCUUAAUUGGUUGGGAGUCACCGACCUCAAUGCUCGUUACAAGGGUGAAUAGGUAGAGCUAGCAUAUGGUAGAUGCUUGGGUAUUAGAAAUUCAUUCUUAAAAGUCCAGGGAAAAAUCCGAGGAGUUAGUGGUUGAAAGAUCCUUAAAACUUGGUGCCCUAAACCUUAAUUGGUUGGGAGUCAUCGAUGGACCCCCAUUACAUGGACAAGUCAGAAAGAGUACCCCAUAAAGCUACUUUAAAAAAAAAAAAAAAAAAAAAAAAAAGAUGAUGAAAGUGUGUUCUUUUCUUAUUGAUUUUGGUCAGAUUGCUAAAGUGUUGAAAAGAGAUAGGUUGGGGGGGGAGACUAGUUUAGCAUAUUAUUCUCGGAAUCUAAGGAACCAAUACACAUAGAUUUUUGUGGAAGAUUGAAGUUUAGUUCUUAGAAAGUGAAAUGAUUUUAAAACUUCAGUUUGCAUAAUGCACUCCCUUGAUUGACAGUGUUUAGCAUAGGUGUUAUGACUCUUGUUGAGAUUUGGGUUUGUAUUUCUUUAAUGAUUCAUGUGAGAAGUAAAUCAUCAUGCCACUUAAGAAUUAUUUUCCUUUCAGCAUGAUGUUGUAAAUUUUAGAUUAGUUUGCUAUUUAUUUUUAUUUUUCUCUCCUUUAUUGCUAAGGGACUAGCAAUAUGUCGGUUGGGGGGAGUGAUUACUACUCAAAAAGUGCUAUUUGAUAGCCUUUAAUUAAUCCUUUUUAACACUUUUGAGUAGUAGUUUAGGCCUUUUAACUCAAUUGGCAUGUUAAGGAUCCUUUAAAGCAAUUUUGAUCACUUUGUGCAAGUUUUGGUGUUUUUGUUAGUAUUUCGAUCACCAAAGCAAGUCAAGAAUGAGGAGAGCUAUGAGGAAUCUUGGGCAAAGCUUAGAAUUCAAUUGCCAAGAGUGAAUCCGGAUUGCAAGGAGAAAAAGCAAAGAGGAUCAGUCAUGGAGCAUAUUCUUGAUGACAGUCGUAGCAGCCACUUUUGGAGCACUUUCUGAAGUCCAAAUGAUGCAAGCUAUAUACCAUUUCAAAGCUCAGGAAGUCAACAAUCCAAUGCUUCAAACGGUGUGCGAUUCGGAAUUGAAACGAAGAAGUUGCAGCCAUUACAAGCCAGACACUCUAAAGUGUUGCGGAAUCAGCCAUGUGUUGCGAGAAUUUCGCAGCACUUUUGUACAGUAAGGUGUUUCUCCUUCUAACGAUGCACGAACCAUGCCGCGAGAAGGGAGCUGGAAACUUCAAGAUGGAAGCCAACUUGGCAGCCUAGUGAAGAUAGCUCGGUCUUGCAAGAUAAUUUCGCAGCCCUCUUGGGUGUCUGCGAAAUUUCGCAGGCCUCAUUUUUCACCUGCGAAAUGGCUCCUGAAGCCUCCCGAAGCUUGCUACCGACAUUGGGAGAUAUUUUCCAUUAGAUUUUUGUUGUCUAAAUCCCAAAAUACUCCUUGUAAACCACCAAUUACAUGAUUCCUUAGUUUUUAAGUUAGUAAAAAGACCAAAUAUCUUUGUAACAAUUAGUUUUAUAUUUUGUUGUUAUAAAUACCUCUCGGGAGCCUGUUCUCAGGGAGGAGUUCCUUCUGUAAACGUUUGGUAAGCAAGUAAAGUCUAUUUUCUUUCUACUGCCUUACCUUCUCACUUUGUAUUUUCAUUUUAUUUCUAAGUUAUGAAUUCUCUGAGGAGUUUUCCCCAAAGAAUGAGUAACUAAACCUCCAAUUCCUUGGAGCUAAGGUUGCCGGGGAAGGUUCCAAGUGCAAGAAUGCAAAGCUCUGUGGUUUUAGCUAGUAAUGAAGAGGAAGUGAAAUCCUUUAGUGAUUUCAAUGUUUUUAGUUAACUUAAAACACUUUGGAGUCACCUGGGCCAACACUUGGUAAGGCAAGUGAUUUCCAACCAUGGAAAUGCACUAGUUUACCCCUUGCGAGCCUCUGGUAGGUGACUUCAAGGUAGGAUUUUCUGGAAUUACCAACACUUGGUAAGCUUUUGGACUCCUAGGAGACAUCCAUUAGUUAUCUCUUGCGAGUUUGUGAAGGGAAUCCAAGGUUAAAGAUCACCUUGAAUGGUAAGUGCUCGUGAGAGGCAUGAACCAUUGCAAGUUGUAUCAGUGAGAGAAUUAAAGUGAAAUCUAAUUGAAGGAGUCUUUGUACAUCACCGGUUAGAGAAUUGACUAUAAGUUGAAUCUCUAAUGCGAGGAAAUGAACCAACUGACCAGAGCCGUGUCUUUUGCAUGAGGAACCACCCCAGUGAACCUAAAUCUCCAAGGAAUGUUUUUUUCUUCCUAAAUUAUUCCAAACUUCUGUUAAGUUAGUUAGUUUAAAUCUCAACCUUUACAAAUCAAAGUUUGUGUUUUAUUCCUUAAGCUAACCGUGAAAUGAAACAAGACCAAUUCACUUGGAAUUGGUAUCAUUGAUUGCCUGCAAAUCAUUCCCAAUGAACGAUCCUAGAGCCACUAUACUAUAGUAGCUUUGUAUUUACUACCCUAGUGUAUGGUGUUAUAGGUAUAAAUUUUGUUGAUCACUUCCUCAAUCAAGGAGCACCAGCUGAACACAAAUCAGCUGAGACACCAAUUAGGCAUGAGUCAGUCAUCUCCAUUAUUGUUUUAUUUUUUCUUUCCACCACCCCAUUUUGUUGUGGGGUGUAUGGUGCAAUGAGCUGGUGAUCUAUGCCUGCAUCUUCACAAAAUUUGUUGAAUUUUUCUGAAGUAUAUUCUGUACCAUUAUUCGACCUUAUAACCUUGAUUCUGUAUUCACUUUGAUUUUCAACCAUGGCCUUAUAUCUCAAAAACACAUCAGCAACCUCAGCUUUGUAAGUGAGAAAAUAAAUCCAACAAAAUCUUGUGAAGUCAUCAAUAAAUGCAAUAUAGUACUUACUCCCUUUCAAAGAUGGUGUCUUUUGAGGUCCACUCACAUCUGUGUGAACCAAUUGUAGUUUCUGUGUUGAUUUCCAUGCUGCUUUUUGAGGAAAAGGAAGUCUUGUUUGCUUCCCAUAUUGAUAGGCUGCACAUAUAGGAAGUUCUUCUUCCAAAUCAGGGAGUCCUUCUACAAUCUAAUUCUUCUUCAUGUAGAGCACGGUAUUGUGGUGGAAAUGCCCUAAUCUUUUAUGCCAAAGCAUUGUAUUGUUCUCGUGUUGUGCAGCAGUAAUUUGCUCAUCUUCUAACAUAUUUAAGGCAAAACUUUUGCCUUUCAUUUUUAUGUUGAACACCUCUUUGCCUUCAGCAUCCUUGAUUAUGCAAUUUUUGUCUUCAAAACAAACUUUAAACCCUUUCUCAACAAGCUGUCCAACACUUAGCAAAUUUUGGUCAAUGUCAGGCACAAACAAAACAUCAGAAAUGAGCUUUAAACCUGUUAGGCUUUCAAUAGCUAAUGUUCUUUUACCUUUUACUGGAAUAUACUCACCAUUUCCUAUUCUAACUUUGGAAAUAGUUGUCCUAUCAAUCUCCCUAAAGCGAUCUUGAUCAUGUCAUGUGGUUUGUGCAACCACUGUCCACGAGCCAGCUUUCAGAGGUGCUACCGUUUGCAAAACAUGUUGCUGAAAAUAGUUGUUCCUCCUGGUAUUGUUCAGCUGCUACAUUGGUUUCUCCCUGCUGCUGCUGAGUUCUACAGAUCCUUUCUAUGUGUCCAUGUCUACCACAUUUGUUGCAUUUCACAUCUGGUCUCCACCAACAUUUUUGUUGAGGAUGAUUUGUUUUCUUGCAAUGAGGACAGGGUGGAUAGGUUCCAGUUUUUUUAUUGUUGUUGUUGCUUGGCUUAUUGUUGUUCUUUUUGUUCUUCCUCCUUCUUGUGUUACCUUCAUUGGUCUGUGUCUUUGCUUGAAAAGCUCCUUCUACAGAACUUCCUUGCCUCAUGAGUCUUCUUUGUUCCAAAGCUUGUAAAGCAUUUAGUAGUUCUGCCAAGGUGAUACUUGACAAAUCUUUUGUGUUUUCCAAAGAAGAAAUUGUAGCUUCAUAUUUUUCAGGAAUUGUGACAAAAUUGUUUUGAACAACUCUUUCAUCAGAAAACUCUUUACCUAGCAACCUCACCUUGUUUGCUAUGGUAAGAAGUUGUUCUGCAUAAUCUUUUAUGGUUUGAGACUCUUUCAUCCUCACCAUUUCAAAUUCUCGAAUUAGAUUCAUUACCUGCACAUUUCUGACUCUUUCAUUGCCUUGAUAUUCUUCCCGUAGAUGCUUCCAGAUUUCUGCAACAGAUUCAAGUUGCAUGAUUCUGGUGAGAAUUAAUGGUGAGACUACAGAAAAUAAGCAAGCCUUGGCCUUAGCCUUCCUCGUCUUUUUCUCCUUAUGGUUUUUCAUCUGUGACACAGUUGGAUUGGCUCCAAGUGGAGAAAUUUCAUAAUCUUCCUCUAUUGCUUCCCAGACAUCAAGAGCCUGUAGAUGAACAGUCAUCCUGACAGCCUAAGUUUGGUAAUUUUCUCCAUUGAAGACUAGUGGUGCUGCUGUGAAGCUUGCUUCUUCCAUUUCUGCAAGGUUUUCAGAUUCAGGUUUGGUAUACGGUGUUUAGGCUCACACACCUCACUGGUCCCUCAAGACAAAAAUUGCUCUGAUACCAAACUGUUGGAAGCAGGCGAGGUUAACACACCAAGCAACAGAGAACAGAGAUAUGCUGCUACUGAUCUAUAUUUUUUAUUUGAUCAUAAGGCUGAAUUUAUACAGAUUGUGUAACAUAUAUGACCUCAAAAAAAGCAUCAAAUCAAGCUACUUGUUGAACAAAAAACUACCUCCUACAAAAUAGCAUCAGAAUUUAACUUAAAAGCAAAAACAUAAUAAUAGCAACAGCAAAAACAGAAACAUAAAAAUAGCUUCAACAUUCUAGUAAUCUCAUUGACUUCAAUUGCAUGUGGUUGACGAUUUCAGCCUUUUCCUCAGCAGCUACUAAGGCAUAACUCUCAACAGGGCCUCUUAAUUUCCAUUCUGGCAUCUAUAUGACCUGAUAAAUAGAAAGAAAAAAAAACAGAAGAAAAGCGGCACCUGGGUUCAUAGUAAGCAUCAAGACAGGAUGCUGAAAGAAGGGAGAGAGGAGAUUGCAAGUCCAAUCCUGAUAAAAUAUCAACAAAGAGUAUUAAAUGGGGCCAACAUAAAGACCCAUUAAGGUCAGCAGAUGGCAUGGCAUUUUUCUCCUUAAGUUUUCCAUGAUUAGGCUUGAAGUCAAAAUUUCACAUGUAAAUUUGUAUUUCUACAUUUCCCACUGACGACACCCAACUUCAACUUGAGUUAGAAUAACAUUGUGUGAACUUAUCUGGCCCUCAAAAUUUACUGUGAAGUGCUUUCUGCGUGUGAAGAUUCAGAAAAGCACCAAGGGAACAUGUAUGGUCUGCCUUUUUCUGAUGUUAUGUUUGUCUCUAAUUCUGUUCCAUGUCAUGGUAAAUGUUCACAUUGCUUGUAUGGAACACACCAGGAUCACUUUUUCAGGUUUAGGGGGAUACAAAAGGCUUCAUAUUGGGUUCAAUGCUUUUAAUGUGUUCAUUGGACAAAUCUGAAUUAUCAUACGCAUUUAGAUAAGAACAAUAAUGUGAAACCCUAGUUACACCUCCCCUGCAUAACCCCAACCCUGCUUGCUCUAUUUCAGUUUACUCACAAGUUUUACUGGUUCUUAUAAGUCAAGAAAAGGCAACUGAUGUUGGAUCGACUCUCUUCCAUGUAAAAAAUGCAACUUUUAUACAUAUAAAAGAACUUCUUCCCCUCACCAAUGUGGGAUUUCAUAGAUUUAUUCUGGAAACACAUCAAAGGAACAUCUUUUCUCUUGGGUGACCCUAAGUGGUGAGUCAGAUCAUUUGCAUGCCAUUGAGUUGCACAGUUGGAUAAAUGCACCUGCCUCCUGGGCUCCAGAGUUAAAAGGGUGGAUCCCUGGAUUGCAACCCUCUUGGCAUCUUGGUUUCUAUUCCAACAUCCACAUGACUUGACAAAACAAAAAACAGAAUAAAAUCAGCACUAUAUUCAUGCUAAGCACCAAUACAUGAUGGAAAUCAUUGCUUAAAGAUUUGGGGUCGUUUUAGGUUUUGACUGCCUCCUACCACCUCACCUAAUGACAAGUUUUUAUGCUUACAAAUCAAAUAUCGUUCUUCAUUAUAUUAAAAUCAUUUUAAGAUUUCAGAUCCAUCUGCUAAUUAUGAUUAUGAUAACAUUUAUUCACCUGUGCUUCUCAUUUUCGACACACAAGGCAUCUAGGUUUGCAGGAUUUCCUUAUUAGAUGAGAUAAAUGAGUACGUAUGGUUAUGUAUCCAGCAUUCAUUAACCAUGGUAUGUGACAUUUAGAAUUAAGAUAGCAAGCAAACUUUCCCUGCAGCUAGAGUAAAUUGUGAUUUCUUAGCCUCUAUGAGUGGUUCCCAAAUCAAAUUAACAUAGUGAAAUAUACGUAGUCCAGUGAAAGGAAAUGUAAAUUAUAAACUAACAGCACUACACUACUGGUAACAAUCGAUACUCUCUAUAUAAUGCAAUAAACAAUGUCACAAUUGCCUACAAGCAAGGCACAAACACUAGAACAAGUAAAGCACAAACCUUUCCCAACAGUUCCCAGUGACUGAUGCAUAUCAUACCCUCAACUCACAGAAGGGGAUGAUAUCAGUGCACUGCAGCACUUAUUUUACACAUACUACCACUACUACUACUACUACUACUACUCAUUAGCCAAAGUCACUCAGUUGGGAUGAGUGUGAGGUAGAGGUUUGUGGGGUGCUAUGUGGAAAGGAGUUUGGCUUCUUCUCAGGAGAUGGUAGCUUCUUUGCAGGAGUUGAAGGAGGCUUAAUCUUCUGUGGUGGAUUGAUUGUAUGAGUCUUUGGCACUCUCUUCUCUAGUACAGGUGAAUACCCAGGGGUGCAUCCAUAAUGCGGUGGCUUCUAUCCCUUAGGUGGUUUGCCAAAUUCAAAAUCGAAGGAUUUUUUUUUUUUAAGUAUACGUAUCUUUGAAAGCUUUUAUUUUGUAUGGCAAAUGGAAUGAGAGGAGCAGUCAUAUUCUAUUUGGCCAGAGCAACAUAUCACAAAUGAACAAGCUAUUUACUGCCACACUGGGCAAAACAUACAUAAUCCUUGUACUUCAAACAUCCAUGAAUUCUCAUCAUUUUCAGGACACGUUGCAUGGUCUAUCAUUCUAUAUGUCGGCAUAGUAAGUGCAGCUAAUAAGCCUAUUCAGAGCUGAAAUUCAAAAUCUAUUCACAGGAUAAUGACCUUAUUAUUGGAUUUUGCUCACUGUCAUACACACAUAUCAGAUAAAGCCCCACAUGCUCAUAAGCUACAAGCAACCUACAAGCACUAAAAUGAGUGUUAGACGUAUGAAACAUUCCCCAAUACUAGUAGUAUUACCUGUUCCAUAGAACACUAAAUUAGAAGAGAGAAGAUGUGAGACUCCAGCUUUUCUUUCUACAUAUUACUCAUAUCAAGUUGGAAUAGUUAGGCGGUAGAGGCUUGGGGUGGCUUGUGUAGGGGACUAGGCAGCUUCUCUCAGGAGUUGAUUUCGUCUUAUUCUGGAUGUCCAGGUUUCGUCCUUUCGAAUUUCCCAUGCAAAUCAGCAUUCUCCUUGGGAAACUUCACUCCGUUGGGAAACUUGUGUGAAUCUUUGGCAUUCUCUACCAGAGAAGGCCCAGGGCAGUGACCAUAAGGUGGUGGCCUUUUUUCAGGUGGUGGCUCCUCUCCCACUGGAGGCUUGUGGUAAUCAGCAAGAGAGGCAGUGGAGAGAAUCAUCACCCCAAGGAACAGCACUAGCAAGUAUUUGUGAGCCAUAUUUGGGAUCUGAUGAUGAAGACUAGAAGAUAGGAGUUGCCUCAUAUAAUGGGUUGGAGACUAUAUCUCAAGGGGACGUGUAUUUAUGCAUAUGAUCUAUAUAGGACCAUCCUCCUAAUAUUUUCAAAAUAAUGUUAUUGUCUCUCUUGGGUGACAGUUUGAUUUGGUCUAUUUCCAUGCCACUGAGUAGAAAAGUUUGACAAUUGGCUACACCACCUACCUGGAUUACAUGGUUGAAAGUGAAGAUCAGUACAGUGUGAUCACACUUGACCUCUUGUUCCCCAUUCCAGUAUCUAAUUAACCUGACAAAAGUAAAAGGAAAGGAAAAAGGGAAAAAAUAGAAUAAUGUUCAAAUAAAAACGAGAAAAAAUAGCAUAAUGUUGAUGAAUCAUGAUAAGCAUCAAGGCAUGAUAGUGAGAGAGAGGAAAGAAGACAGUGUAAUUUGCAAUCCUGAUAAUCAUUAUAUAGCAGUAACUUUAAUCAUUUUUCUAUCACAGGGAACAUGACACUCAUCUUCCUAUGGAGAUAUUGCAUAAGUUUUUUUCUUUGUAUGUCAACACUAACCAAUGAAGCAUGUUAGCUGGUUUGAAACUGAAACUGUAGCCCUCUGUUUGGUUCUUGAAAAACUUGAGAGAAAAUGGAAGUAAAGUUAAAAGGAAAGAAAAAGUGAAAAAAAAUAAAAAUAGAUUGAAAGUUAACAAAUUAUUUUUACAUGUUCCCUCAAAUUUCUUUCACUUAUUUUUCCUUUUCUAUAUAAAGAUUAAAUGAUUUAAAAAUCAUAAAUUUCUAACUAAUUAUAACUAUAUUUGAUUUUCUUUCAUAUUUUCCAAGAUAAAGUCAGACAUGAGAAAAUCAUUUUCCUUAAAAAAGAAAUUCUUUCCUUUACAGUUUCUUAGAACCAAACCUGGCACAAAAGUCCAAAUUGGGGUUUCUCCAUGUUCCAUUUUUUAUGGCUACCUUUAUGGACCAUAUAAUAUAGAAUGUACUUCUGCAUACCUUCAAGAUCAAGCUGAACUAUAAGAAAAAGACAAGCCAUGGCCCACGGAGCAGGGAUACCAAGCUGCCUUCUCCUAGAUUAAGUUCCAAGAUUUCAGUCUUCAAACCUGCUAAAAGCUAAAGGCAUGUUUCCAGCCUGCGGCAGAUAACAUGCACUGUCCAACAAUAAAUUGCAAACACAUUCGAUGCAGUUUAUUAGUACAAUAAGAUUAAAUCCACCAAAUCUUUUACAGUUCAACCAACACUUGAACUAGUAGCUAGCUUCACUACUGGGUAAUAAUAUAUAAACCAAACUCUUGAUAGGAACCAACCUAUCGCAGAUCGAACUUCUUACAUCCACCAUGAAUUACUGAACCAAAAGAAGAAUCGAAGAGACUGCCAAGGAGGAAAGCCUUCCUAUAACUAGAUAUUUAUAUUCCAAAUUAGGGAGAGCACCCACUGCCCAGGCCUCGCCCAGCAUAAACAGAUAGUAUACAUAUACAUGCAAAAAGCUCCAACCUUCAAGAUUUUAACUAUUAACUUAACACAAUUAAAAAUGUAUCCAAAAAGCAAAUCCCCUUGAACUCCUGAAGCAAUUACUCCAACCAAAUAAAGAUUUUAAGAGUUCCAUGUUCAUAUCCUGCAAGGAAAUCAUUCAAUGUUCAGACCUCUAAUUUCUGUCUUUCUAAAUGCCCAGCCAAAAGGCAUAAAGUAUCAUCCAAAUUGGAUGCACAGCAUAUGUUCUUAAAUCAUGGGAUUUCACCAUAAGUUACUACACUCUAACAGGGCCCAGAAAUUGACCUCCAGAUAUGCCUAUCAAAAAAUUAUCCCCACAUACAUUUUUCUGCUGAAAAGACAAUAUUGUUACAUUUGACAUUCAACCACUACUUGAACUCAACAACCAGGGAAAAGAAUAUAGUAUUUCUACCAAUGAGGAUGAGAGGGGCUGGUGAAUUAACAGGUAAAAGUUUGUUUUGGGUUCAUUGUUUGCAUAAUAAUGUAAAAAUGGAGUAGUAUAUUAUAAAUUAAUGUAAAAAUGGAUUAGCAUAACAUAAAUUGCCAUAAGAGAACCACAAACUACAAAGAAACUUAUUUUCCAAACAAGGAAAAUUAUUCAUAGCCAUUAUUACAUAAGAAAGGAAAUUGAUAAAAUUAUUAUCCAGUUCCCCAUCAGGAAAUAUGAAAGUACUCCUAAAAGCCUCAAUUCUAACCAGAAAACCAUAGAAAUGUAUUAGAAAUAUUGUACAGGGUUCUCUCCAAUAUUAGCUUCAGUUGCUAAGGAGAUCAGAACCUUGAAAGUAAGUCACAAAGGUCGUGUGGGUUUCCCAGAGUCUUCAACAACCAGUAUUCACAUAUGUACACAUUAAAAUUAAAUAAAGCAGGUAUCAAUUCCACAGGCUUUAAGAUUUGAAUUGCUUCUCCCUGGAAUCAUACACCACUCAUAUUGUCACUGACUUUCAAUUACUUCUCCCUGCGAUCAUAUGCCACUCAUAUUGUCACUGCCUUAGGGAACAAAGUGAAAAUCUGCAAUUUCAAUUAAUUCCAACAUAAAAAUAAAAAUCAAUCCUCAAAAAAUGGAUUGCCAGGAGGUAAAUAUAAUAGAAGACGAACAACUCUCACAACCAAGUUAAAGAAACCAGCCGCUAGGUACCUUUGAGUUCUAUACUACCAGGAACAAAUUGGAUGAGAUUAUUUAAAGGCUAUUCCACAGUGGAAAUUCAUUCGUUCAAAAAACAUUUGUCAUGCAUAUAGGCAAUCUAUCCUAUGCAUUCAUACAUCAUGGUCUCAUGCAAUCUUAAUAAAAGUGGUCCUGGAAAAAGAGAGAAAAAAGUAAUUACAAGCCUGUGCGACCAGAUUUCUUUUGUUUUUUUUUUUUUUUUCCUUUGCCAAACAACCAUGUUCAUAGUUUCAGAAGUUCAUUCUGUCUUUAAGAGACCAUGGCAGUGACUUGGCCAUUCAGCUAAGANNNNNNNNNNNNNNNNNNNNNNNNNNNNNNNNNNNNNNNNNNNNNNNNNNNNNNNNNNNNNNNNNNNNNNNNNNNNNNNNNNNNNNNNNNNNNNNNNNNNUCACCAAGGACUCCUCAACCUCAAAAUAAUAGAGAAAGUCUAGGACACCAUGUCACUACUGAGGACAACCCAACACCACAACAUUUCAGUCCGUUCAAAAAGAGUAAUUGGAAUUGUUGCAAAAAAUGUUCAACUAGUCCCAACAGGAGGCAAAUUCCUCCAUUUCUUCAUCGGGUCCGGAUCCUUUGCUCAAAAAGGUAAUUUUCUUACUGCCCUAAAAGAAAAAGGGAAAAUGUGAGUCAUUGGAUUGUUGACUCAGGAGCUUUUGAUCACAUGACUAGAGUGCCACAAUUUUUCAAAAUUAUACACCUUGUUUUGGGGAUGAUACAAUUCGUAUGGCUGAUGGUUCUCUCUCAAAGGUGACUGGUACAAGUUUUAUUGUCAUCUCUAAGGACCUAACUCUUGACUCUAUUCUUUUGGUUCCAAACUUGGAUUGCAAUCUAUUGUCCAUUAGUAAACUCACUUAUGAAAAGAACUAUGUUACUAAAUUUUUCCCAAACCAUUGUGUUUUUUAGAAUUUGAAUUCGGGGAAGACGAUUGGCAAUGUUGAAGUGUGUUUAGGACUCUAUGCCUUCAAAGUGAAUUAUUAUAUUGAAAGACAAUCUUAACCAACAGUUGGUGAAAAAUGGUGUCUUUUUGUCUUUAGUUCUAAUAAAGAUAGUGAUGUUAUGUUAUAGCACUAUUGUCUAGGACAUCCUAGUUUCUUAUAUCUCAAAAAACUCUUUCCAUGGUUUUCAGUGUGAAAUUUGUCAACUAUCCAAGCAUCUUUGCAAGCCCUAUCCAUAGUUUUAAAAGACUUAAGGCACACCAAGACGCAAAGUCCUCUUGGAGCCUUAGGCGCAAGGCACACCUAAGGCGCGAACUUUAGUAAAGUGAGGUGCAUCCUGUUUUACAUAUAUAUUUUUAUAUAAUACAAUCAAGUGCCCGAAAAUUUUCCUCUAAUUUUCCCCUUCUUCUUCAUCCUCUUCUCUUCUUCACAUUGUUCGGGAGGCUAGGACAUUUUUUUUUUUUUACAUGUCUAAAACAAGCAUAUAUUGGGUUUUGGAAGAAGAACAAGCCAAAAUGACAUCGUUUUGGAGCCUAAUCUUUUAAAUAAAUAAAUAAAUAAAUAAAAACCAGCCAAAAAUGACACCGUUUUGGCCCCUGUUCUUUUAAAAGAACAAACCAAACAACGUCAUUUUGAUCUCAGGAAAUUAAAAAAACAAAACCCUCGUCAUUCUCCCUUUGCUACUCUACAACUCAUCGUCAAAGGGUAAAAAGAUGACCAAAAGAAGAAGAAGAAAAAAAAAAAACGACGACAGAGGAUAGAGGUGCACCUGUUGAGGGCGUUGCGCCUAGCCAAGAGGCGAGCGCCUUGCACACUUAAUCAACGCCUCUGUGAAGGGGCGGCUCCUGCAAUCAGGCGAAGCGCUGAAGGGUGAUGUCACAUCGUCUAGAGCCUAGGCGCACCUUUCACAACUAUGACCCUAUCCAACUCAACCAUACAAACCAUCUCAUCUUUUUUCCAUACAUAGUGAUGUUUGGAGGUCAUCUAAAAUAAAGAACAUAACAGGGACUAGAUGGUUGAUGAUCAUACUAGAAUUUCUUAGAUAUUUCUAAUGAAAAAAAAAUCAAAAAUUAGUCAAAUUUUCUAAAAGUGGACCAGAAUUUCUUUAUUGAAUUAAAAAGUUGAAAUUAAUAUUUUGGAAAAGUUAGGGCCGCUCAAGAGGUAGAAAUAGCGCUCGAGUGGUAGAAAUAGCGCUCGAGUGGUAGAAAUAGCCCUCAAGUGGUAGAAAUAGCGCUCAAGCGCUAGGACCGCUCAAGCACUUAACUAGCGCUUGAGCGCUCAUAUAGAAUCUGCCAGAAUAUGGAAGAAUAUUUUUUGGAUAAUCAUGAAAAUUGGAUUUGGAAACUUUAGAAUAUCAAUCUCCUUCGGCCUAGAGGUUUAUAUAAACCCUAUUAUAACCCUUUAGGGUUAAGAAAUUCACCAAGUGGUUUACCCUAACUUGUCAUACCAUUCCCGAUCUCUCAUCAAGGAAUCAAAGUGUUUAAUCUUGGGUUGUUUGAAGACCUGCAUCCCUUCAACAAGGCUAAGGUGUAUUCACUAGAACAAUUGAAAUUGUUGCAUUGCGGACAUGAAUCAAGUUGCAGGUUCUAGAGAGUAAGUCUUUAGAAUAAAGCAGACAAAGAGUUCUAUGUGACUUUAUCUCAUAUAGUGGAUUUAGCUUUGAGGUCUUAGACCUCGUGGGUUUUUAUCUCCAUAGUUAGUGUGGGGGUUUUCCACAUAAAAAUUAUUGUGUCUCUUGAUCUUAUGUUUGAUUUUAGAUAUUCUAUUUAUCCCUGAUAUCUCACAGGUUAACUUUAGGUUAAAAAUUCAACUCCCUAUUUAAUAAUUUUUAAAAUACACCCAUUCACGAGUGUUAUCCUACUGGACAUUGGUUUUUCACCAUAUAUAACACUCAUACCAAAACCCAUGCAACAUGGACUCCAACCUUAAGCUUAACUUUCUACGAAUGGAAAAAAAAAAAGACAUAACAUAAAUAGACAGAUUUAACAACAUGCUCCUAAUCAAGGUGAAUGUCCCUCUUUUUGAAAGAUAUGACCUUUUCCAUACGAGGAGCUUUCUUUAAAAUUUCACCUCUACCAAUUCCCAUGCCUUUACAAAGUUGUGGAAAGCUCCAAAGAGAAGGCCCAGACAUGUAAUGGGUAGAUUCCCUACCUUAGAACCUUACACCAAAGCUAAACCCCUAAUAUUUGUGACUUCUAUAAGAAUCAAUUCAUUUUUUUCCAUAUUUAUUUCUAAAUCAGACAUUGCCUCAAACCACAUGAAGUUAUAACUUGGAUGUUACAGAUGCUCUUAAUUAGUGUCACAAAAAAAUAGGGUAUCAUCAUCAAACAAGAAAUGUGACACUUCCAUCCCCUCCUCCUGUCUUCCUCCCACUUUGAAACUUGAGAUGUAACCCCUUUUAUCUAAUUCUCCUCAAAAUUCAAUUGAAAGCCUUCAUUGCCAAUAUGAAAAUGUAAGGGGAGAGAGGAUCUUUCUACCUCAAAUCCCUUGAGCUCUCAAAGAAACUGAAUAGGACACUAUUUACUAGAAUAGAGAAUUGAGUAGUGGAAAUGAACCAUUUGAUCCACCUCACCCACUUAUGAUCAAAGUCCAUUUUAUCCAACAUCAUUAACAAAAAGUUCCAAUUUACAUGGCCAUCGUCCUUUCCAAUGUCUAACUUGCAAAUUACCCCACUAUUGGGACUCUUUAACCUUGAAUCUAGAGCAUCAUUUAUGAUUAGAACUGCAUCUAGAAAUUGUCUGUCUUCCACAAAAGCAUGCAAAUAAACUAAAACUAUUUUACCCACCACAUUUUUUAGUCUUUUAGCCAAGACUUUUUCCAAUAGCUUGUACAAAAAAACCCCCAACUAAGCUAAUCAAUGUAAAAAAUUUUAGGUUCUCUGCUGCACCUAUAUUAGGGAUCAAGACCAAGAACAUGACAUUUAAAUUUUGCUCAAAGGAACAAUUAUCAAAAAACUCCCCAAGCUCAUUUGCCAAAAUAUUAUAAUAAAUCCAUUUGGCCCCUACAGCUUUAUCCCCACUCAAGCUAGACAAGGCAACAAGAAAUUCCUCAUCAAAGAAAGGUAACUCCAAUUUCCUAGAAUCAGCACAUAGCAUAACUUCAAAGGUCAUCCCAUUAAUGUUGAGUCUCCACUCGCCCAUAUCAGAUAGGAGAUUUUGGAAGGCCCUAAACUCCCCUUCCUUUAUAUUUGCUUCCCAAGCAACCAUUUUGCAUUCACUCAAAUUUUAAACAUGAAGUUUUUUAUUCUUUGGGCAUUGACCAUUUCAUGGAAAAUUUUGGUGUUUUUAUCCACCCCCUCUUUUAACCAAAUUUCUCUUUAUUUUUGCCCCCAUACAUAUAGAUUCUUCUAACAAGGCCCACUUGCUAAACUCAAUCACCACUAACCUUUGGCCUCAACGAUUUCAAGAGAUAAGGUAACUGCUCUCUACUUUGAGUCCCAGAAGUUGAUCCAGUUUAGCACCUCUAGGUUUUUUGUUGAGACAUUCCCAAAACCUUCUUCAUUCCAAGAUUUUAAAUCUCGUUUGACAGCCUUUAGUUUAACUUCCAAAAUAUGACCAUACAAGCCAUCCACAUUAUAACCAUCAACCAACUCCUCACAAAAUCUUUUAAGCCUUUUGUUUUAGGCUACAUAUUUUAAAAUGUAAACUGUGUUUUCCCACUCCUUAUCCUACCUCCAUCUAAAACUAUGGGGUAAUGACCAAAAAUUGGUUUAGGUAAAAUACUCUAGAUUAAAGUAGAAAAACGAUUCUACCAAUCAUCUGACACUAGGAAAUGGCCAAGCUAGCCUUGAAGAAGACAAAAGAUUAUGAACACCACUCCAAGUGAAUAGCCCUCCAACUAGCGAAAGAUCCCAAGGUCAAGUCCUCUAUGUCCUCUGAAAAGAACCUCAUAUCAAACAACAUUCUAAGGCAAUUCCUCCUUUUCAUGGGGAACUUGACCAUAUUAAAAUCCCCUCUGAAGCACUAGAGGUCAUCCCAAAGGCCUCUUAUGGCACCCAACUCUACCCAGAAAUCCACUCUUUCUCCCCUUUAAACCAACCCAUAAACUCUUACGUAUACCUAGACAAAGCUAUCUUCACAAUUCAUAGACAAGCAAUAGAGAAUGCUUCCACCUCCUUACCAAUUAACUCUAAUACCCUACUAUCUUGGAAAACCAAAAUGCCUACUAUCAAGCUUCUAACUUCCAAUACCAUUUCAAAAAUUUUCCUACUCCUAAACUCCUUACCAGUUGAACGAACAUCUAUCGAACCUUGGUUUCUUGUUAACAAACUAGAUCAACCCCUUGAGACCUUAUCAAUGACUUUAUUAUCAUAUACUUUUCCUCAUCAUUUGCUCAUUUGACAUUCCAAGACAGGAUUUUUAGCUUCAUCAUGCAACCUAUGUUGGAUCCUAACUGCUACUCUUGGAGCCCUUUUCCUUUUUGUUGAGCUUUUAUAAUUGACUAAGCAUCCCAACUUGUUGAGGUCCCUCUCAAACCAAGAUAUCGAGGUUAACUUCCUCUUCACCUCCAACGAAAAAACAGAAACCCCUCUCCUUAGCCUGCCACACAAGGGAAAAGAUCUCUUUUUCAAAUCCAUCAACUGGCAUUCUUGAGAAACUAUUGAAAUUUGCCAACUUACAAGAUAUACAAUUGGAGGAGUGCUUCUCUACCAAACAACUACUAAAAUUCACCUCAAAGGUGACCUUUUCCCCUGAUCUCUCCCCGGCCUCCAUACCCACUGACCCUUUCACAAAAUUUUCUAGAAUUUCCACUAUCAAGCCGUUACGGAGAACCAUCCUCAACAAACUCCUUUGACUAAUGUGAAAAACCCCACCCAAGAGCAUCUUCCAGAAGUUAACUUACAAGAUUAACUAUAAUCUUGUGAAGACUCGUUACCUAAUGGGUAAAAAAUUUGAAAUUCUAUUAGUAUAAUUCUUUUUAGGCACAAAAGCUGUGAAAAUAGCAUUGGUGCUCUAAUUAAUAACCCCAUAAUUAUUAAGCAAUAAAACAACUUUUAAUAAAUUCUCUUUCACCACAUCCCACCAAUCCUAAUGCAAAAAAGCUAGGAAAAAGUCAUCAUUGCUCUAAGCAUUUCUCCUCACUAGUUGAAAGACUGCUUUAUGAACUUCCUCUUCGACAAAAGGACAAUCCAACCAAUUAGCACCAUUUUCCAAAAUGAGAGACCAACCCCCACUCUUCUAUCCUCUAAGGAUCUUCAUAUAACCAUUAAUGCCUUUCUAUACCAGCUAGUAUAUAUCGGGUUUUGGGCAAGUCCUAUAAAUUGGUUUGAGUAAGAUUUUUAAUUACCCUGUUCUUUCUUUUUAGUUGAUAAAUAUGCAUAUAUGUAGUAAUUCAUACAUCAGAAAAGAUUUUGCUAAAACAAAAGAAUUGACAUGCAGAUAGUGACUUCUUGAUAAGAGUAAUAGCUUAAGGGAGGAAAAUGAACUCCUCCAGUGGCCCCAAAGUGGUAAGUUCCUUCAGAUCCCAUGUUGCUAUUCUGCAUUUCUUUGUGUUUUGGCAUCAGCCCUCUUAAUUAAUUCACUAUCCAGCUUCUCAAAUUCCUCGGAUUCUUCCCUUGUUCUUGUGGAAACAUCUGCAUCUUGUCCUUGCAUUGUUAUGGAUUGGUGAUUAUCAUUCUUUGAGAACUGUGUGGCAGCUGCUCGUGCACCAGCUAUGGCUGCAAGGAGACCUUCUGGUUUCUUGUCUUCAGCAGCUUUGGAGCCAUCAAAGCAAGAAACAAGUAAUCCUGGUUUCAAAGAGAGGGGAUCUUGUGGUUCUGGAAGCAGAAACUUGACAGGUAGUGGAGCUUGAACAGGACGAAGACCCCUAACUGCUGCCUCAUAUAUCUGCAACAAUUUCAGGGGGGAUAAGUAAUUAAAAAUCAGUCACUCUAUUGCAUUAGUUAGACUUGCUUUCAAUGCGAUAGCAAAGAAAGAAUCAUCAAUGAAAAAAGAAAAAAUAAAUGAAAAAGAACAAAAAGGAGAGGGAAAAAAAAAUGAUGGGUGCUCAAUUUGUACUUUUCUUUCCAGGUUAUAAAUACGUUGGUACCCGCGCAUCUCAAAUGGUAUGAUUAAUUUCUGCAUCAGGUCAGGAGAACUAAGUCCAUCAAUAUACUAAAAAGCAAAUAUACCAAAAGGCAAGCAAAAAUGUUUAACCAUCUUGAGUGUCAAACUCUCCAAGAAACUAUAUACUUUUAGCUGAAUGAAAACACAUGCCUGUGGUUGCUCACAGAGCCAGCAAAACUCUGUUUGCGCUUCUAGCCUUACCUACAAAUAGAGUUUAGGUUAUCCAACCAAAAUGGAGAUACAUCACACAAAACAAACUGUACCUAAUCAGUUUACGAAGGGGACGGGGGGAAGCAAAAAGCAAAAGUAAAUUUCUAAGAUGCCCACCCCUUCAGGUACCUCCUUCCAGCACGCCAGCUCUUCACAUUUAACACAACCAACUACUUCAAUACAACCUGUGGCAAGAAUAGAGUUUGUUGGAUUUAUUGUAGCAUGCCAUACAGAAAAAUUUAGCAUUUCAGUAAGAAUAAGAAUAAGAGAGCUACUUUCCACUAAAAUACGAAUCACCCAUCAACUGUUGCAAACAGACAACAAUGUGAAUAACAGGUUUUAUAUAUAUAUAUAUAGAGAGAGAGAGAGAGAGAGAGAGAGAGAGAGAUAGAUAGAUAUAGAGAGAGAGAGAGAGUCAAAUAAUAAUAAAGGACAAAAAUAUUUCUUUGAGAAAGACUAAUUAGAAAGAAGAAACAAAGAACCCACAUGAAAUCAAUUUAGAUAAGAGAAAUACCUUUAAGAAUCUAGUUCUUUUUGCAAAUUGCAACUUAGAAUUGGAAUGCCACAUAUUAUUAUAAGGUAUCACAAGAGAUUAUUGCUUCAUUUUUUUUCUUUGCCAGAUCAGUUUUAAUAAAUAUAAAUAUAAAAAUAUAAGCAUGUACACACACACACGCAAACACAUUAUGUGUGUAUGUUUAUGGAUAUGUAGAUAUAGGUUUUUAAUAAUAGAGCAUGAAAACAUAUCUAGUCAGAAAUUCCAAAAAUCCAAAACCAUUAGCAACACCUAACAGUCUUGAAACUGGGUAAUGUUCUGGAAACUUGAGGUCUGCUAUCCCAUUCACAGCAUAGAUCUCCCUGUAGAAAUUCUCCAUUGCUUUGAUUGUGUCUGAAUCUGGGACCUUACUAGCAGCAUGAAUCCAGAGUCGGCCUUCAUAAAACAAAACAUGUAUAUUAAGAAAUAUCCUUGUAGAACAGUAACAUUUUUGCCAGCAUGCAAUUCGUGUUAAUAAUCCUUGGUUCUCACCACUCAUUGUACAUUACAAUGUAAAGACCUAAUAAGCCCUAAUAUAGGUAGGUGUCUGUGCAGAGAGAGAGAGAGAGAGAGGGGAGGGGGGUGAAAGGAAAGAUGAUUAUAGAACAAAUACAAGUUGAAUCUCCUGAAAUAAUGUCCAUCAAGUUAUUUCCUAGCAACAAGUACUGAUUAUGCUUUUCCUGAUAACAUGAUUUUCUUUGCUAACAACCAUACUAUAUUUUAUCAAGAAAGAGUAGUGCAUGUGGCGUGCAUCAAGACCCAUUAGAGUUCCGCUAAACCUAUAGUUCUGUCAACGUUAUCAUUUACGUUUCCUCUAGAUAAUGGCAUUUUCCUCUAAAACUCUUGCACCAUUAGGCUUCAAGUCAAAAUUUCACAUGUGAACUUUGGAAAUUUUCUCCAUUUGCCCCUAAGGAUACAGUUAGAAUUGACUUAAAAUCCUGAUUGAUGUAUACUUUUAACCGAAGAAUAUUGUAUAUAAUAAUUGAAAUAUUGUUGAUUCAUCGUGGAAAUACAUUUUGUAAGGAAAGUUGUUAAGAAUUUAGUAUGCUAUAUGGAGAAAAAAGUCAUGACUUAAGGUUGAGUAUGUAUAUUCUAUAUCAAAUAUUAGGUAGGAAUGUGGAAAAGAGCAGAGUGUAAUUAUAAGAAACAAAGAAAUAUAAGAUAUUCUUGAAAGUGGAAAAUGUAAAAUGGCUAAAAGUCAAAUUUAUGAUGCAUAAGGGGGAUCAUGUCACAUAAGAAACUCAUGGCAUACCAAAUACGUGUGGUAUGGAGUAACAAUUUUGUUAAAAUAAGUUUCUCGUUGGAGUACAUUAGGUGACAAUUUUUUAAUAUCAAAUUAAAGAGUCAAGUGCAUCAAUGAAGUCAUAUGUAGAAAAUUUGUUUGUGACAUGUACCAUAAAGAUAAGAUUGACUUGAUAUAAUUUAGUCCAGGUAGGAGUUGUUAAAGGUGUCUCAAAUUUCUAAUUGAUAUAUAUUUUUUUCUAAAAAAAUAUUAUAUAGAUAUUUCAAUAAAUGAUUAAUUCUUUGUAAAAAUACUUACAUAAUAAAAAACAUCAUUAGAAAUAUCUCUAUAAAUAUUUUAAAUCACAAAAAGAAAAAAAAAAUCACUAUGAGAUAAUUAUAAACAUGCAACAUUGUACCAAGUAAACAGAAAUGUGAUAAAAAAAUUUUGAGAAACACUAAAUAAAGGAAGGGCUUGUAUAUCAAGAUGUAAAUAUAGAGAGCAAUAUUUUUAAUCAUAUGAUAGAAUUAUUUUCUCUCAUUCAUGAUUAUAAGCAAAAUUGGGAACCAUUAUAAAAUCUUGUACACCUCGUGUAAAUUGAUGUUUGUCUUCAUAUUUUACACCAACAAAUGACAUUGAAGUUGUCAUUGAUAAAAGGGAAAAGGCAUGGCCUCCACACCAUGUGCUUGAAUCGUAUGGUUCAAGUUUAAAGAAUUUUCUCCAUAAUUUGAAGAUCUAAAACAUUUUCACCUUUAAAUUUCAUUUAAUUAUUAAUAUCUACAAAAAAUAGUUAAAUACUCUUUCUAUUUUUGAGUUGUUGAAUUUUUUGAAAGUUUUUAUAUUUGUUAUCAAGAAUUUAUAUUUUAUUAAGUGUGAAUAUUUAUAAAUAAGAUAUUAUAUAAUAUUUGGAUAAGAGAGAAUGGUGGAAUAUAAUAAAGUUUUAAUCCUUCCCAAUUUUUAUCUUUUUUUUUUUUUUUUUUUAUAAUCGCCUUUCUCUUUCAAUCCUAUUAUCAGGUACCUUAUAUUUGCUGAUGCUAUCUGGAACUAAAUUCCAAUCAGACAUUGUCCAAUUACUAAUAGGACAGAUCAUGUCUCUCUGUUUCUAAACUAACAUGUAUCGUAAUGUGGCCUCAUAAGGAAGGCUAGGAAGAUGGAGGAUUUUGUGGGAAGCGACCAGAAUCAGAUGGAAGAGAGAUAGCCCUGUUGACCUAAUGGCUGUAAUAGGAGAAGCGUGUGGAUUUAUGGGACUUAACUGAUACUAAACCUAUAUGAUGCUUGGAGUGGUGUUUCUUUCAUUUUGUUAAGAAAAUAUGGCAGCAUACAUCCUUUCAAUUGAGUGCAUCAGAGCAUCCAUAAUAGAUGGUCUGCAACCCUAGGUGCAUGCCACUUUCUGACUGAUAAUGAAACUGUCAGGUACUUGGCCUUGACUAAGCUCAACAGCAUCACAUAAAAAGAAGCUUUCAUACUUAGAUUACUGUUUAAAGCUUUUGCUUAUUUGCUUUCUUAAUGCCAUUAUGACAUUAUUGUUUCAAUUCUGCUACCGAUUUUCGAAGUUCUGGGCAUCUACUGAUUGCAUCAUUAUAUGAGAAGUUGCAUGAGUUUAUGUAUCCUGUUAUUGCUCCUUUGCGAUUUCACUGCUCACGGGACUAACCUCUCCAUUCAGUCGAAAUGAAUUGUAAUUUCUUUACUGGUAGCAGUAGUACUUUUCAUAGCAAAGAUAAUAGUAAAUAUGAAAUAUAAAUAGAAGGAAAUCUGAAUUGUAGAUGGCACUAUAAGUAACACUCAAUAUUCACUACAUAAUAAAAUAGACAGUGUUACAAAGGUAGAGAAACCUACAAUGAGUACUCAUCACCAUUCUCAAACAGAAACAUAGCAGCGACUUAUACAUAGAACCUAUAGGCUUGCAGGGAAAGAAGGGAAAGAGUAACAUGAUAAGUUCACAGCGGGUAGCAGCUCUUAUUUUACGUAUUACUCAAAAUCUCAAACUAACCAAAGUCACUCAGUUGGGAUGGGUAGGAGAUGGUGGUUUGUGGGGUGGCUUCUGGGUAGGAGCUGGUGGCUUCUUUGUUGGAGUUGAAGGAGGCGUAAUCUUCUGAGGUGGCUUGUAUGAGUCUUCGGCACUCUCUGCAGGAGGGUGCCCAGGGUUGUGACCGGAAGGAGGUGGCUUCUGUCCCUUUGGUGGUUUGCCUAAUGGGCUUGGUGGCUUGUGCUCCGGGAGUUGUUUCUCUCCCUCGAGUAGGUUUCGAGUUUUGUCAGAUGGCUUGUGUUCUG